rnacentral:lncRNA from 1 species
AUCAAUGUCAUCAACUGCUUCAGAGAUGAAUAGUCUAUCCACAGUACAAUCCUAACUUCUUUUCCUGAAUCCACCUCCCACAUCAAUGCAAGUUUAGAUGCCAGGUCGUCGGCCUUCAUUAUUAUAUUUUCCCUCAAGUCAUGCUGUCGCAACUCAUAGCCUUGCUUCUUCUGUACAGAAAAGACAUAAAUGUGUUGUAGCGACGUUAACUUACCUAUAUUCAGAAUUUGGGAAAUAGGCUUUUUAUUGAUGAAAUCAUGAGCAGACUCAUAGUACGCUCCUAGAUGUCGUAGCUUUCUUAAAUUGCAUAGUUUGUCAGGCAAAUUAUCCACCAUGUGGUUUAACCAAAGUAAUUGUAAGUGGUAGAGAGUACAUAAUGAUGUAGGCAAUUCAGAAACUAACGUCCUGAUGAGGUUCAAAUACCGGAGGUGCUUCAGCUCACCAAUAGAUUUUGGCAACUUGCUGCUGUUGUAAAAUGACAGAGACAAUACAUGCAGUUUUCUUUGGUUCCGUAGCAUGCCAUCAAAAAUAUCACUUGGGCCAUCCAUUAGCAGAUCGAUGCAGAUAAUAGUGCGUAAAUGAUACAGCUUGCAGAUAAUUUGCUUAUGCUUUUGCAUACUUUGAACAUGAACAAAUAGAUGUCGAACAGUGCAUGGUAUUUCUGUCACAUUAUCAUCUUCUAAUCUGAAGCAGCCAUCUCUAGAGAGUGACUCUGCAAAAUCAUGAAGGAUAUCAUGCAUGACAUAGUACGAAUCACAAUGCAUCUGAGAAACCAAUUGGAAGAAAGAUACAGAGACCAUAUCAUUGAAGUAAUCCAUCCCAACCUCUUCUAACGUUCUCCUACUAAAAUUGCAUGAACCAACAAAUCCUUCUCCCACCCAAAGGUGAACCAACUCUUUAGGUUUAUAUCCCUGACCUUUUCGAAACAAGCUGCAAUACAAGAAGCACCUCUGUAGACGUGGAUCUAACUUCUCGUAACUCCACAACAGAGAUGUGAAGGGAUCACUUAAAUCUCCAAGCUUUAGAGCAGCUUUCCAUUCAGCAAUAUCCUUUUUCCUGCACAAUCGAGAACCCAUAACUUUUGCUGCCAAAGGACAUUGUCCAAGCCUUUUAGCAAUCUCCUCUGCAGUGUCUUCUAGCUUCGUGCGUAACAGUUGGUCUUUGAUUUCUGCUCCAGAGAAAGCAUGGUGUUUAAAAAGAGCCAAAAACUCAGUAUCAUCCAUGUUUUCCAAAUGAAUGGCAUGUUCUUGUUCACAACAAAUAGCAGCAGGAAGUGUUUUACUACGAGAAGUCACCAAAACUUUGCUCCCUGACUGUUUAGAGACUAAUGGAGCAAGGAAUAACUCCCACUCUGUCUCAUUAUGAGAUUUUUCAAACCAAACAUCAUCCAAGACAAGCAGGAAUUUCUAUGGCUCUUGUAGUAUAUCACGUAAUUUGCACUGGAGAGUAUCGAGAUUUAGAUAGAACUAAAAUUGAUAAAUCAAUGAAUUAAUUGAUGCUUUGAAUGACAAGAAUAGAUUGUUAGAAAAGCAAGAGGAUCUUUUGUAUGAAGAGCAUGAUAAAUUUGUAGAUGUCCAAAAAUCUCUUGCUUUAGAAGUUAAAAGGAAUGAAAUGCUUUCUUGUGAUUUAUCUACUUGCCAUGGGACUAUUUCUAGUUUAAAAAGUGUUAAUUGUGAUUUAAAUGCUAAGCUAGAAGUAGCAAAUAGAUCUAGUUCUUGUGUAGAACAUGUAGUGAUUUGCAAUAGGUGUAAGGACUUUAAUGUUGAUGCAUGUGUUGAGCACCUUACUUCUAUUGCAAAACUAAAUGGUGAAGUGGCUAGUCUUAAUGCCCAACUUAAGACUAGCAAAAAUGAAUUUGAUAAACUAAAAUUUGCAAGGGAUGCCUACACUGUUGGUAGACACCCCUCAAUUAAGGAUGGGCUUGGCUUUAAGAGGGAAGCCAAGAACUUAACAAGUCAUAAGGCUCCAAUCUCCGCCAAGGAGAAAGGGAUGGCCCCUAUGGCUAAUAGUGUUCAAAAGAAUCAUACUUUCAUUUAUAGUGAUAAAAAAUUCUCUAGAAAUGCUUAUAGGAAUUAUUCUUAUGAUUCAUAUGCUAUGCCUGCUUUAGUUCUUCUAUUGUGCAUGAUAUGCCUAGGAAAAAUGUUAUUCAUCAUAUGCCUAGGAGAAAUGUUGUUCAUGUACUUAGGAAAGCAAGUAAUGAACCUUCUACAAUUUAUCAUGCUUGCAAUGCUUCCUUUGCAAUUUGUAGAAAGGAUAAGAAAGUGAUUGCUAGGAAAUUAGGGGCAAAAUGCAAGGGAGAUAAAACUUGCAUUUGGGUCCCUAAGGCUAUUGUCACUAACCUUGCAGGACCCAACAAGAGUUGGUUACCUAAGACCCAAGCCUAAAUUUGCCUUGCAGGUUUAUGCAUCCGGGGGCUCAAGCUGGAUUAUCGACAGCGGAUGCACAAACCACAUGACGGGGGAGAAGAAGAUGUUCACCUCCUACGUCAAGAACAAGGAUUCCUAAGAUUCAAUCAUAUUCGGUGAUGGGAACCAAGGCAAGGUUAAAGGACUAGGAAAAAUAGCAAUUUCAUCUGAGCAUUCCAUUUCUAAUGUGUUUUUAGUAGAAUCGCUCGGAUAUAACUUGUUGUCCGUUAGUCAAUUAUGUAAUAUGGGGUAUAAUUGCUUAUUUACAAAUGUAGAUGUGUCUGUCUUUAGAAGGAGUGAUGGUUCAUUAGCUUUUAAGGGUGUACUAGACGACAAACUCUAUUUAGUUGAUUUUGCAAAGGAGGAGGCCGAUCUAGAUGCAUGUUUAAUUGCUAAGACUAGCAUGGGCUGGCUAUGACAUCGCCGUCUAGCACAUGUGGGGAUGAUGAACCUUCACAAACUUCUAAAGGGAGAACAUGUGUUAGGACUAACAAAUGUGACUUUCGAAAACGAUAGACCUUGUGCAGCUUGUCAAGCAGGUAAACAGGUGGGAAGUGCUCAUCACAGCAAGAAUGUAAUGACCACGUCAAGACCUCUGGAGUUACUUCAUAUGGACCUCUUCGGACCCGUCGCCUACCUAAGCAUAGGAGGAAGUAAGUAUGGUCUUGUUAUAGUUGAUGAUUUUUCCCGCUUCACUUGGGUAUUCUUUUUGCAGGAUAAAACAAAAACCCAAGAGACCCUCAAGCGCUUCCUAAGAAGAGCUCAAAAUGAGUUUGAGCACAAGGUGAAGAAGAUAAGGAGCGACAACGGGUCCGAGUUCAAGAACCUUCAAGUGGAGGAGUACCUUGAGGAGGAAGGAAUCAAGCACGAGUUUUCCGCUCCCUACACACCACAACAAAAUGGUGUGGUAGAGAGGAAGAACAGGACGCUCAUUGACAUGGCAAGGACGAUGCUUGGAGAGUUCAAGACCCCCGAGCGGUUUUGGUCGGAAGCCGUGAACACGGCCUGCCACGCCAUAAACCGGGUCUACCUUCAUCACCUCCUCAAGAAGACGUCGUACGAACUCCUAACCGGUAACAAACCCAAUGUGUCAUACUUUCGUGUUUUUGGGAGCAAAUGUUAUAUUCUAGUAAAGAAAGGUAGAAAUUCUAAGUUUGCUCCCAAAUCUGUAGAAGGGUUUUUGUUAGGUUAUGACUCAAAUACAAAGGCGUAUAGGGUCUUCAACAAAUCAUCGGGUUUGGUUGAAGUCUCUAGCAACGUUGUAUUUGAUGAGACUAAUGGCUCUCCAAGAGAGCAAGUUUUUGAUCUUGAUGAUGUAGAUGAAGAGGACGUUCCAACGACCGCAAUACGCACCAUGGCAAUUAGAGAUGUGCGGCCACAGGAACAAAAGGAGCAAGAUCAACCUUCUUCCUCAACAAUGGUGCAACCCCCAACUCAAGACGAUGAACAGGUUCAUCAAGAAGAGGCGUGUGAUCAAGGGGGAGCACAAGAUGAUCAUGUUAUGGAGGAAGAAGCACAACAUGCCCCUUCAACUCAAGUUCGAGCGACGAUUCAAAGGAAUCAUCCCGUCGACCAGAUAUUGGGUGAUAUUAGCAAGGGAGUAACUACUCGCUCUAGAUUAGUUAAUUUUUGUGAGCAUUACUCUUUUGUCUCUUCUAUUGAGCCUUUCAGGGUAGAAGAGGCCUUGCUAGAUCCGGACUCGGUGUUGGCCAUGCAGGAGGAGCUCAACAAUUUCAAGAGAAAUGAAGUUUGGACACUGGUGCCACGUCCCAAGCAAAACUUUGUGGGAACCAAGUGGGUGUUCCGCAACAAACAGGACGAGCACGGGGUGGUGACAAGGAACAAGGCACGACUUGUGGCAAAAGGUUAUGCCCAAGUCGCAGGUUUGGACUUUGAGGAGACUUUUGCUCCUGUGGCUAGGCUAGAGUCAAUUCGCAUAUUGUUAGCCUAUGCCGCUCACCAUUCUUUCAGGUUGUUCCAAAUGGAUGUAAAGAGCGCUUUCCUCAACGGGCCAAUCAAGGAGGAGGUGUACGUAGAGCAACCCCCUGGCUUUGAGGAUGAAUGGUACCCCAACCAUGUGUGUAAGCUCUCUAAGGCGCUCUAUGGACUUAAGCAAGCCCCGAGAGCAUGGUAUGAAUGCCUUAGAGACUUUUUAAUUGCUAAUGCUUUCAAGGUUGGGAAAGCCGAUCCAACUUUAUUUACUAAGACUUGUGAUGGUGACUUAUUUAUGUGCCAAAUUUAUGUCGAUGACAUAAUAUUUGGUUCUACUAACCAAAAGUCCUGUGAAGAGUUUAGCAGGGUGAUGACUCAAAAGUUUGAAAUGUCGAUGAUGGGCGAGUUGAACUACUUCCUUGGGUUCCAAGUGAAGCAACUCAAGGACGUCACUUUCAUCUCCCAAACGAAGUACACGCAAGACUUGAUCAAGCGGUUUGGGAUGAAGGACACCAAGCCCGCAAAAACUCCAAUGGGAACUGACGGACACGUCGACCUCAACAAAGGAGGUAAGUCCGAUCAAAAAGCAUACCGGUCUAUGAUAGGUUCCUUGCUUUACUUAUGUGCCAGUAGACCGGAUAUUAUGCUUAGUGUAUGCAUGUGUGCUAGAUUUCAAUCCGAUCCAAGGGAGUGUCACUUAGUGGCAGUGAAGCGAAUUCUUAGAUAUUUAGUCGCUACGCCUUGCUUCGGGAUCUAGUAUCCAAAGGGGUCUACGUUUGACUUAAUUGGAUAUUCAGACUCCGAUUAUGCUGGAUGUAAGGUUGAUAGGAAGAGUACAUCAGGGACGUGCCAAUUCUUAGGAAGGUCCCUGGUGUCUUGGAGUUCUAAGAAACAAACUUCCGUUGCCCUAUCCACCGCUGAGGCCGAGUAUGUUGUCGCAGGACAGUGUUGCGCGCAACUACUUUGGAUGAGGCAAACCCUCCGGGACUUUGGCUACAAUCUGAGCAAAGUCCCACUCCUAUGUGAUAAUGAGAGUGCUAUCCGCAUGGCGGAUAAUCCUAUUGAACACAGCCGCACAAAGCACAUAGACAUCCGGCAUCACUUUCUGAGAGACCACCAGCAAAAGGGAGAUAUCGAAGUGUUUUAUGUUAGCACCGAGAACCAGCUAGCCGAUAUCUUUACCAAGCCUCUAGAUGAGUCAACCUUUUGCAGGCUGCGUAGUGACCUAAAUGUCUUAGAUUCGCGUAACUUGGAUUGAUUUAUAGCAUACAUGUGUUUUAUGCCUUGAUCACGUUCCUUAUGCAUUUUGUUUAUUUAUGGUGCUCAAGUUGUACAAGCACUCCCCGGACCUCACAAGUCCGUGUGCAAGUGAUGCACAUAUUUAGGGGGAGAUGUGCUACAACUUGACCCUUUGAGACUAACCAUGUGUUUGAGCUUGCUUGAUUUAGUCUCAAAGGUGGAUUGAAAGGGAAAGAUGGACUUGGACCAUGAAAGACUUCCACUGCACUCCGAUGAGAGGGUAACUAACUCCAAGUUCAUUUCCAUGCUCUUAUUGCCUCUUUACUCUAAGUUGAAGAUUUUGGUGAGGUAAUGGGGUUUAAGGGCCAAGAUUGAUCCCGUUUUGGUGCUUGAUGCCAAAAGGGGGAGAAAAUAAGGCCAAAGCAAGAAAUGGAUCAGCUGCCACUUGAAAAUUUUGAAAAUAGUAGAGUUAGAGUUUUUGUUUUGUCAAAAACCUCUUAAUGUCUCUUCUUAUCAAAAGUUGGUCUCUUGUGGGGAGAAUGGUUGAUUAUGGGAAAACGGGGAGUUUUUUAAUCCUUGAUCAAUUUCUCUUGGAAUACCUUUCUCUAUGCCUCAACAAGUGAAUUUGACUUAGAGAUAGGAAAUUGAGUUUGAUUUGCAAAAACAAACCAAGUGGUGGCAAAGGAUGAUCGAAUUAUGCCAAAUUUGAAUCAAAACAAAUUCGUGUUCUCAUUUGCAUUGAUGUUGCACUUCUAUAUGUUGCUUUUUGUUGUGUUGGCAUAAAUCACCAAAAAGGGGGAGAUUGAAAGGGAAAUGUGCCCUUGGGCCAUUUCUAAGGAUUUUGGUGAUUAAGUUCAACACAAAUGGUUUAAGUGUUAAACUGUGCCAAGUUGUGAAUGAAGUGCAAAUCAACACAAAGGUAUGAUUCUAGACUUAGUACAUUGGUUUUUAUGUACUAACAUAUUUGUCUAAGUGCUAGAAUCAGAGAAAAGACAAAAGGAAAAUGUCUUGGCUGAAGCAGCCAAGACUCUGCUCUGUCUGGGUGCACCGGACUGUCCGGUGGUGCACCGGACAGUGUACGGUGCGCCAGGCUGGUGCUGGUCAACUGGCCGCUCUCGGGAACUCGAUGGCGGCGUACGACUAUAAUUCACCAGACUGUCCGGUGGUGCACCGGACUGUCCGGUGAGCCAACGGUCGACCGCGCAAUCCGCACGUGACGCGUGGCCGAGCCAACGGUCUGAUGGGAGCACCGGACUGUCCGGUGUGCACCGGACAGUGUCCGGUGCGCCAACGGCUCCAAAUCAUCAACGGUCGGCUGCGCCAGAAUAGGAAAGAAAUAUGCACCGGACAGUGUCCGGUGGUGCACCGGACUGUCCGGUGCACCAGUCGACAGAAGGCAAGAAUUGCCUUCCUGGAUUGCUCUCAACGGCUCCUAGCUGCCUUGGGGCUAUAAAAGGGGUCCCUAGGCGCAUGAAGGAGAACACCAAGCAUUCUUUGAUCAUCUCUUAGCACCAAGACAUCUAUCUAGCGCAUUUGAUUCGUUGUGAUAGCAAUUUGAGCUCCUCUUGAGUUGAGAACUCCGUGUGUGACCUUAGAGCUCAAGUUGUGACUUGUGUGCGUGUUUGUGCUCGUGCUUUGAGGCUUGUGUGUGUUGCUCUUCCCACUCUUACAUUUGUGCUUCUUUGUGAUCAUCUCAUUGUAAGGGCGAGAGGCUCCAAGUUGUGGAGAUUCCUCGCAAACGGGAAAGAGUAAGGAAAGAAGAACACAGUGGUAUUCAAGUUGAUCAUUGGAUCACUUGAAAGGAGUUGAGUGCAACUAUCGUCCAUUGGGACGCCACAACGUGGACUAGGCAAGUAUUGUACUUGGCCGAACCACGGGAUAAAUCCUUGUGUCUCUUGUGCUUGUUCUCACUGUGUCAAUUGUGGUUCACAAGAGCUCUCCUUAGCCACUUGAUUUCAUUGUGCUAACACUUAAUCAAGUUUGUGGCUUUAAGUUUCAAGUUUUUACAGGAUCACCUAUUCACCCCCCUCUAGGUGCUCUCACUUGCGCGCAAACAUAAAUCUUUGGAUCUCUAUUGGUAGUGGCAGCGCCUUGUUCAUGCGAUGGAAUGUGAGAUGAUAUAGGGCAUGAGCACGUAGGUCUCGAGAAUUGUCCUGCAAUACAAGCAUAGCAUUAAUUAUACACGUAUAUAGCUAACAUGUACAACGAUGGCAACCGGAAGAUAAAUAUUUAGCAUAAUCACUUACUGGUUGAGUGUAAGAAGUGAUGACACCUGAAUUGUGAUCAUAAUACUUCAUGUAACUCAUUACAUAAAAGCCACAGUCGUUUGACCCUAUUCUCAUUGUUGGGCAAUUUGAUGGCAUAUCCAUUGGAAAGUUACCAAAUUUGGGGAAGGAUGCAUUGGGGCAAACAUGUUGUAACACUUUGCUCAACCUACUCAUUAUAACCCUAGCCCAUGGGAAUUUCCUUCCACCUAAAUAGAUUGGGUCAUAAUGGUAGUCCUUCCAUGUGGUGCCACCGAGUUCUAUACCAUACGAAUUCGAAUCUAAAAUGUGUAUACACCGAUGUUGUAGGUUGAUUACAUACAGUGUCCAAUGUCCCCUACUAAGCAUAGGUACCAAUAUCUGUUGAUGAAAAAAUGUAAAUAAGUAACAUGUUGAUGUUACAAUGCCAUGAUGAGUAAAAAGUACAGUUAAUAUACUAAUGAACCUUUGAAAAAAGAAUACUGAGGCUUACCGACUUGCAUUUAUCCAGAUUUACCAACGAAGGCAGUGUGUUAUGUAAGCAAUUCUGUAACACAUUUUGAUCAAACGGCUGAGGAUUCUUACUAUGAUGUUCCUGCUCUUCAAAAUUUAGCAGAGCCUAGAAACAACAUAGAGAGUGUGUAAGUAUAUUCUGUGAAUAAUUACAAAAACUGUGAAGAAGAACAUACCUCAACAUUGACAUCAAGUAAUAAUCUAUUAGAAGUCAUAGUUCGACGAUGAUUUUUGGAAUCAUCACGAACACACUCAAUGAAGCACUGCAUGAAGACAUUCUCAAGACACUUCCCCUCUAUGAAAGAUUCAUAAAUAUCGAGACAGUUUCCACUGUAUUCACCGUAAUCUAUGACAACCUUGUAUGAAAAAUAUAGUUAUAUAUUCAUAUUACAUACAUGAAACAAACUAAUAAAUACGGUCUUCGUAAUUUGUGUAACGUGUACCUGCUUUGGUCAAUGUCCUUGGAACAGAGUAAAUCCCACAGAGCACGAACGCAAUCAAGCUCUGUAAGGAGUGGAGAAGUUCCAGAAAGUGUUGUCCCUUUUAGUGUAUCAUCCUGAGAUGCAACCUGGUUAUAAGUGUUUGAACAUUAGAAUAAUUAGUUUAAUGGCAUAAAGUGCAUUAUAGAAGAUGUAUGUUAUUAUACUGACAUGAGGCAUUGGGGUCUGAUCAAAGACUGGUCCACUGUCAUUGUGUUCCAUUUCAUCUGUUGCCAUUUCACCUCUCUACACAAAGGUAUAUGAUUAGUAAAAUUAUGUAAUAUGUAUUGUACUCAUGUAAUCGUAAAAUGGAAUUAUAACAUGAGACAAGGAUUGCUAAACAAACAUUUUUUGCGGUGUCACGUCAAAUUUCGACAAACGGGUGCAAGCUGGUGUGGGUUGAGGUGUGAUAUUUGUGUUCCUCAACAUGUUGUUUCGAACAUCAAAGCAGAAAUCCUGUUGACAAAUAGUGUGGUUCGUAUCCAGCUAAAAAGAAAUAUGCAAACAAUGUACGUAUGAUGCGUAAAAUAGCUCAUGGGGUUGGAUAUAUUACCUGAUGUCCUGUAUCAACGUCCGCUUCAUCAGGACAAGUCUCUAGUACUCUACGAAUAUGUUGUUGUCUUUCAUAAAUUUCUUCAAACUGAGUACCACCCAGCUGGGUCUCAAACUGCGAUGCUUGGGAUGAUAGAUCCGGUGUGGGUUGGGUGGCAUGGACAGUGUGUCCUUAUACAAAAUUAUAUUGAAAAUAAUGUAUGUCAAAACUUGCAUUAUAGAUCAAAUGUUGCUGCAUAUACUAAAAAUAACAAAAUGUUGUUUACUGUACAUAUAAGAAAAACCCUAUGCACAUGUAGUCUGUGUAAGGUUCUGAAUGUAUGGAAAGUGAUAAUUAUAUGACUGACCUACUAAAUCAGCCGAAUUCCUCGAUUGCUGUGGCUCAUCUGUCUCGUUUUCUAAAUUAUCAGACUCGGCACGUAGUACCUCGUCGAUCAGCUCUAUAAAGUUGUCUGCUAUGUCAUAUUGCUUCUCAAUAAUUCUAUCAAUGUUGACUUUUAUGGCUAAGCAUGCCUUGUCAACAUCCAAGUCAUAUGCAACAAGUUUCUCUAUGAAUUUAGAUCGAUGACGAGGUGGGAGCUCGUUGAUCUUACUUGACAUCAUCUCCUUGAUCGAUGGAAGUUGGAUGUUAAAAGUGGGCCGAGGAGUAGGGGCAGGGCGCGGUGCAUCAAAAAUGUUGGUCCUGCACUUCGGUUGGUUGUUCAACAAAAAUAAUAAGAAUCCCUCACCACACUCAUAUUCCAUUUGUUCCAUAAAUCUUAAAUAGAUGUAUAUAAUACAACAAAAACUUGCCUCGGAUUGGCGAUCGAGCUUAGGUACAACUGAAUAGCAUGUCUCGGUCGAGCUUCGAAACUAAAAUAUAAAAUUUAAGUGAAAGUUGAACUGGAUCAUGAGUUUGUAAUGCAAACAAUGGUACUCAAAACAAAGCACAUAUAUUUGACAUAAAAUUUGUCAUAAAAUACACUUGGUUAAAUAUGAAUAACUUACUUCACAAUAUCCGAAAGGUUCGGCCCCAUGGCGUGCCUUCCUCUUGUCGGCUUUAGUCAAAGCUUUUAUGAUAUUCUUAUCAAAGAAUUUUAUGAGAGGUGUAGCAAGCUUAUUUUGAGGGGCAGAGGUUGCAUGCAGGUGAUCCAGGUAAUACAACUACAUAAAAAAUUUCAAUGUGCAAUGGAUGUGUAAGUAAACAUAACAAACAUCAUAAAACAUGUUAUAUCAUGCCCCACAAUGAGCAACCAAAAUUGCAAUAUAUGUACAUAAGAGAAACUCUAUACUUACAAGGACAACAAUUGAGCAUCCGUAUAUAGUCGUGGAGACAUUUGUGGUGCUUCAGUUAUGCCACUUGUUCGCGGCUUCACAAAGAUCAUUAAAAAUAAGCUGGCACCAAUCGGUCUCGUGGAAACGGUGCAUUUCUUCUGUCAGAAGCACUUCAUGGUUUGUUAUGCCCCAGCUAGCAGUUGGAAACAAUAGACGGUUGAAUAAGAUGAGGAAGAAACAUCUGAUGGUAAGGUCAUCAUCCUCGCCUUUCCUUAAACGAUCAUGUAGCAAUGUCACAUUGAACUCGUCUUUAGCCAAACCAAGCUCUGCCCUCAAGUUGCUUGCUGCAACUGCUUCGUCAAUCCCCAAUGGUUUUCCAUCGCCAUGAUUUGGUACACCAAGGAUAAGAUGCACAAUGUCCUUUGUGAUUUUUAGUUCCUUUCCUGGACCAGGACGAAUUGUCAUGUCCUUGUGGUCAAGCUUGUCCAUCAACCAUUGAAUGUGUGAUCUACUACACAGCGCAUCUACUGUCAUAUCAAGAAUGUUAGAGAAACCUUUACGUCUUAUGGCCUGACGUUGUCCUUCAUUCAAUAUGUUAAUGCUUGCAAUGACAUCUUAUGGGUUGCACCGGACAUUGAGCCUCUGUUAUAAAAUAUAGAACUGGAAAAAAUUUUGUUAUUAUCAAAAACAAAAUAAUAUUCAGAAGCUUACGAAUAAGAAAUUGUUUGUUGAGUAUGCAUAAAAGUAACCUGUCGGGGAAGAUCCUCAGCUUUUAUCCUCUUUGUCACAACUUUUCUUAGAACUCUUGUAUGGCUUUCAGAAAUAUUACGCUUCUUAACAGCUGGCAUGAAGUCAUCUUCAUCAGAAUUCAGUUGUACUGUUUCAUUGAUCAAAGUUUGACUGUCAACAUUUGGAGGAUUUCCCACUUCUGUAGAUGGAUUAGACUAUUCCGCGCACGGAAUGUCAACACUGAAACACUCCUGGCUUGAUUGAAUUGUUAUACGUUUGGGAUUAUUCGGAGGACGGUCCACGUGCUUCAUUUUUUAAAGUCAAAACUGCAUGCAUAAUACACAAUACUGUAAACAUUAAUAUGUUGAAUAUGCAGAUGUAUUGAUUGUGUGGUGAUUGAAUCAAUGAACCUAAUUGUUUUAAAUACCAAGCAUAAAAACAAUCUGUAAAAUUUUGCAUGGUACUUAUAAUAUGUUUCAGUAAACAUCUGAAUGUACUGUUCUCUAGUUACACUUGCAUACAUAUAAUGUCAUGUUCUAUCAUCAUAAACAUCUGAAUAUGUUUCAAUAAAAAUAGACCUUGUUGUAACCAAUAAUGUAUUAACUAUAAACAUCUGCAAUAAAUAAAUGUAUGCACUAAACAUAUAUGAAAUUUUGAAUAAAUCAUAUACUCUAUCAAAAACAAAUAAUUGACUGCUCCUUUACUAAAAACAGUUGCAUACAUGUUCUGUCCUGUUCUACAAUCAUAAAAAUCUGAAUAUGUUUCAAUAAAACAAAACUUGUUGUAAACAGUAAUGUAUUGACUAUAGACUAAUGAAUACAUAAAUUAAUGCAUAUCACCAACCAUAUAAGAAAUUCUGAAUAAAUAAUAUACUCUACCAAAAACAACUAAUUGACUGCUCCUUUACAAAAAUCACUUGCAUACAUGUUCUGCCCUGUUUUAUAAUCAUAACAAACUGAAUAUGUUUGAACAAAACAAAACUUGUUGUAAACAUUAAUGUAUUAACUGUGAACUAAUGGAAUAAAUAAUAUCCUGUUUUAUAAUCAUAAAAAACUGGAUAUGAUUCAAUAAAACAAUACAUGUUGUAAACAGUAAUGUAUUAACUAUAAACUAAUGGAAUAAAUAAAUGUAUGCAGUCACUAAAAAUAUAUGAACUUUUGAAUGAAUCAUAUACUCUACAAAAAACAACUAGUUGACCGCUCCAUUACCACUUGAACAUCAUCUAUGUAAAAAAUAACUUUAACUGAGAUGCAUAAACAUGUAUUCUAAUGUGUGUAACCAUCUGUGUAAAUGUGUGUAAAUGUAUUAAUGCAACUGCAUAAAUAUUUGUCACCUGCCGUAAUCAUUAGAAUGCAGUAUGAAAAAACAACACAUUUGUACUUCAGGAGAUCGAUUUACCUUUUUAGGGUUUGCUAACUUUGUUGACGGUCGACGACGAUCCCAGGUAAUGCGACAAGCUAGGGUUUGGAAGAACCCACCGUAGAUGGUUGGGGAAGGGCUACCCGUUGGAGCGGCACCCGUUGACGGCGGAGAAUGUGGAACGACGACGGAGAAUGUGGAAGCAGUCGCGUCGGCGGAGAAACUAGGGUUUUCUCUGGUCUGGUCUCUCAUCUCAAGUUGCAGACGCGAGGAAAGAGGAGCUCGGAUUGGGGUCGACAAGGAGGCGCCGCUCUAUCACCGAUUGCGCCUGGAUCGACUGCGAGCGACGGAUGGAGCGGAGUCGUCGGAGAGGGCGGAGUCGGCGGAGAGACCUGGAGUUGCGCGGAGAGGGUUGGGGUUUUGCGGUGGGCCGGUGGUGUAGGCAGUUAUGGAAACUGAGACCGGGAGAAGAAAGAGGAGCUAGUGGCGGCAACACGUCACUGCUACUCGAAUGUGUUAGGCUUGUUCGGUUAGAGCAAUCCAAAAAGGGAUUAGAGAGAAUUAAAUUAUCUCUUAGUUAAAAUUGAAUAGAAAGAAAUUUAAUCCCUUCCGAUUCUCUUCUGAAUCAGCAUUGCAAGAACAGAUGGAUGUCGAUGUUUAUGGUAGCCUGCUCAGUCAGAAUAGCUUUGACGCCCGUGCGGACACGUUGCUGUUGAACAGCACAGCGGUUGAUCAGCAUCAGCAGCAGCAGAUAGGUGCUGCAGAAGCGCCGUGCAAUCAGUUUGUGUGUAGGGUUUACAUUUUGUGUGUAGGGUUUACCACCAAAAAACCUUCAGUUUUGGUGCACUAAAAUACAAGGCCUUUUCAUCUCUUACACCAGCAAGCACCUCAUCCGCCAACAACGAAUCCAAUUGGUACUAGAGAACAAGCAAUCACCUUUUAACUGGUAAUAGAGCAAGGAGAUGAACAAGUCCUCGAGCUCAAUCCAUACUGUACAAAUGUAGCUCAUCAUCCGCCAACAACGAAUCUCCAGAAACACUCGGACUGUAGCAGACACAUUUUGACUGUACGUAGCAGAGAAUUAAGACCUAUUUUGACUGUAGCACACACAUUACUGGAACUGGUUCCAUGGUGAACUUCUCUGCCACACCAUCCACAAGCACAAGUGUAGGAAAAUGAGCUAUCUUCUCUAUUGCAUUGCCUGGAGUAUUUAUACUAAUUGCCACAUGAAUGAUAUAGCAAUUGUGCACAUGAAAACAAAAGCUCUGGCCACAGUUAUUACUCCAUUCUGUCAGAGAAAUACAUAUUGGCAAUUGUGCACAACCAAGGAAUGAAUGAUAUAGCAACUGAAAUAGCGGAGCAAUACAAGCGGCAAAAACAGGGAACCGCGGGGACGGCAGAAUUAACGACGGAUUGGCUUCUGACUUGAGCCUGAACUCUGGAGCUUCAAGAGAAGAGGGGUGACGUCAAGGUGCCUGUUUAGAACAUGAAAUGUUUUAAAUAUUGAGAAACUCAUCAAUUGUGCUGGAAAAAUGAAUUAGUAGAACCUGUACCUUCUCAUUUAUUUCAAAGUGGUGCGGUCUUGGUAGAAAGCUCUUCCAACGAACGUGCGAAAUCUUUGGCCAGCUUUCUCCAUCAGGUUCUUGGCAAUUCUUCAUCAAGACGGGGCAAUACAAUAUAGUUAUGCGCUGGAGGGAGGACGGCAGAUCUGGUAAAGAUGUUAUGUUGGGGCAAUGUUCUAUAGAAAGACUCUCCAGACUUGAGACAGAUUUUAGAUUUCUAGGCAGGGACUCUGUUUUGCACCAUGAAAAGUUCAGGUGCUUGACGGAUGAGAGAUUUGCAGGUUCUUCAAAUGAAACUGACGGCUCCUUGCAAUCUGAAAGAGUAAGAUAUGGUGGGGCUGUAAACCCUUCAGCCAUUAGCAUGUGGUUGAGAAAUACAGAGCUACUAACCGUGAGCGAUUCCUGGACACGAAACUGUGAGAUGCACUUGGCAGUGAGGUUUGCAACAUCUACUAAACUUAGGUGCUUAAGGUGCAGGGAAGACAAGCCUUCAACAAAGCAAAGAUCAGGGAGGCCAUUUAGACAUAAUGAUUCAAGGGAGGUCAGGUGGCCAAUCGAUAAGGAUGGGGAGCUUCUGCAGACAUAAAUGGAAAGAUGAUUCAGAUGUGGCAAGCCAUUAAUGAACGAAUCAGCUGCAAGAAUGCAGCCAAGGAUGCUGAGCUCCAUAUCAAGGUUCAACGGCAUUAGUUCUGCUCCCCGUGCUAGCUCUAAAGAAGGACAACCCCAACAGUUAAAACAGGAAAGAGAUGGAGCAGCACGUAAGCCCCCCAGUGAUUUGAGACACAAACAACCUAUUACAACCAACCUGUCAAGCUUUGUCAAAUGCUCAAACACCUUUUCUGAUGGAAGUGUAGUUAAUGCCAUAUUAUAUUCCAAUUGUAAAGUUCUCAGUGAAGUGAGGCCACCAAGGCAAAUAGCUAAAGCUUCAUCUGUAAUACUGCAUGAAGAAAGAGAAAGUUCACAGAGUCCUGACGGUAGAACCAAUGGAAUCUCCAUGGUCCUUCCAUAAAUGAAUCUUAUCCUCUGCUCAUGGCAAAAGAGCCAUGCCUUGAUGAUGUUUUCUUUCAUCCAUACUUUAUCUUCACUUUCCUCCAGACCACUUUCAAUAAUUUGAAGAUGCUUUGAUAUAUCAUCAUCCAUCAUCAAUGUCACCAACUGCUUCAGAGAUGAAUAGUCUUUCGACAGUACUCUCCUAAUAACUCCUGAAUCCACCUCCCACAUCAAUGCAAGUUUAGAUGCCAGGUCGUCUGCCUUCAUUAUUAUAUUUUCCCUCAAAUCAUGCUGUCCUAGCUCAUUGUUGGUGAUAAACAUAAGCAGUGGGCAACAAUCAAUUGAUAAAUCUGUAAGGCCUACUGGAAGAUUAGAUAGUUCCUUCAAAUUUGGAACAGAGUUUAUACGCAACCUAGAGCAAUUCCGAAGGAGCUCUGUAUCUGGUGGUAGGCCUUCUAGCAAACUGCAAUUACUAAGCUCAAAACUUUCCAAAUUCUCAAAAUAGGAUCGCUCUAGUAACCACCCAGGAUAUGUAUCAGAUCUGUAACCUUCGAUUGUGAGCUUACUCAGUUGGGGUGGCGGUCUCAGACCUUCUAGAAUAUCCAUUGCAUCCAUUCCAUUCUCGGAACUCCACUCAAGUGCCAACUCUUUAAGGCGACUUUUCAGAUAUAGCUUCGACUCUACGGCUUCAUCCUUUCCAAUGACAUUCUCAAGAUUUUUCACUCUUAAACUGCCACCAAGCUCAUUCAAGUCCUUCAACUGUCGCAACUCAUAACCUUGCUUCUUCUGUACAGAAAAGACAUAAAUGUGUUGUAGCGAUGUUAACUUACCUAUAUUCAGAAUUUGGCAAAUAGGCCUUUCAUUCACGAAAUCAUAAGCGUCCGAUGAGUACGCUCCUAGAUGUCGUAGAUUUCUUAAAUUGCAUAGUUUGUCAGGCAAAUUCUCCACCAUGUGGUUUAACCAAAGUAAUUGUAAGUGGUAGAGAGUACAUAAUGAUGUAGGCAAUUCAGAAACUAAUGUCCUGAUGAGGUUCAAAUACCGGAGGUGCUUCAGCUCACCAAUAGAUUCUGGCAACUUGCUGCUGUUGUAAAAUGACAGAGACAAUACACGCAGUUUUCUUUGGUUCCGUAGCAUGCCAUCAAAAAUAUCACUUAGGCCAUCCAUUAGCGGAUCGAGGCAGAUAAUAGUGCGUAAAUGAUAUAGCUUGCAGAUAAUUUGCUUAUGCUUUUGCAUACUUUGAACAUGAACAGAUAGAUGUCGAACAGUGCAUGGUAUUUCUGUCACAUUAUCAUCUUCUAAUCUAAAGCAGUCUUCUCUAGAGAGUGACUCUGCAAAAUCAUGAAGGAUAUCAUGCAUGACAUAGUACGAACCACGAUACAUUUGAGAAACCAAUUGGAAGAAAGAUCCAGAGACCAUAUCAUUGAAGUAAUCCAUCCCAACCUCUUCCAAUGUUCUCCUACUCAAAUUGCAUGAAUCAACAAAUCCUUCUGCCACCCAGAGGUGAACCAACUCAUUAGAUUCAUAUCUAUGACCUUUUGGAAACAAGCUGCAAUACAAGAAGCACCUCUGCAGACGUGGAUCUAACUUCUCGUAACUCCACAACAGAGAUGUGAAGGGAUCACUUAAAUCUCCAAGCUUUAGAGCAGCUUUCCAUUCAGCAAUAUCCUUUUUCCUGCACAAUCGAGAACCCAGAACUUUUGCUGCCAAAGGACAUUGUCCAAGCCUUUUAGCAAUCUCCUCUGCAGUGUCUUCCAGCUUCGUGCGUAACAGUUGGUCUUUGAUUUCUGCUCCAGAGAAAGCAUGGUGUUUAAAAAGAGCCAAAAACUCAGUAUCAUCCAUGUUUUGCAAUUGAAUGACAUGUUCUUGUUCACAACAAAUAGCGGCCGGAAGUGUUUCACUUCGAGAAGUCACCAAAACUUUGCUCCCUGACUGUUUAGAGACUAAUGGAGCAAGGAAUAACUCCCACUCUGUCUCAUUAUGAGAUUUUUCAAACCAAACAUCAUCCAAGACAAGCAGGAAUUUCUGUGACUCUUGUAGUAUAUCACGUAAUUUGCACUGGAGAGUAUCGAGAUUAUCAACACGUGGGCACUCUCCCUUUUUUGCAGACUCCAUAAUCUCCCUUGUGUGACGAUGCACAUCAAGUUUGCGUGAGAUGCACACCCACAUCCUGAUAUCAAAGCAUUCUUCUAUCCUUUUGUCAUUAUAGACAUACUGUGCUAAGGUGGACUUCCCCAUUCCUCCCAAUCCAACAAUGGCCAAACCCGAGUACUUAGCUGAGCUUGCCUCAGCAGUUGUUGUCUUGCCGAGAAGAAAAUCUACUAUACGAUCACGAUCCCCGUCGCGACCGAAAACCUUGGAAUUGGGAAGUGAUGUGGUUGUGGCAACACCGGUAGGUGCUGCAGUUGGCCACUCUGCGAUAUUGCCAUGUGGCAAGCCAAGAAGUUCUCGAAGCUGCUUGGCAUCUUCCAGAAUAUUUUUGAGCUCGUUCAUCUUGGUAAUUAGCCUUUUGUUCCCAGGGAGCAAGUUGCGUGCCAUGUUUAUAGCAGAAUUAAAAGGCUUCAUGACAGUGGUUGCAGUGGAGGAGCUUUCAUCCUCUCGGAGCAGGGGACCUUUUCCGCUCUUGGCCUUGGCCUUAAGGACGUUGUACUCAUGCUCGUCCAGCAGGUCCUCGGCAUCAUAGAAGGCUUUUUUGAGACGCCGAAGCCAGGAUUCCAGCUUGCCCCUAUGGGGGCUCUUCUGGGCCGCUUGAAUCACCAACUCGAACUGUGGCAGGACAGUGUCUUGUAGUCGUUCGAUCUCACGCACCAUGUCCACACUGAGGUAAGCUGAAGCUUUAGUAAGAAGCUCCUUGACAAUCGGCGAUGCUGCCCACCUUAAGCCAACUAGCGCCAAGUCCGCCAUGAAGUUGGAGUAGUUUGUGCUUCCUCUUACUUUGUGAACCAAGAAAAAAAAAUGAAUGGAUGAACGAUGGGAAGUAGUAACAAGGCUGUUUUUUUUUUCUUCUGCAGAAGGCAAGCAGCUGAUAAAAACCGCUACAGACUCGAGAAAACCUAGAAUUGGAAAGACGCAUAAAAUUAGUGAAUCUAAAUGGACAAACCAAUUAUUUUCCAGCAAGGCAGCAACGCAAAGGGGAAAUAGCAGUCGAGAUUGGUGAUCUUACACAAGUAAAGUAAAUCAUGGGCGCAUGGAGCUGGAAUCGACAACAAGCGCGAGGCCGCCGCAGUGCAAUGCAGCAACGAGGGAAGCAGCUCCGUCGGGCAGGCAACGCAGGAUUGCUGAUUGAUUCCUGACGAUAGAAUAUCUGUUUUUUGUCGUGGAGGAGACCGAUGGUGCUGCUGACUGCUCGCUGGGAAAGGAAGCAGCGUUGGGAAGAUUGGGAGCUGUUGGGGUGAAGGAGUCAGCAUCGACAGAGACAAAGGAAGCUUCUGGGUAGCUCUACUGACAGGGACAGAUUCGGCUGUGUUGGGAUCUAUAGUAAUUCUAAAAAAAAAACAGAGUAACAUAAUUAAUUUUUAAAAGGAUGUUUGGUUUAAAGAAUUAUUUAAUAUAAAAUAAGACGGUGCAUCAUAUGUCUAUUCUAUAAAUUUGUUAUUUUAAUAUUAAUACUAACUAAUUAAUUGUAAAGAGUGAGACGGCGAUGGAUCAACUUAUUCUAUUAUAUAACUAAAAAAUGAGAAGUGAGAAAACAAUGGAAUAUCUCAUUACUCAAACCAAACACACUGUUAAUUCUUACUCUCCUUUCGUAUUUGAGAGAGAGAAAAUGAUGUAAGUAUCUUUUUCUCUCUUUUAUUGAUUAUUAAGCAGGAUAAUAUGCUCUCAAUUUUAUUCCUAAGAUAAUCAUUACAGGGAGAGCAAUCUUAAAGGCAAGCAAUGAAUGCAUGAAAAAAUAGAUGGUAUAAGGUUGUAUAAGCUUCAGAUAUGAAAAAGUAACAAAAGAUAUCGGAGAUAUUAAAACCUCCCCCGUUUUGCUGCGCCCGCCGCAUUCGGCGGCCUCCCCGCCAUUCGUCGCGUGACGCCUGGCGGUCGCCCGGACCCGAAAUUUUCCUAAACUUCAGCUCUGAGCGCAGGUAGACGGGUCUGUCCCACCGAACACUCUCCAACGUCGUACAUGUCUCCUCUCCUUCUGGUCCCUUUCUCCCUCCAAUGCCAGCGCAUCCCUCUUCCCCCUCGUGGCUCGCGGUCGCCGCUGGCGUUCCUGCUCCGGGCCUUCCACAUGGUGAUGGGCGACCUGAGCACCUCCGACGACCUCGCCACGCGCCACCACCUCACCCACCGUCCACCCAUCACCUUUCCUGUAAACCUCGGCGACCUCCUCCUCAAUCUCAUGAUGUUGUCCUGCAAGUCUCCCCCGAGCCCUCUCCUCAAGCCCUACCACGCCCAGCUAGGCCACAACAGCGCCAAGAUCUAGGCCAUGUCUCCAACUUAGCAACUUAUUGCAGCACAACACGAGAUCUGGAUGGUCUGCAUCGUUGCCACCGUGGCGCGCACCGAGCAGGAGGACGAGGUGCCAGCCCUGACCGACCAGGCGGCCCACAUAGAGGUGCGCACACGGAGGUUUACUAGGUCGACGACUACGUCUAGGUGUUCGUCGUGGCGUGUACUGACCUCAUCAACCGGCUCCAGGGCCUACGCGAGAACCUCACGAACGUGAGGUCUGAGGUGAGUAAGAUCGAUUAUGUCUGUGCCCAGAUUGAAACCAUGCGUCGGUAGAUCUAGAAGGGCGGUUUUGGUGUUGCUUCAUUUAAUCAGUUAGGUUUAAUGUUCAUUGAUGAUAUGCUAUUCCAUUAUUUUUUCUACCUUAUUAGGAGGCCACCCCGCUUGUUGACCUAUUACUUAUUGAAAACAGUCAUGUGUUUCGAUGGUUAGCUUAUGAAGUUUGUAAAAUACAAGAACAUGCUACACCUUGGGCCACCUGGUGAAGUUUGGACCGACACCACGCUCAGAGGAAAAUAUUAAUUAUCAUGUGCAAGCGCAAAUGUUGCACGUACCUGAAACUGCUAAUGAAACCUGUUAAAAAUUAUUUUGUUUGAAGUAGGAACUUAUACGGUGUGUUCAUAUGUCCUAUUUAUACAUCUUCACAAAUAGGCAACGUUUUAUGCACUUCUUUUAGCUACAACCAGUAGGUUUUAAAUUUUGACACUCUCAUUAUACAUUAGAUGUGAACUGAACUAUGGUAUGUGUCGAUGUCUUGCAUUCUUGCCUCAUUGAAUUUGCAACCAUUUUUUGAUCAUUCAUAGUAUGGCGCUUCUACUCAUAUGGUGCAUCACCUACAGUUUGUUUAAAACUACCUUAUUGUUGUUAAAGAAAUCUUGUCAUUAUUGUUUCUUGCUUAUUUCUCUACUACUGGUAGAGUGCAGUGUUGCUUGUUACUGUCAGCACCCAAAGGACAAGAUGCUAAUUAAUCAUAGUAGCAUCAGUGCUGGACCCAUAUUAUGAAGAUAUUUUUGUUCGUCCUUUUUUUACAUGGAGCUGCAAGAACUACAACUCUUCAUGGUUGUUGACUUGUUGGUCACUGUUCUUAGGGUCUUGCAGCAUCAGUGCAGUAACCACUCUGCUUCUGUCAAGUGUUUUAGGUGUCUUCAGCUAGGCCCUGCAGAGCAUCCUUGUUUUCUCACGUUGCCAUAUUCAGGUAUCCAUGUUCUUCAGUUCACAAUUUGUUCAAUGUUGGUUCUGAAAUUCAGAUUCUUCACCUGAAAACAAGAUCUCUUUGAUUGACACAUGACAUCUGGGUUUUGAGGCCAAGUACAUCCUUAAUCUCGUGUUACUUAGCCCCAAACAAGCAAGUACAACCACUAUGACAGAGGCUGUUAUGGGAGUUCUGACCAGCAAGCUUGGUGUGGCCUUAGCAAAAGGGGCAGCAGCCUAUGGUGCAUCUCUGGAUUUCAAGGAAGCGUCUACUCAAUGAUUUUUUAAAUAUCUCCUGCAUUCACAUAGCCUCAGCCUCACAUGUAUGUGGCCUUGAACAGAAUUGAUGGAUAAUCACUAUUCAAGCACUCUGCUCCACAGUAUCUUGUCUUGGCACCUUAACAUAUGACGACACUAAUGUGAGUCCCAGACCUGUUCAAAAAUUACAAGCCCCCAGUUCUGUAGAAAUAUAAAUGAUGUACUAUCUUUUACUUUCAUUUGGCAAAGGAACUUGCAAUGCUUGAAGUAUUUUAUCAUUUUUUGUUGUUUUCCAUACUUACAACUAUCUGUGCAAAUGUUGGGCAUAUAAAAAGUGAAGAACAACAAAUUUUGACUGAAGACGUUGACGUGGAAUCUUCUGUGCCAAUAGGAGCAAAUAAACAAACAGGUGAAGAUGACACAAAGAUUCCAUAUUCGGUAUAUCAAGCCUUUGUACUGUUUAGGAAACAAACUUUUGUACAUGUCCUCCAAUUUUGUAUUGCACGUGUGCUCAGUUUGUUGUUUCCAAAUGUGUCAGAUCAGGUGUUUGAGUUUGGCUAAUUAGAGAAUCAAACUAACAUGCAAAGUUGAAGUUACAAGCAGUUAUAAAAUCAAAUCCAUUAUUACUUUGUUAGAAAUUCUACUUGAUUUUUUUGAAAUUUGUGAGCAGGGGUAAUUACAUUUAGAAUUUUGCAACAGCUUGAUUUAUCCUUAAAAUAGGAAAAAGCUUCUCAGUGCAGUCAAUAAGGAUUAUAAUGUGUAUCUUAUUGAAAGGGAAGUGCCCGUGGAACUAUAAAUACAUAAACCAUCAGGGAACAUGUUCAUGGUUUUCAUUUUUGUCAUGUUUAUUGCAUUUUCAAAUAAUGUAUCAUCUUCAUGAGGUGGUGUUGGCUAUUAUAUUUUGGAAAAUAUAGAUGAUCUUUACAUGUUUCUAAUAGUUGUAUGUUGAUGAGUUAUUUGGUGCAUUCAAAGUUCUUAGUAAAGCAGUUUAUGCUGCUCAAUUAUCCAUACAAUAAAACCUCCCUAUUUGGUAUACAAUAAAAUAUUCUCAUUCAGUCAUUCCUCGUCUGGAAUUCGUUGUUCCAUUAAUUAUUUGGUUGGUUGAGAGAAAACUCCACUGAAUCCAAUCUGUGCACUGAUUGCGGGAGUGCUACAUAAAAAUGUGUCUGAACAGAACAUAUGACAAGUUCCUGACAUGCACGUUAGGUUUAGCAUUUUUUCUUAACAAAUAUGUUAUUGUGCUUCCUAGCUCAUGUUUACAUACUUUAAAUUAACUUGUUUUCUUAAUGCUUUUGAAUUGCUUUGUUUUUUUAAAUAAUGGAAAAAUGUUCUGUUUAGGUUCGUUUUCUGGAGUGGCCUGAUGAUUUGGAGGGUUUUGUUCUAAAAGGCUAUGGUGAGUCUGUCAUUGCUCAAGGAUGUUGUCCAGUCAAUGGAAGAAACAAUCAAUAGCUAGAGAAGGUAGCUGCAUUCCAUGAUUUCAGUGAAUUUUGAUCUUUAGUAUGUGCUUCUUGGUAUAAAAUCACUUAUAGAUUCAUUCAUUUGAUCAAAACAGGACCCCACUAUCUAAUAUCUAUGACAUUCUAACAGAUAUUUGAGCAUAUUUACGAAUUAUUGUUGUAGAAUCACCUUACCUGACCUUUGUCAUAGCUACCAAGGAGCUUUCAAUUAGGCUUUAGCGGAAUAACAACAAAUUUAAAACACCUUUCCUGUACAACCUCCUCCCCAACACUAGGUCAACUGAUGAUGAUUUUCAAUCACAAUGAUAUAACAACCUAUGAGUUGCUUCACCCAAAAUUUGUGAGCACAAGUAUGUCUAUACUAGAUACUACAUAUAUGGACAGUGUGUAACUCAAACCAUAUCAGGCCACACUACAAAACAUCAUUGAGCGCAGAAACACGACAUGGUGCUAGGUCACAAGGUGAUGAAGACAUCCACACUACUGAUGCAUCUAUACCAAUACAAGUACCAAUUUCUGGUCCCAUUACUCGCGCUCGUGCUCGUCAACUCAACCAUCAGGUGAUUACACUCUUGAGUUCAUGUCCAUCAUAUUUAGACCAUGGAGACCCGUGCACUCUUGUUUUGCUUAGGAAUCAGGGAGAAGACCGAAAGGGAAAAGGAUUUGAACAUGCUGGAUUCGGACUGCAGAAGAACACCAACUUGUGACGGUCACCACGGUCAGAUGCGGGCUCGGAUUGGAAUGUUCAAGCACAACAUGGAAAGCUUAUCAAGUCUACUUUCAUAUGGAUCCGGAAUUAUAGUCAUAUCUGUUCUGAGGCCGCCGUAAUCAUUGUUUUCUUACCGAGACAUUUCCUGCCUUUUCUGCCUAUGGUGCUGCGUCACCCUAUUUUGGCCCAAUGGGUCGUAUAUCAAGUUAGGUCCAUUAGGGACGCAUCCUAGGGUUGCAGCACGACCCCAAUACCCUUGUGGUCGUCCUCCCAUGUUUAUAAACCCCCUAGCCGCCACCAAGAACAGCGGGUUUUGUUUAGAUCAAGUUUAGCUCUCGCUACUUGCUUGCAAGCGCGCGUGCUAGUUCAGCCGCCCGUCUUCUUGUCUUCGGAACCCCACCAUAUUGGAGUUUGAUUUUUAAACCUACAUUUGGAUCUGGUAAUUCAGUACUUGUUCUACUUGUUCUUGCUAGUUCUUCGAUUGCUUGCAGGACGAGUGCCCUAGUGGCCAGGGUGUCACGCUCCACAAGAUCGUGACAGCCAUAGGAGGUGGUGUAUCGGUUGCUAAGGCGCAGCGUCUUUGGAAGGCUGUAGUCGGGCCGUGAACGUCGUCUCCUCCCCCAAUCGAGUUAUUCCACACCCUCUCAUCGAAAGAUCGGGCAAUCACCCAACGGGUGCACAUCAGUUGGAGUUGUAGGUGGGCUGAAGCAAGGAAUACACUAGUACCACGUUAGUUACAAAAGCAAGCUGAAUAAUUGUUCAACGGUGGUACUGUGCUGGUCCUAGGCUAAACCAUGCUAGAGACAUGAGCCUAGGCACAAAGGUAGUCACUGAAAAAGAACAACUAGCACAGCACAAAGAGAAACAACAGAUUUAGAGAUUCAGCCCCCUUCUUCUUCUUUUCCUUUUUUUUCUUUUCUAUUCUUUUUUUUCUUCUAAGAAGAAUCCUAAUAACAUGCCACAAACUUGGGAUGCGUUGAAACGGGUCAUGCGGGCUAGAUUUGUUCCUUCUUAUUAUGCACGUGAUAUGUUAAACAAGUUGCAACAAUUGAGACAGGGUACUAAAAGUGUAGAAGAAUAUUAUCAGGAAUUACAAAUGGGUAUGUUGCGUUGUAACAUAGAGGAGGGUGAGGAAUCUGCUAUGGCUAGAUUUUUGGGCGGGUUAAAUAGGGAAAUUCAGGACAUCCUUGCUUAUAAAGAUUAUGCUAAUGUAACCCGAUUGUUUCAUCUUGCUUGCAAAGCUGAAAGGGAAGUGCAGGGACGACGUGCUAGUGCAAAGUCUAAUGUUUCUGCAGGAAAAUCUACACCAUGGCAACAGCGCACGACUACGUCCAUGACCGACCGUACACCAGCACCAACUCCCUCGCCAAGUCGACCAGCACCCACGCCUUCCUCCGGCGACAAACCACGUGCAUCUUCCACAAAUUCAGCAACCAAAUCUGCCCAGAAACCCGCAGGUAGUGCCUCUUCAGUAGCUUCCACAGGUAGAACAAGAGAUGUUCUGUGUUAUCGAUGCAAGGGCUAUGGACACGUGCAGCGUGAUUGUCCUAAUCAGCGUGUUUUGGUGGUAAAAGACGAUGGUGGGUAUUCCUCUGCUAGUGAUUUGGAUGAAGCUACACUUGCUUUGCUUGCGGCUGAUGAUGUAGGCACUAAGGAACCACCCGAAGAACAGAUUGGUGCAGAUGAUGCAGAGCAUUAUGAGAGCCUCAUUGUACAGCGUGUGCUUAGUGCACAAAUGGAGAAGGCAGAGCAGAAUCAGCGACAUACGUUGUUUCAAACAAAGUGUGUCAUUAAGGAGCGUUCAUGUCGUUUGAUCAUUGAUGGAGGUAGCUGCAACAACUUGGCUAGCAGCGACAUGGUGGAGAAGCUUGCACUUACGACCAAACCGCACCCGCAUCCAUAUCACAUUCAAUGGCUCAACAAUAGUGGUAAGGUCAAGGUAACCAAGCUGGUAUAAAUUAAUUUUGCUAUUGGUUCAUAUCGUGAUGUUGUUGACUGUGAUGUUGUGCCUAUGGAUGCUUGUAAUAUUCUGCUAGGUAGACCAUGGCAAUUUGAUUCAGAUUGUAUGCAUCAUGGUAGAUCAAAUCAAUAUUCUCUCAUACACCAUGAUAAGAAAAUUAUUUUGCUUCCCAUGUCCCCUGAGGCUAUUGUGCGUGAUGAUGUUGCUAAAGCUACCAAAGCUAAAACUGAGAACAACAAGAAUAUUAAAGCUGUUGGUAAUAACAAAGAUGGGAUAAAAUUGAAAGGACAUUGCUUGCUUGCAACAAAAACUGAUGUUAAUGAAUUAUUUGCUUCCACUACUGUUGCCUACGCCUUGGUAUGCAAAGAUGCUUUGAUUUCAAUUCAAGAUAUGCAGCAUUCUUUGCCUCCUGUUAUUACUAACAUUUUGCAGGAGUAUUCUGAUGUAUUUCCAAGUGAGAUACCAGAGGGGCUGCCACCUAUACGAGGGAUUGAACACCAAAUUGAUCUUAUUCCUGGUGCAUCUGUGCCGAAUCGUGCGCCAUAUAGGACAAAUCCAGAGGAAACAAAAGAAAUUCAGCGACAAGUGCAAGAACUACUCGACAAAGGUUACGUGCAUGAGUCUCUUAGUCCGUGUGCUGUUCCGGUUAUUUUAGUGCCUAAAAAAGAUGGAACAUGGCGUAUGUGUGUUGAUUGUAGGGCUAUUAAUAAUAUCACGAUACAGUAUCGACACCCUAUUCCACGUUUAGAUGAUAUGCUUGAUGAAUUGAGUGAUGCCAUUGUCUUUUCUAAAGUUGAUUUGCGUAGUGGGUACCACCAGAUUCGUAUGAAAUUGGGAGAUGAAUGGAAAACUGCUUUCAAAACUAAGUUCGGAUUGUAUGAGUGGUUAGUCAUGCCUUUUGGGUUAACUAAUGCACCUAGCACUUUCAUGAGAUUAAUGAACGAGGUUUUGCGUGCCUUCAUUGGAAAAUUUGUGGUAGUAUACUUUGAUGACAUAUUGAUCUACAGCAAAUCUAUGGAUGAACAUGUUGAUCACAUGCGUGCUGUUUUUAAUGCUUUACGAGAUGCACGUUUAUUUGGUAACCUUGAGAAGUGCACAUUUUGCACCGAUCGAGUUUCGUUUCUUGGUUAUGUUGUGACUCCACAGGGAAUUGAGGUUGAUCAAGCCAAGGUAGAAGCGAUACAUGGAUGGCCUAUGCCAAAGACUAUCACACAGGUGCGGAGUUUCCUAGGACUUGCUGGCUUCUAUCGCCGUUUUGUGAAGGACUUUAGCACCAUUGCUGCACCUUUUAAUGAGCUUACGAAGAAGGGAGUGCAUUUUAGUUGGGGCAAAGUACAAGAGCACGCUUUCAACGUGCUGAAAGAUAAGUUGACACAUGCACCUCUCCUCCAACUUCCUGAUUUUAAUAAGACUUUUGAGCUUGAAUGUGAUGCUAGUGGAAUUGGAUUGGGUGGUGUUUUGUUACAAGAAGGCAAACCUGUUGCAUAUUUUAGUGAAAAAUUGAGUGGGUCUGUUCUAAAUUAUUCUACUUAUGAUAAGGAAUUAUAUGCUCUUGUGCGAACAUUAGAAACAUGGCAGCAUUAUUUGUGGCCCAAAGAGUUUGUUAUUCAUUCUGAUCAUGAAUCUUUGAAACAUAUUCGUAGUCAAGGAAAACUGAACCGUAGACAUGCUAAGUGGGUUGAAUUUAUCGAAUCGUUUCCUUAUGUUAUUAAGCACAAGAAAGGAAAAGAGAAUAUCAUUGCUGACGCUUUGUCUAGGAGAUAUACUUUGCUGAAUCAACUUGACUACAAAAUCUUUGGAUUAAAGACGAUUAAAGACCAAUAUGUUCAUGAUGCUGAUUUUAAAGAUGUGUUGCUGCAUUGUAAAGAUGGGAAAGGAUGGAACAAAUAUAUCGUUAGUGAUGGGUUUGUGUUUAGAGCUAACAAGCUAUGCAUUCCAGCUAGCUCCGUUCGUUUGUUGUUGUUACAGGAAGCACAUGGAGGUGGCUUAAUGGGACAUUUUGGAGCAAAGAAAACGGAGGACAUACUUGCUGGUCAUUUCUUUUGGCCCAAGAUGAGAAGAGAUGUGGUGAGAUUGGUUGCUCGUUGCACGACAUGCCAAAAGGCGAAGUCACGGUUAAAUCCACACGGUUUGUAUUUGCCUCUACCCGUUCCUAGUGCUCCUUGGGAAGAUAUUUCUAUGGAUUUUGUGCUGGGAUUGCCUAGGACUAGGAAGGGACGUGAUAGUGUGUUUGUGGUUGUUGAUAGAUUUUCUAAGAUGGCACAUUUCAUACCAUGUCAUAAAACUGACGAUGCUACUCAUAUUGCUGAUUUGUUCUUUCGUGAAAUUGUUCGCUUGCAUGGUGUGCCCAACACAAUCGUUUCUGAUCGUGAUGCUAAAUUUCUUAGUCAUUUUUGGAGGACUUUGUGGGCAAAAUUGGGGACUAAGCUUUUAUUUUCUACUACAUGUCAUCCUCAAACUGAUGGUCAAACUGAAGUUGUGAAUAGAACUUUGUCUACUAUGUUAAGGGCAGUUCUAAAGAAGAAUAUUAAGAUGUGGGAGGACUGUUUGCCUCAUGUUGAAUUUGCUUAUAAUCGAUCAUUGCAUUCUACUACAAAGAUGUGCCCAUUUCAGAUUGUAUAUGGUUUGUUGCCUCGUGCUCCUAUUGAUUUAAUGCCUUUGCCAUCUUCUGAAAAACUAAAUUUUGAUGCUACUAGGCGUGCUGAAUUGAUGUUAAAACUGCAUGAAACUACUAAAGAAAACAUAGAGCGUAUGAAUGCUAGAUAUAAGUUUGCUAGUGAUAAAGGUAGAAAGGAAAUAAAUUUUGAACCUGGAGAUUUAGUUUGGUUGCAUUUGAGAAAGGAAAGGUUUCCUGAAUUACGAAAAUCUAAAUUGUUGCCUCGAGCCGAUGGACCGUUUAAAGUGCUAGAGAAAAUUAACGACAAUGCAUAUAGGCUAGAUCUGCCUGCAGACUUUGGGGUUAGCCCCACAUUUAACAUUGCAGAUUUAAAGCCCUACUUGGGAGAGGAAGUUGAGCUUGAGUCGAGGACGACUCAAAUGCAAGAAGGGGAGAAUGAUGAAGACAUCCACACUACUGAUGCAUCUAUACCAAUACAAGUACCAAUUUCUGGUCCCAUUACUCGCGCUCGUGCUCGUCAACUCAACCAUCAGGUGAUUACACUCUUGAGUUCAUGUCCAUCAUAUUUAGACCAUGGAGACCCGUGCACUCUUGUUUUGCUUAGGAAUCAGGGAGAAGACCGAAAGGGAAAAGGAUUUGAACAUGCUGGAUUCGGACUGCAGAAGAACACCAACUUGUGACGGUCACCACGGUCAGAUGCGGGCUCGGAUUGGAAUGUUCAAGCACAACAUGGAAAGCUUAUCAAGUCUACUUUCAUAUGGAUCCGGAAUUAUAGUCAUAUCUGUUCUGAGGCCGCCGUAAUCAUUGUUUUCUUACCGAGACAUUUCCUGCCUUUUCUGCCUAUGGUGCUGCGUCACCCUAUUUUGGCCCAAUGGGUCGUAUAUCAAGUUAGGUCCAUUAGGGACGCAUCCUAGGGUUGCAGCACGACCCCAAUACCCUUGUGGUCGUCCUCCCAUGUUUAUAAACCCCCUAGCCGCCACCAAGAACAGCGGGUUUUGUUUAGAUCAAGUUUAGCUCUCGCUACUUGCUUGCAAGCGCGCGUGCUAGUUCAGCCGCCCGUCUUCUUGUCUUCGGAACCCCACCAUAUUGGAGUUUGAUUUUUAAACCUACAUUUAGAUCUGGUAAUUCAGUACUUGUUCUACUUGUUCUUGCUAGUUCUUCGAUUGCUUGCAGGACGAGUGCCCUAGUGGCCAGGGUGUCACGCUCCACAAGAUCGUGACAGCCAUAGGAGGUGGUGUAUCGGUUGCUAAGGCGCAGCGUCUUUGGAAGGCUGUAGUCGGGCCGUGAACGUCGUCUCCUCCCCCAAUCGAGUUAUUCCACACCCUCUCAUCGAAAGAUCGGGCAAUCACCCAACGGGUGCACAUCACAAGGAAUUCUCCUGGUUCUAUGCCUGCUGCUGAACUAUCAUUUUGCUACUCUCCACCUUGUACUAGGCCUUCGGCUCUAAAUCGAUGAACUGACUCCAAAUUUUGCUAGCUCUAAAUGAUUAAUAGCCUAGACUGGUGCAAAACUAAAACCUUACUGUGGCAGUGAAAGGCAUUCUGUUAGGGUGGAAUAUUAUUUUGAUCAUUAAUUAUGUGUUAGUUUUGGUAGGUGUCAUGCAGAGGAGCAUAAUACGACACAGAAGGACAUGCAUCCUGCCAUCACAACACAGAAGCAUGUGUUCCAAUCUGCGGUUACGUGCAAUAACUGUAACCUUCUAGGGUAAAAUAAACCAGCAACACUAAUAAUAUAGCCGCACGCAUGCACUAGUUCCAUUUUUUGUUGGAAUCAGAUGCAUUUAUUAUUUAAGGGUGUUUGUUUGGGAUUAUAAUCUGCCCAGAUUAUAUAAUCCAACAAUUUUUAAAUAGUUCAAAAAUUGUUGGAUUAUAUAAUCUGGGCAGAUUAUAAUCCCAAACAAACACCCCUUAUUGGUGUACAGAGUAUCACUUUAAUAAUUGUUGCAGAUUUCAUUCUUCCAAUGUUUUGUUUAUAGUGGACAGUAACUAUGCUCCCUUUUUUCUACAGCCACUUUGCAGCAGAGUGCACCUCAAAAGCAAUUUGCUAGAACUGCAAAGAGCCUGAGCACAUUGCUACCGAGUGCAAGGAUGAGGCACUGUGCCACACCUGCAUCAAAAUAGGUCACUUGGCAUGCGAUUGCUCUACUUCAUGGGCUAACAUUUGAUAGUUAGAGAUUUUGUCGCGCGGUUUGGCAUUUGUCAUAGUUUGGGAUAUUUCUAUAUAUUAAAGCUGGACACAAAGCUUACACCAUAUGUGUCCACGUCGUCUUCUAUUUUCCAGAACGCACGAUCACAUUUCAACGGCAGAAAACGUUUUGUGUUUCCUUUGCCGUAGCUGUCACCGGCUGAACGUGCGACUCAGUCAUGGAGUAUUCUGGAACCCGAGCAUCGCUUCCUCUGCUACAAAGAAAGAAAGAAAAAAGUCCCCUUCUCUACGCUACGACAAAGUGAUAUGGCCCGUGGUGAAGGACAGAAGGAAGGCAACGACAUCGAUGCCGACGCUCGCCCUACCGUGUCCUCAUCCAUGGGCCUCCUCGGACUGUCUCCGUUGGUGCCUGCCGCCAGCUGCGGCGAGUUCGCCGGCUCCCAAGUGGCGUUACUCAGUGUCGGAGUCGGACCCAGCAUCCGCGAUGAAGAACAUCAAUUCCAAGAAUGUGAAGGCGACCACAACGGUAAAAGACCUUCAAGUCUACUGUCCAGGUGCGUGCACUCUGUCUGUGCUCGAGCUCGAAUCGUUUUCUAGGACAUCUCGGUACUAAUUUCAUUCUAUCAAUGUCUAUCCAAUUAGAAGAGCAGAUGGUCCAUAUUUAUUUAUAUAUAUUAAAAAUUAUUAUCAAAUAAAUAAAGUUACUCUGUUUGUGCUAAGGUAGCUGCUGAUUCAGGAUUCAUCACUCAUUGUUAUAGUACACGCGCAAGGCACGCGGACUUUACUAGUUUCUAUAUAUUAAACGCGACCGCAAAGCUCACUCCUCGAACUGUCCACGUUAGUGUUUUUAAUUUCAGCCGUUCGAUUCUCGUCCAACGACUACAGCCAUAUUUCAGCCAGCGUACAGAUACGGAUGCCUUUUCGGCUCCUCCAAGCGACGGGAGAGUUCUGGAGGUUGCGACGAGGAGCCUCCGUCACACUCGACGAAAGCCAAAGCAAGUGUAGCCGCAAGGAUGCGCUGAUGCGCCGUCUGCUGCUGCUGGUGGCUGGUUCCACCCUGGCGUCGCGGCUGCGGGCGUCUUCCAAGUGCGCCACAAGUUCCCCGCCGGAGUUGAAGGGGGCGCCGGUGCCAACACCAACGCCCUUCGUGCCCACGACGGCCGCCGCCACAGCUGUCGACCUCCCGCUCGGCGGCCUCGACCUCCCCACUAACACAAGGUACAUGUCGGCCCUCGCUAGCUUCUUUAUUUUUUUCAGACUUGAUUUAGCUUCUUUACUUUGGAAGAUUUAUCUGUGGGUGUCCUUGAUUUGGUUGGGGGCUUUUUCGUCGCUGUAGAAAUGUAUGCAUGUUCUUAGAAUAUGCACCUUCCAUUCUACAUUUCUACUACGUAAAUUACCAUGUAAAUGGAUGACCGAUCGUUUACUGAGAAGGAAAAUAAGCAAGAGUAUUUUGCUUACAUAAAUUACCAUACGGAAUUACGGAUGGCCGUUAGCUAAUCUAAAGUAAGAGUAUUUUGCUCUUCUUUUUGUGCACCUUUUUCUCCCCUCUCAGGUGUUUGGAUGGAUGCAUGAUGCAUCCCUCUUUCUUGCCACCCUCCUACAUGUCGGUCCACUGUUUUUCAGAGUUCACUCUUUUGAAAAAAGGUAUAAUCAACGUAUUCCUCUACACUUUUUCAUCCAUGCAACUUUUUUAAUGUAUGUACGUGCUAUGCAUAUUAUCAAUAUAAUAAUAAGUAGAACUUAAAUGCAUCUAAUACACAUAAGAAAACUUUCAGCUUUAAGUUGGUCCAUUGUACAGAAACGACACAACUAAUUUUUCAGAGUUCAUCCUUUUGAAAAAAGGUAUAAUCAAAAUAUUCCUCUAUACCUUUUCAUCCAUGCACUUUUUUAGAGAUCCAACACUUAUAAAAAUACCAUAUAAUUUAAAAAUGAGUAUAUUUUAUAGAAUUUAGGGCACCAACAAAACAUUCUGUUCCAACAGUAAAGUCUCAAGUCUAGAUUAUAGGGCAGCCCACUCUAGUGUAAUAUAUUUGAGACACUUGAGAGAGUGUCCUAUAAUUUUUUGACCAAUUUUUAUAAAAUGAGACACUGUUCAAGUAGUUUUUCCUACAUAAAGUCUCAUAUUUCAAUUUGAGUCAUUGUUGGAGAUGGUCUUAGUGUCUGUACGUGCUAUACAUAUUAUCAAUAAUAAUAAUAAUAAUAAUAAUAAUAAUAACAACAACAAUAAUAAUAAUAAUAAUAAUAAUAAUAAUAAUAAUAAUAAUAAUAAUAAUAAUAAUAAUAAUUUGAACCCAAAUGCAUCUAAUACACAUAAAAUAAUAUCAGCUUUAAUUGUACUACACUUAAGAUCGUUGACCUGCAACUUUGGAUGUUGUCUCUGUGUGUAUAUUUAUGUGUAUACGCAUCAUUGUCUUCCUUUGUUCCCACUCUACCUCAAGAUAAAUAUCACAAAUCUAAUUUGGUCCUUCUUAGUUGUGUAGCUUCAGAAACUCAUUACAUUUUUUUCGAACUUAUCGUUAUUUUAUAGUCACUAAGAUCAUUAUUUAUGGCUUUGGUGCAUGUAUAUAUCCACUUCUCUACGUGUAUGUAUUCAUAUAUAAUUUUACUUCUGUAUAUCUACUACAUAGAUCUUUUAACUGUGCAGACAUAUCGAUCAAAUACUCGCGCUCGCGUUGGCGCGAGUUAGUUACUAGUUUCCAAAAUACUACAGAAAAAGACAAGAUAAUAUGCGUGUCGUUAUUUUGUUUGUGAUUGCCUUCCUUUAUCUGAAUAUUUCGCAUUAAUAAUAAAUGGUUCCCUUUAAUGUACAAUACAAUUUGAGAUGAUCUUGUACAUUAGUGAUUGGUACGGCGCUCGAUAGGGCGCACCCUUUUCUAGUAUAAUAAUAAAGACAUGUACAUUCGAAAGCUCUUAGUUGACAUGAAAUAAUAUCAUAUAUAAAAUUCGGAAAUGAUCAACCCAUUUGAUAGACACGCUGUUUAUCUAUUUAUAGGGAUCGAGCUCCUAAUCUCAUAUACAAUUAUAGUAAUGCUUCACUACAUUUCCGAUUUUUCACUAUACAGUCAUGCCGCACACGUCUUCCGUCUUCUCUAGCUCAAGGAUUUUUUUGAACGCCGCUUUUAAACAAAGGUCCUUGCAAUUCUUUUAUACAUAAUCUAUAACUAGCUGAAUGCCCGUGCGUUGCAACGGGAAUAUAUAAUAUCAGUAUAUUACGAUAACUUAUAUACAAAAUGUGUGUUAUAUUGUUAUGAGAAAAUGUUUCAUAAUCAAUUUGUGAUCCUAGCCAUAUAUAAAUUUGGUUAUUUUAAUCUAGUUAUUUUACCACUACAUUGCAACCAUCAGUAUCAUGCAGACUUCGAUAUAUGCCACGAUUUGUAUGGUCUCAUCAUUGGAGAGCACGUUCCACACAUGCCGGAAAAAUUCUCUCGUACAUCAUUAGUCAUCAGACACGCACCACCAUAUGCUCUUGCUUAAACAAAAAGGUAAGUGUGUAUGUGUUUGCGAAGAGAAUUAAAGGCAGGCCGACACAAAAGCUACCCUGACGGUGGCGAGGAUGACGAACUGGUCACUGUUGUCGAUCCUCCUCUGUGUCACCUCCGGCGCCAAGAUGACGCCACAAUCCUUGAUAUAGUAGUCAUCGAACGCACGCGACAUGACGAGUACCGAUGACUCUUGGUUGGGCUGCCAAACGAAGUGCACCCCGGUCUCAUCAGCGAGGUAGUACCCCUGGCCGUUGCACCACCAAAUGCGCUAUUCCACUACAUACAUCAUGUUCGAGGACACUCACACAACGUCAGCAACGUCCAUCUUCCCAGCGCACAAGAAUUCAUGUCCGGUCAGUAGCGACUUACGUGGCAGGUUGGGCUUUAGGUGGACGAUGAGCUGGACGGCGUGAUGGCGUCGUCGUCGGAUGCGGUGUCCAGAACAACCCGAGAGUCAUCGAUGUUGGCGACAACCAUGAGCCCCCCCUGCUUAACGAUGGACAACGUGGUGCAGCUGCUCUGGACCGCGUCCAAGCGACGGCUUCGCGGGAACUUGUCGUACACAGCAGCGCAUGCGACCACGUAAGACUGCUUUUAGAGAUCGAACUGACAGUCGCCAAGCUUCUUCUCGUCAUCGAUGAGCGAUGACAACGCGAGUGCCUCCUGCUCAUGGAGUUUGUUCGGGGUUUGAAGUAGGAAACAUGGAUUCAUGCUUGGCGUUGGUUUAUGAAAAUGACUCACAAGUCUGAUCCAUGGAAAAAAAUAUUACGAAGAAAAAAUGUCACACAUGCAAAAAAAGGGAAUUUAAGUAUAAUGCAUUAUUCAAACAAAAGAAAUAGCAUGCAAACUCUUCUUUAAAUAAUAUUACCUCCAUCCAAAAAUAUAAUUCAAGAAUCUCGGUGAUACUUAUCUACUACUACGCAUUGUACAAUGGUAGCAUGUGAGCUUGGAGAGAGAUGUAGUAGAUGUGUUUCCUGUCAUAGAUGUAGACAUAAACACAUAUAGGUGGGUGCCCGUCCGUUGCAACAGAAAUAUUUAAUAUCAUGAUAACUUAUGAACAAAUGUGUGUUAUACUGUUAUGUGAAAAUGUUUCGUAACUAAUUUGUGAUCCUAGCUAUACAUAAAAUUUGUUAUUUCAAUCUAACUAUUUCAUCAUUACAUUGCAACCAACAGUACCGUGCAGACUUCUAUACAUGAUAGCUGAAUGCCCGUGCGUUGCAACGGGAAUAUAUAAUACCAGUAUACUACGAUAACUUAUAUACAAAAUAUGUGUUAUACCGUUAUGAGAAAAUGUUUCAUAAUCAAUUUGUGAUUCUGGCCAUACAUAAAUUUUGUUAUUUAUAAUCUAUCUGUUUCAUCACUACAUUGCAACCAUCAGUAUCAUGCAGACUUCGAUAUAUGUCUCAAUUUGCAUGGUCUCAUUAUUGUAGAGCACGUUUCACACAUACCGGAAGAAAUUCCCUCGUACAUCGUUAGUCAUCGGACAUGUACCACCAUACGCUUUUGCUUAAACAAAAAGGUAAGUGUGUGUUUGCAAGACUAAUGGUCAAACAUCGUAUAACCAUAAAGUUAGAAUACUAUAUUAAUAUAUUAAAUAAAUUAAUCCAAUAGACAUAGAUUAACCCAAUUAACAUAGGAUAAAUAAAUAUCUAAUUAUAAAAGUAUGAAACAUGAUAUAAUCAAUGUUGUUACUGCGUAGUAAAUAUUCAUACGAGACUAACACAACUGGAACGGUUCAAUUUGGAAUUAAAAUGGGGAAGUUACGAAUUUCCAAAGUUUCUAUGUAUUUGAUAUAGGAUUAAUUAGGAAAUCAAUUUUAUUGUUGUUUUCAUGACAAAACAGAGGUAUUAUGUGAUAAAAAUAAUAUUAUAGAAUUAUAGAAAUUGGAAUGAACUCAUUUGGAUUUAAUAUAAAAUUUCCAUGAAUUAAAUGGGUUUCUGUAAUUAUUUUUAAACUAAAAAUCAAUCUGCAAUUAUUUUUAAACUAAAAAUCAAUUUCUAAAUUCCUUUUCCCUAUUUUCUUUAUUUCCUGGACUGCGUCCCAAAUUCCAGAAAGAUCAGGGGCUAAGCUAUAAAUGUUUUUCUAGACUCAGUGAGCAUACAGAGUGGACGGCGGGUUAAACACAAAAGAUGUCUUAGUUGAAGUUGUACACAAUUAACAUGAGUCAUGUUGGCUAGAGGGUGGAAGGCUAGGUAUUCUGCUCAAUAGAUCCAAGGUUCGAUUCUUGAGCAGCCAUGGUUUAAUUUUUUUUCUGCGCGCGAAACGGAGGAGGGCAGAACGGCAGACUACUAUUGCUUACUUAAUAGAUAGUAGAGAUUUUCGGAUCUAAACAUUUAAAAAAACUCCGAUAGACAAAGUCAAAAAUCUGACAAAAUCUAAUAUAUGUGUUGACACCUUUUUAGGGCGCCAAUCACUCAACACGAACCAGCGGCGGUGCUCUCUGCACAGGGGCGGACGGUCCGCGGCCAGGGGCCGGACGGUCCACGGCCUGGCGCGAGGUUAGGGUUCCUGCCUGACGGCCGGCGGUCCACGCGUGCGCAGGGGCGGCGGAAGAUCGCCGGCAGCGCCUGGAUCUCGCUCCCGGGAGGGACCCCGUCGGGGAGGAGAGAUCCUAGGUGAUGUCUAGGCUCGGGCAGACCGACCUAGACUCCUCUAAUCGACAUAGAGUCGAAUAGAAGCGGAGAAUUUGGGGAUUGAGAGGCUAAACUAGAAUUAGACUAGAAUUACUCCUAAUUGUACAAGAAAUAAAUACGAAAUACAAGUGUUGUUGAUUCGAUUGAUAAUUCCAAAUCGGCAGUAUAUCUCUCUAUUUAUAGAGGAGGGGGUUGAACCCUUUACAAACUAAUUUCCGAGCUAAUUUCGUGAAUCUAGCUAACAACCGUAGCACAAAACUCGGAACCCUAAACCGCUCUGCGCACGUGCGGACCGUCCGGCCCACAGGCGCGGACCGUCCGUACCGCGGAUCGUCCGGUCUCAGGGUCGGACCGUCCGCCAGCUCAAUCUAGUGCUGAACAUAUGCCCCCUGCCUUUUGGUGGAGCUGAGCAAACCAAAAGCAACUAACUCGAUGUGAUUACAUCGGUUCUCUUAGGCAUCUUGCCACAUACUAGGAUGGUACUGUUUGAGGAAACGCCCAUUCAAAGCCUUGAGUAAAUCCUUGCCUUGUAAUGUUUGUAGUAAAUAGGCAUUACCAGACAUUACCUGUUUUACUUUAUAAGGACCCUCCCAGCUCGGCGACCAUUUCCCAAACUUUCGGUCUUUAUUCCUUAGAGGCAGGAUGGUCUUCCACACCAGGUCCCCUACUUGAAAUGACUUUGCUUUGACCUUCUUGUUGUAGGCCCUGGCUACCAUGAUCUUGUUUCUAUUGCUCCCAAAGCUAUCACCCUCUUGUCGAUCACCUCAUCAAUAUUAUCCAUCAUUGAAUUAUAAUAAUCAAUGACGGUUAGAUCAUUUUGUCUGGCGAACCUGACAGCAUUUAAACUUAUUUCCACAGGCAACACUGCUUGAGAGCACCUAGAGGGGGGGUGAAUAGGUGAUCCUGUAAAACUUAAAACUUUAGCCACAAAACUUGGUUAAGUGUUAGCACAAUAAUCGCCAAGUGGCUAGAGGAGAGUCUCAACACAACACAAUAACCACAAAGAUAUCAAUCACAGAGAUGGCACGGUGGUUAUCCCGUGGUUCGGCCAAGACCAACGCUUGCCUACUCCACGUUGUGGCGUCCCAACGGACGAGGGUUGCAAUCAACCCCUCUCAAGCGGUCCAAAGACCCACUUGAAUACCACGGUGUUGCUUUGCUUUUCUUAAUCCCGUUUGCGAGGAAUCUCCACAACUUGGAGCCUCUCGCCCUUACAAAAGAUGUUCACAAAGAAGCACUGAGCAAGGGAGGGAUUAGCAACUCACACAAGACACAAAGAUCACAGCAAAUACGCACACACAAAACCCAGACUUGAGCUCAAGAGACUAGCACACUAGAACGGAGCUCAAAUCACUAGAAUGUCGAACAAGUGCGCAAGAUUGAUGUGUGAGUGAUCAAGAGUGCUCAAGGAAUGCUUGGUAUUCUCCUCCAUGCGCCUAGGGGUCCCUUUUAUAGCCCCAAGGCAGCUAGGAGCCGUUGAGAGAAAUUCUGGAAGGCCAUUCUUGCCUUCUGUCGUCUGGCGCACCGGACACUGUCCGGUGCCCGAUUUCUUUCCUUCUACGGCGAAGUCGACCGUUGGCAGCUAGAGAGCCGUUGGCGCACCGGACAUGUCCGGUGCACACCAGACAAUCCGGUGCCCCCUUCCGACCGUUGGCUCGGCCACGUGUCCCGCGCAGAUCGCGCGGCCGACCGUUGGCCCGGCCGACCGUUGGCUCACCGGACAGUCCGGUGCACACCGGACAGUCCAGUGAAUUAUAGCCGUACGUCGCCGGUGAAAUCCCGAGAGCGGCCAGUUCGCCCGAGCCAGUCUGGCGCACCGGACACUGUCUGGUGCACCACCGGACAGUCCGGUGCUUCCAGACUGAGCAGACUUCGGCUGAACAAGGCCAUCUCAUUUCCAAUUCGAUUUUUCCUGUUUCCAGCACUUAGACACAAUACAUUAGUACAUAAAACAAUGUACUAAGUCUAGAAACAUACCUUUGUUCUUGAUUUGUACUUUGUCCACCAUUUUACACUUAGGCACUUGUGUUGGCCACUAAAUCACCAAAAUACUUAGAAAUGGCCCCAAGGGCACAUUUCCCUUUCAAUCUCCCCCUUUUUGGUGAUUUAUGCCAACACAACAUAAAGCAAGUAGAACAAGUACAAACUCAAUUCAAAUAAGAACUCAAAUUUGUUUUGAUUCAUAUUUGGCAUAUAUGGAUCACUGUUUGCCACCACUUGGUUUGUUUUUGCAAAUCAAACUCAAAUUUCUAUCUCUAAGUCAAACACACAUGUUAAGACAUAAAGAGAGUCAUUCCAAAAGAAAUUGAUUCAAGAUUUCAAAAACUCCCCUUUUUCCCAUAAUCAGCACUUCUCCCCACAAGAAGCCAACUUUUGACAAGAGAGACAAUAAAAGAGUUUUGACAAAUCAAAAGCUCUAUGACAAAUCAAAAGCUCUAUUCUACUAUUUUCAAAAUCUCUCAAGUGGUAGCUGAUCCAUUUAUCGCUUUGGCCUUUAUUUUCUCCCCCUUUGGCAUCAAGCACCAAAACGGGAUCAAUCUUGGCCCUUUAAUCCCAUUGCCUCACCAAAAUCUUCAACGAAGAGCAAAUAGGCAAUAAGAGUAUAAAGAUGAACUUGGAAAAGUUACUCUUUUCAUUGGAGUGCAGUGGAAGUCUUGCAUGGUCCAAGUCCACCUUUUCCCUUUCAAUUCUCCUUCGAGACUAAAUCAAGCAAACUCAAGCACAUGGUUAGUCUCAAAGGGUCAAGUUGUAACACACCUCCCCCUAAAUAUCUGCAUCACUUGCAUAAGGACUUGUGAGGUCCGGGGAGUGUUUGUACAACUUGAGCACUAUAAUAAGCAACAAAAUGCAGAAAGAACAUGAUCAAAGGCAUAAACACAUGUAUGCUACAAUUCAAUCCAAGUUCCGCGAAUCUAAGACAUUUAGCUCACUACGCAGCCUGCAAAAGGUCUUCUCAUCUAGAGGCUUGGUAAAGAUAUCGGCUAGCUGGUUCUCGGUGCUAACAUGAAACACUUCGAUAUCUCCCUUUUGCUGGUGGUCUCUCAAAAAGUGAUGCCGGAUGUCAGUGUGCUUUGUGCGGCUGUGCUCAACAGGAUUUUCCGCCAUGCGGAUAGCACUCUCAUUAUCACAUAGGAGUGGGACUUUGCUCAGAUUGUAGCCAAAGUCCCUGAGGGUUUGCCUCAUCCAAAGUAGUUGCGCGCAACACUGUCCUGUGGCAACGUACUCGGCCUCAGCGGUGGAUAGGGCAACGAAAGUUUGUUUCUUAGAGUUCCACGACACCAGGGACCUUCCUAAGAAUUGGCACGUCCCCGAUGUACUCUUCCUAUCGACCUUACAUCCGGCAUAGUCGGAAUCUGAGUAUCCAAUCAAGUCAAAGUUAGACCCCUUAGGAUACCAGAUCCCGAAGCAAGGCGUAGCGACUAAAUAUCUAAGUAUUCGCUUCACUGCCACUAAGUGACACUCCUUAGGAUCGGAUUGAAAUCUAGCGCACAUGCAUACGCUAAGCAUAAUAUCCGGUCUACUAGCACAUAAAUAAAGUAAAGACCCUAUCAUUGACCGGUAUGCUUUUUGAUCAACAGACUUACCUCCUUUGUUGAGGUCGGUGUGUCCGUCGGUUCCCAUCAGAGUCUUUGCGGGCUUGGCGUCCUUCAUCCCAAACCUCUUUAGCAAGUCUUGUGUGUACUUCGUUUGGGAGAUGAAGGUGCAGUCCUUGAGUUGCUUCACUUGGAACCCAAGGAAGUAUUUCAACUCGCCCAUCAUUGACAUCUCGAAUUUCUGCGUCAUCACCCUGCUAAACUCUUCACAAGACUUUUGGUUAGUAGAACCAAAUAUUAUGUCAUCGACAUAAAUUUGGCACACAAACAAAUCACCAUCACAAGUCUUAGUAAAAAGAGUUGGAUCGGCUUUCCCAACCUUGAAAGCGUUAGCAAUUAAAAAGUCUCUAAGGCAUUCAUACCAUGCUCUUGGGGCUUGCUUAAGUCCAUAGAGCGCCUUAGAGAGCUUACACACGUGGUCGGGGUAUCAUUCAUCCUUGAAGCCAGGGAGUUGCUCCACGUACACCUCCUCCUUGAUUGGCCCGUUGAGGAAAGCGCUCUUCACAUCCAUUUGGAACAACCUGAAAGAAUGGUGAGCGACAUAUGCUAGCAAGAUACGAAUAGACUCUAGCCUAGCCACAGGGGCAAAAGUCUCCUCAAAGUCCAAACCUGCGACUUGGGCAUAACCUUUUGCCACAAGUCGAGCCUUGUUUCUUGUCACCACCCCGUGCUCGUCUUGUUUGUUGCGGAACACCCACUUGGUUCCCACAACAUUUUGCUUAGGACGAGGCACCAGCGUCCAAACUUCAUUUCUCUUGAAGUUGUUGAGCUCCUCCUGCAUGGCCAACACCCAGUCCGGAUCUAGCAAGGCCUCCUCUACCCUGAAAGGCUCAAUAGAAGAGACAAAGGAGUAAUGCUCACAAAAAUUUACUAAUCGAGAUCGAGUAGUUACUCCCUUGCUAAUGUCACCCAAAAUUUGGUCGACGGGAUGAUCCCUUUGAAUCAUCGCUCGGACUUGAGUUGGAGGUGGCGGUUGUGCUUCUUCCUCCAUCACAUGAUCAUCUUGUGCUCCCCCUUGCUCACACGCCUCCUUUUGAUGAACCUGUUCAUCGUCUUGAGUUGGGGGAUGCACCAUUGUUGAGGAAGAAGGUUGAUCUUGCUCAUCUUGUUCCUGUGGCCGCACAUCUCCAAUCACCAUGGUGCGUAUUGCGGCCGUUGCAAUGUCUUCUUCAUCUACAUCAUCAAGAUCAACAACUUGCUCUCUUGGAGAGCCAUUAGUCUAAUCAAAUACAACGUCGCUAGAGACUUCAACCAAACCUGAUGAUUUGUUGAAGACUCUAUACGCCUUUGUAUUUGAGUCAUAACCUAACAAAAACCCUUCUACAGCUUUGGGAGCAAACUUAGAAUUUCUACCCUUCUUCACUAAAAUGUAGCAUUUGCUCCCAAAUACACGAAAGUAAGAUACAUUGGGUUUGUUACCGGUUAGUAGCUCAUAUGACGUCUUCUUGAGGAGGCGAUGAAGGUAGACCCUGUUGAUGGCGUGGCAAGCCGUGUUCACGGCUUCCGACCAAAAGCACUCGGGGGUCUUGAAUUCUCCAAGCAUCGUCCUCGCCAUAUCUAUGAGUGUCCUGUUCUUCCUCUCUACCACACCAUUUUGUUGUGGUGUGUAGGGAGCAGAGAACUCGUGCUUGAUCCCCUCCUCCUCAAGGAACUCCUCCACUUGAAGGUUCUUGAACUCGGACCUGUUGUCGCUUCUUAUCUUCUUUACCUUGAGCUCAAACUCAUUUUGAGCUCUCCUUAGGAAGCGCUUGAGGGUCCCUUGGGUUUCAGACUUAUCCUGCAAAAAGAACACCCAAGUGAAGCGGGAAAAGUCAUCAACAAUAACUAGACCAUACUUACUUCCUCCUAUGCUUAGAUAGGCUACGGGUCCGAAGAGGUCCAUAUGUAGCAGCUCCAGGGGUCUUGAAGUGGUCAUCACAUUCUUGCUGUGAUGCGCUCCUCCCACUUGUUUACCUGCUUGACAAGCUGCACAUGGUCUAUCUUUUUCGAAUUGCACGUUAGUCAAACCUAUCACGUGUUCUCCCUUUAGAAGCUUGUGAAGGUUCUUCAUCCCCACAUGUGCUAAGCGGCGAUGCCACAGCCAGCCCAUGCUAGUCUUAGCAAUUAAGCAUGCAUCUAGACCGACCUCCUCUUUUGCAAAAUCAAGUAAAUAAAGUUUGUCGUCUAAUACACCCUUAAAAGCUAGUGAACCAUCACUUCUUCUAAAGACAGACACAUCUACAUUUGUAAAAAGUCAAUUAUAUCCCAUAUUGCAUAGUUGACUAACAGAUAGCAAGUUGUACCCAAGAGACUCUACUAAGAACACGUUAGAGAUAGAGUGCUCAUUUGAAAUUGCAAUUUUACCUAACCCUUUUACCUUGCCUUGAUUCCCAUCACCGAAUAUUAUUGAAUCUUGGGAAUCCUUGUUUUUUAUGUAGGAGGUGAACAUCUUCUUCUCCCCCGUCAUAUGGUUUGUGCAUCCGCUGUCGAUAAUCCAGCUUGAACCCCCGGAUGCAUAAACCUGCAAGGCAAAUUUAGGCUUGGGACUUAGGUACCCAACUCUUGUUGGGUCCUACAAGGUUAGUCACAAUUCUCUUAGGGACCCAAAUGCAAGUUUUAUCACCCUUGCAUUUUGCCCCGAACUUCCUAGCAAUUAUCUUCCUAUCCUUUCUACAAAUAGCAAAGGAAGCAUUUAAAGCAUGAUAAAUUGUAGAGGGUUCAUUGACUUUCCUAGGAACAUUAACAACAUUUUUUCUAGGCAUAUGAUGAACAACAUUUCUUCUAAACACAUUUCUACCAUGCAUAUAGGAAGAACUAGAAGCAAACAUGGCAUGAGAGUCAAAAGCAUCAUUACAACUCCUAUAAGCAUUUCUAGGUUGUCUCCUAUCAUGGUACAUAAAAGCAUGGUUCAUUUGCACACUACUAGCCAUAGGGGCCUUCCCUUUCUCCUUGGCGGAGAUGGGAGCCUUAUGGCUUGUUAAGUUCUUGGCUUCCCUCUUGAAGCCAAGUCCAUCCUUAAUUGAGGGGUGUCUACCAAUCGUGUAGGCAUCCCUUGCAAAUUUUAACUUAUCAAAUUCACUCUUGCUAGUCUUAAGUUGGGCAUUAAGACUAGCCACCUCGUCAUUUAAUUUAGAAAUGCAAGCUAGGUGUUCACUACAAGCAUCAAUGUUAAUGUCUUUACACCUAGUGCAAGUUACAACAUUUUCUAUACAAGAGUUGGAUUUACUAGCGAUCUCUAACUUAGCAUUCAAAUCAUCAUUAACACUUUUUAAUUUAGAGAUGGAUUCAUGACAAGUAGAUAAUUCACUAGAGAGCAUUUCAUUCCUUUUAAUUUCUAGAGCAAGAGAAUUUUGUGCACUAACAAAUUUAUCAUGCUCCUCAUAUAAAAGAUCCUCUUGUUUUUCUAGUAAUCUAUUCUUGUCAUUCAAAGCAUCAAUCAACUCAUUAAUCUUAUCAAUUUUAGAUCUAUCUAAUCCCUUGAAUAAGCAUGAGUAAUCUAUCUCAUCAUCAUCACUAGACUCAUCCUCACUAGAAGAAGCAUAUGUAGAGUUUCGAGUACUUACUUUCUUCUCCUUAGCCAUGAGACAUGUGUGAUGCUCGUUGGGGAAGAGGGAUGACUUGUUGAAGGCGGUGGCGGCGAGUCCUUCACUGUCGGAGUCGGAAGAGGAGCAAUCCGAAUCCCACUCCUUGCCUAGAUGUGCCUCGCCCUUUGCCUUCUUAUAUGCCUUCUUCUUUUCCCUCUUGCUCCCUUGUUCCUGGUCACUCUCAUUAUCAGGACAGUUAGCAAUAAAAUGACCAAUCUUACCAUAUUUGAAGCAUGAGCGCUUCCCCUUUGUCUUGGUCUUGCUUGGCUGUCCCUUGCUACCCUUAAGCGCCGUCUUGAAGCGCUUGAUGAUGAGGGCCAUCUCUUCAUCAUUGAGCCCGGCCGCCUCAAUUUGCGCCACCUUGCUAGGUAGCGCCUCCUUGCUCCUUGUUGCCUUGAGAGCAAUAGGUUGAGGCUCAUGGAUUGGACCGUUCAACGCGUCGUCAACAUAUCUCGCCUCCUUGAUCAUCAUUCGCCCGCUUACGAAUUUCCCAAGAACUUCUUCGGGCGACAUCUUGGUGUACCUAGGAUUUUCACGGAUAUUGUUCACCAAAUGUGGAUCAAGUACAGUAAAGGACCUUAGCAUUAGGCGGACGACGUCGUGAUCCGUCCAUCACGUGCUUCCGUAGCUCCUUAUUUUGUUGAUGAGGGUCUUGAGCCGGUUGUAUGUUUGGGUUGGCUCCUCUCCCCUUAUCAUUGCGAAUCUUCCGAGUUCGCCCUCCACCAACUCCAUCUUGGUGAGCAAGGUGACGUCGUUCCCCUCAUGAGAGAUCUUGAGGGUGUCCCAGAUCUGCUUGGCAUUGUCCAAGCCGCUCACCUUAUGAUACUCGUCCCUUCACAAAGAUGCUAGCAACACAGUAGUAGCUUGUGCAUUCUUAUGAAUCUGUUCAUUAAUAAAUAUGGGAUUAUCCGAGCUAUCAAAUUUCAUUCCAGUCUCUACAAUCUCCCAUAUGCUUGGAUGGAGAGAGAACAAGUGACUACGCAUUUUGUGACUCCAAAAUCCGUAGUCCUCUCCAUCAAAGUGAGGAGGUUUACCAAGUGGAAUGGAUAAUAAAUGAGCAUUUGUAUUUUGCGGAAUACGAGAGUAGUCAAAAGAAAAGUUCGAAUUAACCGGUUUCCUUCUCUCGUAGUCGUUGUCGUCGUUGUCCUUUUGGGAAUAAGAGGACUCGUCGCUGUCGUCGUAGUAGACGAUCUCCUUGAUGCGUCUUGUCUUCUUCUUCCUCCCAUCUUUGCGCUUGUGGCCCGAGCCCGAGUCGGUAGGCUUGUCAUCUUUCGGCUCGUUGAAGAUAGACUCCUUCUCGUUGUUGACCACCAUCUCCUUUCCCUUAGGAUCCAUCUCUUCGGGCGAUUAGUCCCUUCUUGAAGAGAACGGCUUUGAUACCAAUUGAGAGCACCUAGAGGGGGGGGGUGAAUAGGUGAUCCUGUAAAACUUAAAACUUAAGCCACAAAACUUGGUUAAGUGUUAGCACAAUAAUCGCCAAGUGGCUAGAGGAGAGUCUCAACACAACACAAUAACCACAAAGAUAUCAAUCACAGAGAUGGCACGGUGGUUAUCCCGUGGUUCGGCCAAGACCAACGCUUGCCUACUCCACGUUGUGGCGUCCCAACGGACGAGGGUUGCAAUCAACCCCUCUCAAGCGGUCCAAAGACCCACUUGAAUACCACGGUGUUGCUUUGCUUUUCUUAAUCCCGUUUGCGAGGAAUCUCCACAACUUGGAGCCUCUCGCCCUUACAAAAGAUGUUCACAAAGAAGCACUGAGCAAGGGAGGGAUUAGCAACUCACACAAGACACAAAGAUCACAACAAAUACGCACACACAAAACCUAGAUGUUGGGGACUUGUUCUCAAAUGCUAUGAAUUAAGAACAAGGCAACAUAAAAUGUUAAAUGUUAACGUCCUUCGUCCAUGAAACAUUAUUCCCUUGAGGAUAAUGAACCUUGGACGAAGGUUAAUGAGAAUAUAAUUACGAAGGUUAAAUCUUCGUAAUUAUAUUUUAGUAGAUUGUAUAAGAUAACAUAAAAUAAAGGGUAUAAAAAGGUAAAUGAAUCAUAAACGAAUUAUAUUAUAUUUAUUCAAUAUAUUGAGUUAUUGAAUACAGUUAUACCUCUGCCUUGGCAAAGAUUGGUUCCCGAAAGACGCGAUUGCAAUUACCAGAAUCCGUGAACAGUAAAGGAAUAUUGUUCACUAUUUAUAGACACAGGACACAGCCUGUGAAGAAUUACAAUUAUGCCCCUCAUAAAAGUUUACAACAUUGACUCAGACCCUUAUGGACUAAAAGGUCAUUCUAUCUUUAAGUCGGUUUGCAAUACCGAAGCUUCAUGAAGAGGAACCUUCGGCCAUCCCAUACAAACAGCUUCAGCCGAAAGCCGCUUCUUCCUACAAGACCUUCGGCGACGAAGCAUAGUCCCAACAGUAGCCCCUUUCGCGGUGCUAGAUCGUUUUUCGUAACGAGCUUGAUCCGUGAAAAAAGUCUCUUAAGCUUCGGGGAGCCGAAGGUCCAAAAAACACCUUCCCUGAGCUCGUUGUCGAGAAACGAUUCAGUUUCCCAGCGCGUAGCGGUCCCACCUUGCAGAGUUAUUGUUUGUCUCUGCGGUCCACCACGCAGCGAGUGCAAGCGGGUGUCCGUCUGGUGUAAAAAUCCUGGCGCUUCGCCUUCUUUCCUGCAGUACUAUAUAAACAGACGAGUAGGUGUGAAGUUACCACAUCAUUCAUUGCUAUUUGCACUGUUUUGCUGCCAAAAUUUUUAACCAUCGCCGAAGCUUGACUCUCGGAAUCGAACGAAGCUCCAACUUGAAGCCUGCUUCGUCAGAAGAAAAAACUUCGGAAAAAAGUAUUUAAUUUCCACAAAUUCAGAAUUAAAUGGCCAGAGUGCGUUCUACCGCUAGGGUUGAGCGUGAGGGGGGCGAAACUGAAGGUUCGGAGACUGUUCCCAUCUCUGAAGCGAUGCAAAGAUCUGGACUGGUAACUUCGGAAAGGAUCCCCAGUGAUGAUGCAGAACAAGCAGAACAAGCAAUUGCCGAAGCAGAAGAAGAAGAUAUUGAGGAAACUGAUCCCGAAGACGAUUAUCGUAUUGCCAUGCCAAGUAAGCCCAGCCACUUGGACUUCGGAAAGUCUACUGUUUCGAAGGCUGAUCUCUCCAAGAUGGUAAAGUCGGGUUUUUUCAGUGAAAAUCAGAAGAAGUUACUUCGCUUCGGGGGGGGGGGGGGGAAGAAACUACCCCGAAGCCAGAGAAAGAUGAAAUAGUUAUUUUCAAGAGCUUUCUAAAGGCUGGGUUGAGAUUCCCCCUGAAUGGAAUUAUUGCAGAAAUAUUGAAUAGAUUUGGAAUCUACUUUCAUCAGCUGACUCCUAACGCCAUCGUUAGGCUCAAUGUUUAUAUCUGGGCCCUCCGAAGCCAAGCGGUGGAACCGUUUGCGGAUAGCUUUUGCCGAGUUCACGAGUUGCACUAUCAGACGAAGGCUAGAAAAGAUGGAUUGCAUGACAACUUUGGUUGCUAUAAUUUUGCUUAUCGGAAAACCACAAAGUUUCCUGUAAUCAGCUACCGAAGCAAAUGGGCAGCAGGUUGGAAGUCGGAGUGGUUCUAUGUCAAGGUUGAUGAUGACAAGGAGAAGCUCGUGCAAAGUCCACUUGAACUAAUCUUCGGAGAAACCCGACCUCGUUGCAACAUGACACCAGAAGGUCCAACCCAACAAGCGUUGGAUGAGUUCAGAAUUAUUUCAGAGCAUAUCAGUACAAGAGACCUGGUACAGGAGUUUUUGGCUUUCAGGGUUUUUCCUAGUUUAAAAGAAUGGGAAAUGCCGAAGCUAGAGGGGGAGAAAAAAGAGGGAGAACUUGUACGAUUACCUUACUAUUUCAAGUUCAAGAAAUACUUUAAAACACCUUGCCAAGAGUGGCUGGAUACAAUUGAAGUAAUGUGUAAUGAAAUACUCGGCAAUUACUCCAAAAAAGAAGAUCAGUUGAUGACUGCAGCCUUCGGCACCCGUCCGAAGCGAAGAUUGAACCGAGUGUUGGAUGCCUUGGGUUUUGAAUACCCUGACUACGAAAAUCUGAAUAAAAGUGUCGAAGGCCGGAAAAGAAAAAGGGUAGCCGAAGCUUCAAAUAAAGAUGAGAAGGAACCAGCAAAAAAGAAGAAUAUUCCGAAGAAAAAGAAAGUAUUAUCUCCGAAGCGAAAGAUAUCCGACAAAGAGGAGACCCCCACAUCACCCUCUGCCACUGAUGUGGAAGAGAUUUUGAAGGUAAUAAGUCCAUUGGGGCCUCAACUGACGAAGUUUUUUCAGAAGGAAAAGGAGCCCGAACAAACGAAGAAAUCAACUAAAACUAAAAGACAAAGAAUCAUCGCAGUAACAGAAGUCAUUGACAAGACACCACCGAGAGCUUCAGCUCAGAAGAUACCAGCAGAUGAAGAAAUAACAAAUAUUGAAGUCACACCUUCGGAGGUCGCGGCUGCCGAAGCUACCUCAAUUGAAGAUUUGAACUUGGAAAGCACAAUUGAGCAUAUCGAUAAAAUACUACUAGACAUGGCCACAGAAGAAGCUACCACUGCCGCCGAAGAGGCCAUGGCCGCAACUUCUGGGAAAGAAAAGGAAAUUGCUGACGAAGCUUUAGAGGACGAAGCCUUCAUGUUCCAAAAUUUAGUUGGACAAGAAUUGUCAGAGGCCGAAGUGGAAGAGCUUAAAGAAUAUGCCAAGUCUUGCGGUUAUAAGCCAGGAGCACUCCUCUUCGGGGGAAUUGACGAUGAAAAAUUGAACUGUAUCCGAGACCAAACUGGAGCUAAGAUCAUCGGUACUCUAUCAAAGAGUAUCGGUUUUCCGAAGCUGGAAACGGACAUCAGCCGCUACCGACGACAACAUAUCGUUGGUAGUUUAUUUUAUUCUAAUUUCAAGGUGAACUACUUUUCCCUUGUCUUUUAUUGUUUUUAAUGAUAAAUACAUGUCUAACGAAGAUUGUUUACGUGUAGAGUAUGCUGCUGAGCAAGGCUUUGAAAAUGCAGCAAGAUUUAGAAGACAAAAAACACGAAGUUAUAAUUGAAAGCUUAGAGAGCAAAAUAAAAGAGCAAUCAGCUACUGUUGAAAAGAAAGACUUCGAGCUUCGGACAACUGAAGGUUUAUUGACAGAAGCUGAAGCUAAAAUAGCAGAAUUGAAUUCGAAGCUUCUCUAUCAAUCUGAACAAUUUGAACAGGAAAAACAAGAACUUAGUAUGAAACUUGAAGCCGAAGUUCAACAAAAUUCAGAUUUGAAAAAAUUAUUGGCAAUCCUUCAAGAAAAAUGUUUGGAAUUUAGCAACAAAUGCAUUCAACGACUGAGAAAAAUUUUCCACUCAGUUGGAGCUAGCAAUGAAAAAUUCACCCCGUCAGCUGAAGAUUUACCAAAGACCUUCGAACAUAUCGAAGGUGAAAUUGAUGAGCUUGACGAAGUUAUAGCUGGGCAUGGUGACUUCUGCGCCUGGGUACCUUCUCGGGGCACUGCUGCAGCUUUCCUAAAAGCUGGCUGCGAUCAUGGAAAGAUUGUCAAUAGGCCCAAUUUCACUUUAUCACCAUCAAUCCUAGAUGACAUUCCUGAUCUCGCCCGAAGUAUUUCCAAUAGAUUUGUAAAAAUGAUAUGGACAAAAGGCGGGCGAGAAAAGGCUGGAGACGAAGCUCGGAGUCAUCUUGAACCAGUAAGAAAUCAUACCUUGUGCUUACCUCUUCCUUCAAGCUCGAUUUUGACUUACAACAACUUAAUUCAUGUAGGAUGACGAAGCCGAAGUCGAUGAUUAAAAAGAAUGACGCCGAAGCUAAAAUCCCUCGAAGAUUAAAUAGGAGUAUACUGUAGACAGAUUCAGGAAACUUUUGAGAUAACUUUUGUAAAUGUAACUAAACUUGUCUUUAAUGAGUUCUGUUCAUACCUUGUAUUAUGCUCUUACCCUUCCAUUAAUGUAUGUGAAGUGCUUUGUUGUGGACGAAAUUAUCUUUUUUGAGCCGAAAGCGAAAAAACACCUUCCCUUCUUUUCGUACACAGCGAAGCAUAGAAAACAACAUUUCCCUUUUUCCGAAGCUCUCCUUUUUGUACGCGAAGAAGCUCUUCUCUUAUGCCGAAGCAACCACUUAUGCCAUGAUGAUGAUUAUCCUACAUAUGCCUAGAUGAAUGUUUUAUGAAUGCAAAUGCUAUGAUGUAAUGUGAUGUGCAAAUGAAUGUCCAAACACAUAUCCGAAGCCAUACUCUCAGCCAUUAUUUUCUUAAAGACAAUCACACAUCAGCUCUGCAUUCCCUUAGGAACGACUUUGGAGCUUCUUCGCCUUUUACUUUCGGCGGAAUCAGCGUUGACUUUUCGCUGUAAGCUCUGCAUUCCCUUAGGAACGACUUUGGAGCUUCUUCGCCUUUUACUUUUGGCGGAAUCAGCGUUGACUUUUCGCUGUAAGCUCUGCAUUCCCUUAGGAACGACUUUGGAGCUUCUUUGCUUUUUACUUUUCGGCACUCGAUGGUGCGUUCUCAGCUUUUACAUUUACAUUUCUUGGGGGAUUUUGCUCUUAUAGAACUAAAAAAGAAAAUUACAUGUGAUGGCCCCAUUAAAAACCUUUCUCCCCCUUUAGAAAGGAAAAGGGUGCCAUGAAAAAGAAAAAACAUAAAAAAUUACAUCAAGUUACACAUAAUAUCGCCGAAGCUCAUCCGCAUUCCAAGAUCUAGGAAUGUCGUUGCCGUCCAUAUCCUUCAAUCUGUAUGAACCGGGUCUUGAUGAAGAUGCUACUAAGAAAGGUCCCUCCCAUUUCAACUGCAACUUGCCCACUGUGUCUGUGUUGGCCACUCUCCGAAGCACCAAAUGUCCUGGCUCAAUAUUCUUUAGCCGAACCUUUCUAUCUCACCAUUUGAUUGUUUCGGCUUGAUAUUUAUUGAUAUUCUCCACAGCUUGAAGCCUGAUCCCUUCUAAAGCAUCUUUUUCCACAGAAUAAGCAUCUUCAGAACCUGGUUCUGCCGAAGCUACUACUCUUAUUGAUCCAGUUUUAGCUUCCUCCGGAGUUUUUGCUUCGUCACCGAAUAAUAACUUGAAUGGAGUAAAGCCUGUAGACCUUGAUGUUGUUGUGUUGUGGCUCCACACCACUUUGGUUAACUGAUCUGGCCAUUUUCCCCUGGGUUGAUUGAAGAUUAACUUCAUUAUUCCUGUCAUUAUAAUGCCAUUGGCUCUUUCAACGAGCCCAUUUGACUCCGGAUGCCUGACUGAUGCAAAGUGGAUCUUCGUACCAAUUUGAUCAUAGAAAUCUUUGAAAGCUUCGGAGUCGAACUGUGUUCCAUUAUCCACAGUGAUGACCUUUGGUACCCCGAAACGACAAACAAUAUUCUGCCAGAAAAACUUUUGAAUGGUGGCCGAAGUUAUUGUAGCAUUUGGAAAAAUAUUCCACAGCCACUACAACAUAUCUUAAGUUCCCUUGGGCCGGUGGUAAUGGACCCAACAAGUCAAGGCCCCACCUUUGCAAUGGCCAGAUGGGUUGUAUGAGCUGUGUUAAGGACGAAGGUUGUUUUUGAUCUCUUGCACAUUUUUGACAACCUUCGCACUUUUGAACUAAUUCCGCUGCAUCCGAAGCUGCCUUCGACCAAUAAAACCCUUGGCGGAAAACUUUUCCAAGUAACGGCCUAGAUCCAAUGUGAGAUCCACACAGGCCUGCAUGUAUUUCUUUCAUCAACUCUAUGCCUUCGGUUCUAGAUAAACACUUGAGCAACGGAGCACAAACUCCAUGCUUGUACAACUCCCCUUCUAUCAUGACAUAUGGACGAGCUCUUGCCUCUAUCCUCCUGUUAUAAGUUUCGUCAUCUAAAAGGAAUUUACCCUGAAGGUAAGAGAUAAUCUCAGUUCUCCAAUCUUCGCUAUAAACAGGAGAUAUAUUGAGGACUACUCUUUCAAGAAGUUCCACCGAAGGUGCUUUUAUUGUUUCGAAGAACACAUCCGAAGGUAAGGGCAGCCCCUGUGCUGCUGACUUAGCUAGCAAAUCAGCAUGCUCAUUUUGUCCUCGAGGGAUAUUUUUGACAGAAAAUCCUUCGAAGGAAGCUUCGACUCUUCGAACCAUGUCCAGAUAUUUUUCAAGCUUCGGAUCUUUAGCCUUGCAACUCUUGUCGAUAUGACCCGAAACAACCUGGGAAUCAGUUUUAAGAAUGGCCCUUCUGAUUCCCAUUGCUUUUAGCUUCCGAAGACCCAAAAGCAGGGCUUCGUACUCAGUAAUAUUGUUUGUACAACUGAAAUCGAGUCUUGCCGCAUAACAAGUUUUAACUUUGGAUGGCGAGACCAACACAGCAGCUGCUCCUGCCCCGAAGGUUCCCCAAGACCCAUCGCAAAACACUGUCCAUACUUCGGCAUCUUUAUUUGUUUCUUCAUCCUGAGCCCCUGGCGUCCAGUCAGCAAUGAAGUCUGCUAACGCCUGAGACUGGAUCGAAGAUCUAUGCACAUAAUCAAUGUAAAAUUCAUUGAGCUCUGCAGCCCAUUUUCCAAUCCGCCCAGUAGCUUCUCUAUUUCUCAUAAUAUCCUUCAACGGCUGCGAAGAAGGAACAACAAUAUUGUAUGCUUGAAAGUAAUGCCGAAGCUUCCUGGAUGCCAUCAAAACAGUAUAUAACACCUUCUCUAAUUCUGUAUAGUUUUUCUUUGAUAUACUAAGAACUUCAGAUACAAAAUACACUGGGACCUGCUUCUUGACUUGGCCAUCAAGCUUCUCCUGGACAAGUGCUGCACUUACCGCUGAGUGCGAAGCUGCCACAUAUAAUAACAAAGGAGCCCCUGGCGUUGGUGGGGUUAAUGUUGUUAAAUCUAUCAGAUAUUGCUUCAGUUCCUCGAAGGCUUUUUGUUGGCUUGGUCCCCAUUGAAAGACUUCGGCUGACUUCAGCACUUCGAAGAAUGGUAAAUUUCUUUCUGCUGAUCUGGAUAUAAAUCUAUUAAGAGAUGCCAACCUCCCUGUUAAUCUUUGGGCCCCCUUUUUUGUAGUUGGUGGCUCCAUUCGAAGUAUAGCUUCAAUUUUACUUGGAUUAGCUUCAAUUCCCUUUGUUGAAACCAAGCAUCCAAGAAAUUUCCCCUUCUUUACUCCGAAGACACAUUUUUCUGGAUUCAACUUUAAGCCAGCUUGUCUGAAACUGGCGAAGGUCUCCUGCAAAUCAGCAAUAUGAUUUUCCUGUUUCGUGCUUUUUACAAUGAUGUCAUCAACAUAAGUUAGCACAUUUCUGCCUAUCUGAGACUGGAGAACCUUCGCAGUCAUUCUGCUGAAACUUCCUCCAGCGUUUUUGAGCCCCUCAGGCAUCCGAAGAUAACAAUAUGUGCCACUUGGGGUUAUGAAGCUAGUCUUCGGCUCAUCUUCCUUCUUCAUCCAGAUUUGGUGGUAGCCUGAGUAACAAUCUAGCAGACUCAUGAGCUCUGAAGAAGCUGCUGCAUCAACUAAAGAGUCUAUCCUUGGCAAUGGGAAUUCGUCCUUCGGACAAGCCUUGUUGAGAUCUGUAAAAUCGAUACACAUUCGCCACUUGCCAUUGGCCUUUUUUACCAUAACAGUGUUAGCUAGCCAUUCUGGGUACUUUACUUCUCUGAUAACUCCUGCACUGAGGAGUCUUUUGACUUCAUUACGAGCACCUUCGGCCUUAUCAUCAGACAUUUUCCGAAGCCUCUGCUUUCUGGGUCUGAAGGAUGGGUCAACAUUGAGCGAGUGUUCAAUAACAUCCCUAUUAACUCCACAGAGAUCAUUGGCUGACCAUGCAAAAACAUCUUUGUUGUUGAACAAAAACCUUAUCAAGGUUUUCUCCUGCUCUUCGGAUAAUUGAGAGCCCAACAGCACCUUCUGCUCUGCUAUGUCCUCACAUAAGAGCAUGGGCUUCGGCUGAUCUGCUGAAGCUGCUUUCUCCCUUCUGAAUUUGUACUGUUCACAAGCUUCAGCUCCAUCUAUGUUAUGGAUUGCUUUUGAGUCAGUCCAGUUUCCUUCGGCCCUUCUGGCAGCUUCCUGACUUCCAUGAAUAGCGAUGGGUCCUUGAUCCGAAGGUAUCUUCAUGCAAAGAUAAGCAGGAUGAAGAAUUGCUUCGAAAGCAUUGAGGGUGCCACGACCAAUAAUUGCAUUGUAAGGGUAUUCCAUGUCAACAAUGUCAAACACAACUUGCUCGGUUCUAGUGUUGUUGAUGAACCCGAAGGUCACUGACAUGGUGAUCUUGCCCAGUGCUACAAUCUGUCUUCCUCCGAAGCCACAGAGAGGGUGUGUAGCAUCAUGAAUCUUAUCUUCUGGCUCUUGCAUUUGCCUGAAGGCCUUAGCAAAUAUGAUAUCAGCUGCACUGCCUGUAUCAACCAAGACAUUGUGGACCAGAAAUCCUUCGAUAACACAAGAGAUAACCAUGGCAUCGUUGUGUGGGUAAUCCUUGAGUUGAAGGUCCUCUUGGGAGAAGGUAAUAGGAAUGUGAGACCAUCUUGACUUGAUGAAGGGUCCUUGCACCCCAACAUGCUGUACCCUUCUCUGUGCUUCCUUCUUCUGCUUCUUGUUGGCUGGCUCUGAACAUGAACCGCCUGUUAUCGGGAGUAGCAGCUUCGGAGCCGAAGCAGCUCCAGCUUGAUCGUUGAACGAAGCCAUCAGCUCAAAAAAGUGGAAGUGAGUUCACCGGAGGUGGGCGCCAAUGUUGGGGACUUGUUCUCAAAUGCUAUGAAUUAAGAACAAGGCAACAUAAAAUGUUAAAUGUUAACGUCCUUUGUCCAUGAAACAUUAUUCCCUUGAGGAUAAUGAACCUUGGACGAAGAUUAAUGAGAAUAUAAUUAUGAAGGUUAAAUCUUCGUAAUUAUAUUUUAGUAGAUUGUAUAAGAUAACAUAAAAUAAAGGGUAUAAAAAGGUAAAUGAAUCAUAAACGAAUUAUAUUAUAUUUAUUCAAUAUAUUGAGUUAUUGAAUACAGUUAUACCUCUGCCUUGGCAAAGAUUGGUUCCCGAAAGACGCGAUUGCAAUUACCAGAAUCCGUGAACAGUAAAGGAAUACUGUUCACUAUUUAUAGACACAGGACACAGCCUGUGAAGAAUUACAAUUAUGCCCCUCAUAAAAGUUUACAACAUUGACUCAGACCCUUAUGGACUAAAAGGUCAUUCUAUCUUUAAGUCGGUUUGCAAUACCGAAGCUUCAUGAAGAGGAACCUUCGGCCAUCCCAUACAAACAGCUUCAGCCGAAAGCCGCUUCUUCCUACAAGACCUUCGGCGACGAAGCAUAGUCCCAACACCAGACUUGAGCUCAAGAGACUAGCACACUAGAACGGAGCUCAAAUCACUAGAAUGUCGAACAAGUGCGCAAGAUUGAUGUGUGAGUGAUCAAGAGUGCUCAAGGAAUGCUUGGUAUUCUCCUCCAUGCGCCUAGGGGUCCCUUUUAUAGCCCCAAGGCAGCUAGGAGCCGUUAAGAGCAAUUCUGGAAGGCCAUUCUUGCCUUCUGUCGUCUGGCGCACCGGACAGUCCGGUGCACACCGGACACUGUCCGGUGCCCGAUUUCUUUCCUUCUACGGCGAAGUCGACCGUUGGCAGCCAGAGAGCCGUUGGCGCACCGGACAUGUCCGGUGCACACCAGACAGUCCGGUGCACACCGGACAGUCCGGUGCCCCCUUCCGACCGUUGGCUCGGCCACGUGUCCCGCGCAGAUCGCGCGACCGACCGUUGGCCCGGCCAACCGUUGGCUCACCGGACAGUCCGGUGCACACCGGACAGUCCGGUGCACACCGGACAGUCCGGUGAAUUAUAGCCGUAUGUCGCCGGUGAAAUCCCGAGAGCGGCCAGUUCGCCCGAGCCAGUCUGGCGCACCGGACACUGUCCGGUGCACCACCGGACAGUCCGGUGCUUCCAGACUGAGCAGACUUCGGCUGAACAAGGCCAUCUCAUUUCCAAUUCGAUUUUUCCUGUUUCCAGCACUUAGACACAAUACAUUAGUCCAUAAAACAAUGUACUAAGUCUAGAAACAUACCUUUGUUCUUGAUUUGUACUUUGUCCACCAUUUUACACUUAGGCACUUGUGUUGGCCACUAAAUCACCAAAAUACUUAGAAAUGGCCCCAAGGGCACAUUUCCCUUUCACUGCUUCCUACCCAUAGACAAGCUCAAAAGGCGAUAUUUUAGUAGCACUAUAUUUAGAUAUUCUGUGAGCCCAUAAAGCUUCGGACAAAAUCUUAUGCCAAUGCUUAGGAUUAUCGGAUAUCUUCUUUUUUAUCAAGUUAAUCAAUGUCCUAUUACUAGACUCGGCCUGCCCAUUGGGCUAAGCAUAAUAUGGGGAUGAAUUAAGCAACUUAAUUCUAUAUAAUUCAGCAAAUUCACGUACCUCCUUUGACAUAAAAGAAGUUCCUUAAUCUGUAAUCAAGGUCUGGGGAAUGCCGAAUCUAUGAAUAAUAUGCUUAGUUAUGAACUCAAUUACCUCCUUGUGCGUCAUGUUCUUCAGAGCAACGACUUCAGUCCAUUUGGUAAAGUAGUCAGUGGAAACUAACAGAAACUGAUGCCCCUUUGAUGAUGAAGGAUGAAUUUCUCCUAUAAAGUCUAAUCCCCAUCCUCUGAAAGGCCAAGGCUUGAUGAUAUGAUGUAAUUCGGCUGCAGGGACCAACUGUAGGUCGCCGAAUUUUUGACACACUUGGCAUCCUUUGUAGUACUUGAAACAAUCAGCUAUCAUGUUAGGCCAAUAAAAACCAGACCUUCGCAACAACCACUUCAUCUUUGGAGCCGAUUGAUGGGUACCACAAAUUCCUUCAUGUACUUCGGCCAUGGCUAAUAUAGCAUCAUCUGGGCCCAAGCACUUAAGCAGGACGUCGUUGACUGUUCGGCGGUAGAGUUCAUCACUCAUCAAAACAUACUUGAAAGUUGUACGCCGAAUGUUCUUACGUGUCCUGAUAUUGGGAUUUCGUAAAUAAUUAGUUAUGGGCAUCCUCCAAUCACUUGUAUCGGCUUCAUUAUCAGCUGAAUCAAUUAGGAGAACUUUCCUGGUAACCCCGGACGGUACGAAAUCUUUACUCAGACGGUCCGCGACCUGGGGAAUUGUGCCGGUUAUCAGAUUUUCAGUGUUGUGAAAUCUCCCUCGCUUUAUCCGAUAACCUGAUGCAUCUUGUGCCAAAUUGUUAGCUCUAUGAUUCUCAACUCUAGAGAUAUGCCGAAUACUGAAUUCGUCGAAAGAAUGAAUUAUGCCCCAACAUUUUUCAAGGUAACUAUUUAGAGUACCAUCAAAACAUUGAUAUUCUUCUAACACCUGUUGGACGACCAGCUGAGAAUCACUAAAUGCCUUCACAUGUGUUUACUCCCAUGCAAUUUAAAAGUUCCAAGCCGAACAAAAGGGCCCCAUAUUCGGCUUGAUUGUUAGUGCAAUAAGUUUUCAAUCGGCUAGAGAAGUCGAAGGAGACAUCACUUGGUGAAACAAGUAUGAUGUCAAUUCCUUGCCCUUCAUUGCAAACCGAUCCAUCAAAAUAUAAAGUCCAAGGAGUAAUAGUGAGGUAUGACAUGUCUAGUUUAUGAAUAUCAUUAAUCCGAUGUUCUACAAUAAAAUCCGCUACGACCUGGCCUCUCAUAGAUUUCAAUGGUUCAUAGGCCAAGUCAUAUUCUAUGAGUGCAUAAGCCCACUUACCAAUUCUACCACUCAUAAUUGGGUUAUGCAACAUGUAUUUGAUCACAUCGGCCUGACCAGAAACAGUGCAAUGACUAGACAGUAAAUAACAUCUACACUGGGUGCAUGCAUAAAACAAGUAUAAGCAUAACUUCUCAAUAAAAGUGUACCUCAUUUUAGCAUCCACCAACCUCCGACUUAGAUAUGUCACCACAUGCUCCUUUCCUUUAGUUUCUUGUGUCAGAACAGCCCCAAUGACCUUAUCUUCAGCUGCAAUGUAUAAUCGGAAUGGUACUCCUGCUCGUGGUGCUUUUAAUACGGGAGCCGAAGACAAGUAUUUUUUAAUGAGAUCAAAUGCUUCCUGCUGCUCUGCCCCCAAGCAAAUUCGGCAUCAUUCUUAAGCCGAAGGAUAGGGGUGAAGGCAUCAAUCUUCCCGGCUAGGUUAGAAAUAAACCUUCGUAAAUAAUUCGCCUUGCCGAGAAACUUCUGCACUUCGACUUUACAGGUCGGAGGUCCCACAUUCCGAAUAGACUUGAUUCGGUCAGGGUCUAUCUCUAUACCAUGUUCAUGGAUGACAAAUCCUAAAAACUUACCAGCCGACACUCCAAAAGCACAUUUACGUGGGUUCAUUUUCAAACCAUACCGACGCACUUUAUCAAAGGCUUUGCGCAAAUCAGCUACAUGAGAACUAAACUCAGUCGAUUUGACUACAAUAUCAUCAAUGUAGACUUCCACAGUGUUUCCCAACAACUCAUGGAAGAUCAAAUUCAUAGCCCUCUGAUAAGUAGCACCAGCAUUUUUCAGACCAAAUGUCAUGACAACCCACUCAAAUAAGCCAAUGAAGCCUGGACAUAUAAAGGCCGUUUUAGACGCAUCUUCUUUGGCCAUGAAAAUAUGAUUAUAUCCGGCAUUACCAUCAAGCAAGCUAAUAAUUAUAUUCCCUGAUGCAUUAUUGAUUAAUGUGUCGGCUAUGGGCAUGGGAUACUCAUCUUUAGGAGUUGCUCUAUUUAAAUUGCGAAAAUCAAUGCAUACUCUAAGCUUACCUCACUCCUUCUCCACUAGCACAAUAUUGGAGACCCACUCUGCGUAUAUGCAAUGUCUAAUAAAAUUAGCUUCUAGCAGCCGGUGGAUUUCGUCCUUGAUUCGUGGGAGAAGGUCUGGACGAAAUGUUCUAUCUUUCUGCUUGAAAGGUCUGAAACCGGACUUAAUGGGCAGCCGAUGCUCUAUGAUCUCUCGGCUUAAUCCUGGCAUCUCAGUGUAAUUCCAAGCAAAGCAAUCCGAAUAUUCCUUCAGUAGACCGAUCAUUUCAUUUCUAGGAUCGGUCUCCAGGGUCUUAUUUACAAAAGUCGGCCUUGGAGUUUUACCAUCUCCUAUGUCGAUCUCCUCUAAAGGAUCGACCGAUGUAAACCCCUAUCCUAGUUUAUCGAGAUCUCUGAAUUCCUCUAUCAUGUCCCCCACAGAGGAAUCAGACGAUCUUUGUGUGAUGGCGGACUCUCCAGUCUCGGGGGUCGGAUCAUCCGUGAUACUGUUUUUAUGCUGUGGUAGAUGUUCGGUCUUAAAGACUGAACUGUUUUGUGAAAGACCGGACCAUCUGGCCUUAGAAGCCGAACUGUCCGUGACCAAGGACUCAUGAAUUUUGUAUGCACUCAUCAUUUAAACUUUAUUUAGGAUUUAGUCGAUUCUCCAUCAGCUCUAGCAUUACAGGGAUGAAACCCUUCUUAUCUAUACUUAUGAACUGGUAAUCAGAAAAAUCUACUCCUGUGAGACAUGUAGCAGUCUCAUAAGUCCAGAGUACAGGGGCAUCAGCCACAACGAUACAGGUCGAUACAUCAGCAUGUACUUGUUCUAUAUCAUCGCCUACCCAUUGUAUCAACAUUUGAUGUAAUGUAGAAGGUAUACAUUGGUUGGCAUGAAUCCAAUCUCUACCUAGGAUUAGACUGUAAUUUCCUUCUACAUCAGCGACGAAGAAUGCAGCGGCAAGGGUCUUAGUGUCGAUGGUUAAUUCAACGGACAUGACUCCCCUGGCUUUGAUCGAACUAUCAGUUCCAACACCGCUGAGGGUCAUGUUGGUCUUGACAAGUUCGUCAUCUUGUUUAGCUAAUUUUCUGUAUAAUGAAUAAGGCAUUAGAUUUACAGCCGCCCCUCCAUCUACUAACAUUUUAGCAAUCGGUAUCCCAUCAAUGUGACCGCGCACGAAGAGCGGCUUUAAAUGAUUUACCGAUUCCUUUGGUUUAGUAAAGGCGGCUUCUUCAGGACCGAAAUCAAACUGGGCAACAACAGGUUCAUCGUCGCCGAUAAUAGUACAAUCGACAGAAAAUGUAAUAACAUUUACAUCCAUACCUGGGCGUUCUGGAGAAGCUUCGUAGUCGACCAGGUCUUCUCUCAGUAGGUCGUCCUCCUCCAUUGAUGUCGGUACGUCAUCGGAGGUGUCCUGGUGUGGUGCGGACGGUCCGGACUCAGGGGUCAGACGGUCCGCGCCUUCUGUAGCUGGUCCAGCCUUUUUAGCUGGGCUGUCUACCAUACAUGCAGGGUGCUACACCAGUGCUGUUUUUUUUUCUAUUUUUGUGGCCGAUUGCUUUUCCUCAACGGCCUUUGGUCUCCAUUUCUUUUGUGGUGGCGGGUACUAUGGAUGUGUGUCAUUGAAUAUCUUUUCGGUCUCCUUUUCCUAAUGCUCUUUUGCUCUUAGGCGCUGUAAUUUUCGCUUUUGCGACCGUGCAAUCCCGCUGGGCACCAUCGAGGCAUGGAGUAUUUUAGAUCGGCUAUUUUGAUGGCAGUCGUAUCUUUUGUUUUGCUUGUGUUGGCCGAUUCACCAAAAACCAUCGGCCAUUCACUUUCUUUUUGUAUGACGACAUCUGCUGUACCUAUUUUGAUGAUGUCCUUUUUUGUCGUUCUUUUAGUUGCUGCAGGCAUAUGCCCCCCUGCCGGAUUGGUCGGCCUUGGAGGCGAGUAGUCCGGCAAUCUUGUUGGGCCUGUGCCUGGUGACCGGAUUGAGCGGCGCUCAAUCGGUCUGGUACUAGUGGUGCCAACCUGUUGAAUACAGAUGUUUGGGGUGCCCCCAAGCGGGGUACUGUGGCAUCCCAAAUGAAUAUGGUGGCAUGCCCCACAUUUGAUUUGGAACAUAUGGUGGAGGUAUGUAUGUGUAUGGAUAUGGCAUAAGUGGAUAUGGGGUUGGAGGUGUCCAUGUAGGUAUGUUAGGUCUCAAUUGUAUAGUAUGACCUUUCAUUUCUUCCGAUUGGUGGGGUGGUCCAAUCGGCCUUACCUGACGUUGUUCAAGAAUGGGUGAGCGGGGUCGCUUUGCUGGCCGGUCACUAGGGCCGGCCUUCUUUUUCACAUAUUUGGACAACAAUUGAUCGAAAGUCGGGUCGGAUUUGACCAGCCGACCAGCUAUUUUAAAUGUAUUUGUUUUCCACGUACCUAUCUUUGGUCGUCGUGGUUUGAAUGUACGUGGUUGUUGCAGGUCCUAAGUGUAGCCGGACCGUCCGCCAGAAGUCUUCGGACCGUCCGGAGAAGCUUCGGACCGUCCGUGUCUGGAUGGCGGACCGUCUGUGAUGCGCAGCACGGGUUCCCACACCUGUCUCCCUGUCUGUGCUUGCCCCUCAGUGCCAGAGGCUGUGAUGGUCACCUUCAGGGUCUCCCCUCCAUCGGGAGUCUUUUCUGCCACUACUUUCCUGCAAGAAAUUUUAUUAUUUUCAUCGGCCUCCCGUGCGUUGCCGAUGAUGAUUUCUUUGCCUUUUCCCUUAUCGACUGUGCUGGGUCGAAUUAGGACCCUUUUGCCCUCGAAGUCGAUCAUGUUCAUCGGAAAGGGCUCUGUAUCCACCUGCAUUUCUUGAAAUUUCAAUCGUCCCUCGUUAAUGGACGAUUGAAUCUGUCGCCGAAACACAUUACAAUCAUUAGUGGCAUGAUAAAAUGAGUUAUGCCACUUGCAGUAUGCACGACGUUUUAGCUCGUCGGCGGAUGGAACAGUGUGAUUUAUUUUAAUGUUGCUAUUUUUGAGUAAUUCAUCAAAUAUUUUAUCACACUUACCAACAUUAAACGUAAACUUAACCUUCUCUUGCCGUUUCUUUUGAACCGGCUGCAAGUAGGAACAAUCAGAAGAUUUGGCCUGUUUUGGCCAAACCAUUUCAGCCACGUAUACCUCUGCUGAUUUGUCGUCCGAGCUACUUUGGUCGCACUCUACUAUAUGGACAUUGUGACGAAUGGUUUUGACAGUCUCUUUGCUUCGGCUUUCACAGGUCAAAGCUCUCUGGUGUAAUUGUGCUAGCGUGAAAAAUUGGAUGCCUUCUAAUCUUUCUUUUAAAUAAUAUUGCAGUCCAUUAAAGGCUAAUCCUGCUAGCUGUUUUUCUGCUAAGUGUAUUUGGAAGCAUCGGUUUCUUAUAUCCUGGAACCUCCGGAUGUAUUCGUUAACCGAUUCAUCCUUCCCCUAUCGCAGGGCCACUAGGUCUACCAAAUCUAACUCAUAGUCACCAGAGAAAAAAUGGUCAUGGAAUUUUUGUUCUAACCCCCCCCCCAUGACGAAAUAGAAUUAGGAGGUAAAGUGGCGUACCACGCGAACGCGGUUCCUGUUAAAGACAAUGAAAAUAAAUGCACGUGAAAUGCUUCUGUGUCGGCCAAUUCUCCUAAUUGUGCUAAGAACUGGCAUAUGUGUUCGCGCGUGUUUUUUCCUUGGUCACCUGAAAAUUUUGUGAAUUCGGGUAUCCUGGUUCCCUGGGGGUAUGGGUGGUGAUCAAAUCGGCUAUCAUAAGGUUUUCGAUAUGAUUGCCCCCAGGUACCAUGCUUACUCCGAGCUUAUCCUGGAACGCCCCGGCUAUUUCAUGCCUCGCUAUAUCGAUGGCAGCCGGUGCGAGACCACCGGCUCUCUGGUCAAACAUAGGUGGUGUUGGCUGGAUAUUAGCGUGUUGUCUUCCCCCCACUGGUUUGAGCUAUGUGGUGCAUUGCCAUUUGCCCUAUAUGGCUCAUAGGAUUGAUCGUUCCUUUCCGGCCUUCUAGGCGGGACCGAAAAGCUUUCCUGGGCUCUGGAUUUUGUAUUAAUGGGCUGAUGCAUUGUAUAGUGUGAUGGGAAGUGUUGUUGGGACGGGUGAGGAUUCAGGUAACAAUCCUCCUCAAAAGACUCAUGCUCGGACUGUCCGGACAUGUACCCGGACCGUCCGUGAUUAUAUGCGGACGUCUGUCGUUGUAUGCGGACGGUGCGACUGGAUAGUUUAGAUUCUGUGCCAUAUGUGGUGGCUCGGGUACAUGUCUAGGUAACUCAUUAAAAAUGGGCCCGGCUGUGGCUGGCUCGGACGGUCCGCGUUCACGUGCGGACGGUCCGGACAUGUGCAGAUCGGCUGAUUUACUGCCGAUUUGCGGUUGCUCAGGGUAUGUGUCCAUCGGCAUCCCGUAAAGGGGUUGUGACUGGUCGUGACAACCUAUAGCCGAUGUAUUACUCAUGUUACCCCCUAAUUCAACCUCGUGCGAAGGAAAAUUUGCUAUACUAGAUUUAUCAAAUGCACGUACUAGUCUCCUAUAAUCGUUUUGCAUACCUCCUAUGAUAUUUUGCAUUUGUUCUCGCUGUUCAUCUACAUAAUUCUUAAGAGAUUGUAGCUCGUUUGUAUUACUUACAUUGGGGAUAUCUGGUGUGGGUCGGAGCGAAGCCAGAUCUGUCGCCCGUUGUCGGACGACUUUAUUGUUCCUGUCAACCUUGAAGUUGGCCAGAAAUUUUGCUCUCACCUCUUGAAUCAGCUGCUCUUUAUGCUCCUCGAACUGGAGCUGUUCGUCAGCCGGCAAGGUUUCCCAAGUCGGCUCUAUAAUGUUGCUGGAGGAGACUUCAGAACUAUCCCUUCAACCGACCAUUGAGGGCCGAUUUGAUGGGUCUAGACGUGUUGUCCCCAGUGGAGUCGCCAAAAUGUAUGUUGACACCUUUUUAGGGCGCCAAUCACUCAACACGAACCAGCGGUGGUGCUCUCUGCAUAGGGGCGGACGGUCCGCGGCCAGGGGCCGGACGGUCCACGGCCUGGCGCGAGGCUAGGGUUCCUGCUUGACGACCGGACGGUCCGCGCGUGCGCAGGGGCGGCGGAAGAUCGCCGGCGGCGCCUGGAUCUCGCUCCCGGGAGGGACCCCGUCGGGGAGGAGAGAUCCUAGGUGAUGUCUAGGCUCGGGCAGACCGACCUAGACUCCUCUAAUCGACGUAGAGUCGAAGAGAAGCGGAGAAUUUGGGGUUUGAGAGGCUAAACUAGAACUAGACUAGAACUACUCCUAAUUGUACAAGAAAUAAAUGCGAAAUAGAAGUGUUGUUGAUUCGAUUGAUAAUUCCAAAUCGGCCGUAUACCUCUCUAUUUAUAGAGGAGGGGGGCUGGACCCUUUACAAACUAAUUUCCGAGCUAAUUCCGUGAAUCUAGCUAACAACCGUAGCACAAAACUCGGAACCCUAAACUGCCCUGCGCACGCAGGAACCGUCCAGCCCACAGGCGCGGACCGUCCGGACCGCGGACCGUUCGGCCUCAGGGCCGGACCGUCCGCCAGCUCAAUCUAGUGCUGAAUAAUAUGUUGACAUAACAAAUUCAUAUUUUUCUAUAGUUAGAUAAGAAAAGGAUACUAAUAUAUUACAACACAAAGACAAUUAAUAAAUUAUAGAUAAAUUAUAAGAGAACAGAUAUAAUGUGUCUGUGCCACACGGCUAGCACAUCGCCUGAUGCGACUCUAAUUUUCAGGCACCUGACGUUUAGGAAAAGUGGAAAAUAAAAGCCACAGCCACAGUUUUUUUAAUAAUGAAAAUAGCCACAGUUUGUAUCGUCACAAAUUACAUACCAGAGGUUUAUCGGAGGAAUAUGUGUUGGCAAUUGUUAUUAACAAAGAAAUAACAGUAUAAGUGAAAUGGUAUAAAUGGAACCAUCUGCCUCCCAAGUCCCAAAUAGAGAACCGAGGGGCAGCAUCAGCAUUGGAUUUGCUUCUGACUGGGUGCUGACUCUCAGAAGACGAGGGUGUCGCGUUGGGCCAAGGUGACCAUGAGCUCGCGGUACCUGUUUACGACAUGAAAUGUCUUUUUAGAUAAAAUAUAGGAAACCUUAUUCGUUGUGCUGAAGAAUGAAAUAGCGAAGCCUUUACCUUAUCAUUUCUUUCAAGUGGCAAGCCUAAAGAAGCAACUUCAAUACUAGUGAGUAGCGUAAGACUAUGUUCAUCGGUUCCAGUGGCGGGCCCAAGAUUUAGAGGGUGGGUAUUCAAAAUUUUUUAUAAGAUAGUUUUUUUGAAGAUUAAAACAUGUCUAUCUAUAUAUAUAAUUAAUUAUAUAUAUGUAUAACCUAUAAUUAAGCAUACACGCUAUGGUCAUAACUGAUUCAAUAACUAGUCUACUAAACUCAAAUUUCAUGAAAUUAUAUCAAAAGUUUUAAAUCGAAAUGCAUCUGUUUGUUGUUGCUCGGUUGCUGGCUGGCUACUUGUCCUCUUUGGCAUUUUCCAAUCGCUAAUGCCCCACUUACAUCCCAGUACUGCAAACAGCAAAUCAGGGGAGGUCAAGGUCGGGUGGCCACAUGAUAGGUGGGCUUGGACAUCGACACGAUGGGACCUUGCCCCCUAGCUGUCUGUCUUGGCACGCUGUGACGCGCCUGACUAUGGUGAAUUGAAGCCUCAGACGACGGACGACAGACGAUGCAACAACGAGGCCAGAUGCAACGCAAUGACAGUUAGCCGGUCAAGUCUAGGUAUCUAGCUAUGCUGCGGAGCCACAAUGGCGCAACGGAGGUGUUGGUGUCUCCAUGGCCCGUAAGACGUGACCACGACUUGGUAGCUGGCCCAUCUGAUGGCUCUGCCAUGGUGCGACUACAAUACGGUUUGGAGAUUUUUUUUUGCCGUGAGGUGCUGAGGUGGGCUUUGUCGCUCUGUUGGGCCUCAUGGUACACGACAAACUAUUAGGUUAGUUAGGUAUGAGAAAUAGGAAAGAGAUAUUUUGGUCCAAAUUAACAUAAUUCCUUUAUUUAUUUGAUUCAUUUUCUAUCUAUGCAUAUACACUAUAUACAUGUAUAUAUACUGAAGUUCUUUUGCCAAAAUAAUGGGUAUUCAUUUGAAUACCCUUGAAUUGAAUGAGGCCCGCCCCUGACCGGUUCCCCCUAAAUUUCUCCCCCUAUAUCCCAUCACAUGCCACAUCAGCAUUCUCUUCCCCCUAUAUCUCCACGCUCUACAGCGGUUCCCUCUAUAUCAAACCUCUAUAUCCCACCACACCAAUAUUAUAUACAUUCCUAUUCAAAUAUUCGGUCGGCUGUUGCACAAACAAAUACCUGUGAGCGUUGGUGGGCGGUGGCGAACAGAGAUAGCAGCUCCUCAAAUCUAGAGGGAAAGAGAGUAUUUGAGAGCACCUAGAGGGGGGUGAAUAGGUGAUCCUGUGAAACUUGAAAACUUAAUGCCACAAAACUUGGUUAGGCGUUAGCACAAUAAUGCCAAGUGGCUAGAGAGGAGUCUCAACAAAACACAAUAACCACAAGAUAUCAACACAGAGAUGGCACAGUGGUUUAUCCCGUGGUUCGGCCAAGACCAACGCUUGCCUACUCCACGUUGUGGCGUCCCAACGGACGAGGGUUGCAAUCAACCCCUCUCAAGCGGUCCAAAGACCCACUUGAAUACCACGGUGUUUUGCUUUGCUUUUCUUUAUCCCGCUUGCGAGGAAUCUCCACAACUUGGAGUCUCUCGCUCUUACACUUGAAGUUCACAAAGAAGCACGGAGUAAGGGAGGGAUGAGCAACUCACACAAGACACAAAGAUCACAGCAAGUACGCACACACAAGACCCAGACUUAAGCUCAAGAGACUAUCACAAGUUUCUCACUAGAACGGAGCUCAAAUCACUAAGAAUGUCGAACAAGUGCGCACGAACGAAGUGUGAGUGAUCAACUAUGCUCAAGGAAUGCUUGGAUUUCUUCUCCAUGCGCCAAGGGGUCCCUUUUAUAGCCCCAAGGCAGCUAGGAGCCGUUGAGAGCAUUGUAGGAAGGCAAAUCUUGCCUUCUGUCGACUGGCGUACCGGACAGUCCGGUGCACCACCGGACACCGUCCGGUGCGGAUUUCCUUCCUUAUUUGGCGAAGCCGACCAUUGGAGUUUGAGAGCCGUUGGCGCACCGGACACUGUCCGGUGCACACCGGACAGUCCGGUGCCCCCUCCCGACCGUUGGCUCGGCCACGUGUCUUGCGCGGAUCGCGCGGCCGACCGUUGGCCCGACCGACCGUUGGCUCACCGGACAGUCCGGUGAAUUAUAGCCGUACGCCGUUAAUCACUUCCUGAGAGCAGCAAGUUCGCCUGAGCCAGCCUGGCGCACCGGACACUGUCCGGUGCACCACCGGACACUGUCCGGUGCACCCAGACUGAGCACACUUUGGCUGAACAAAGUCAUCUUUUCUCCAACUUGUUUUCUCCUGUUUCCAGCACUUAGACACAAUACAUUAGUCCAUAAAACAAUGUACUAAGUCUAGAAACAUACCUUUACUUUUGAUUUGCACUUUGCCCAUCACUUUGGAUACUUUAACACUUGAGCACUUGUGUUGGCACUCAAUCACCAAAAUACUUAGAAAUGGCCCAAGGGCACAUUUCCCUUUCAAUCUCCCCCUUUUUGGUGAUUUAUGCCAACACAACAUAAAGCAACUAGAACAAGUGCAAUAUCAAUGCAAAUGAAAACUCAAAAUUGUUUUGAUUCAGAUUUGGCAUAUGUGGAUCACUCUUUGCCGCCACUUGGUUUGUUUUUGCAAAUCAAACUCAAUUUCCUAUCUUUAAGUCAAAUUCAUUUGUAGAGACAUAAAGAGAGGUGUUCCAAUAGAAAUUGAUCACAGUAUCAAAAACUCCCCCUAUUUCCCAUAAUCAACCAUUCUCCCCACAAGAGACCAACUUUUGACAAAAAGAGCCAAUAAGAGUAUUUUGACAAAAAGCUCUAUUCUAUUAUUUUCAAAAUUCUCAAGUGGUAGCUGAUCCAUUUAUUGCUUUGGCCUUAUUUUCUCCCCCUUUGGCAUCAAGCACCAAAACGGGAUCAAUUUUGGCCCUAGAACCCCAUUGCCUCACCAAAAUCUUCAAAUAAGAAUACAAAGGCAAUGAGAUGAACUUGGAAUAAGUUACCCUCUCAUCGGAGUGCAGUGGAAGUCUUUUAUGGUCCAAGUCCACCUUUUCCCUUUCAGACCUCUUUUGAGACUAAAUCAAGCAAACUCAAGCACAUGGUUAGUCUCAAAGGGUCAAGUUGUAGCACAACUCCCCCUAAAUAUGUGCAUCACUUGCAAAAGGACUUGUGAGGUCCGGGGAGUGUUUGUACAACUUGAGCACCACAAGUAAACAACAAAAUGCAUAAGGAACAUGAUCAAAGGCAUAAACACAUGUAUGCUAUAAAUCAAUCCAAGUUCCGCGAAUCUAAGACAUUUAGCUCACUACGCAGCCUGCAAAAGGUCUUCUCAUCUAAAGGCUUGGUAAAGAUAUCGGCUAGCUGGUUCUCGGUGCUAACAUGAAACACUUCGAUAUCUCCCUUUUGCUGGUGGUCUCUCAAAAAGUGAUGCCGGAUGUCUAUGUGCUUUGUGCGUCUGUGUUCAACAGGAUUAUCGGCUAUGCGGAUAACACUCUCAUUAUCACAUAGGAGUGGGACUUUGCUCAGAUUGUAGCCAAAGUCCCUGAGGGUUUGCCUCAUCCAAAGUAGUUGCACGCAACACUGUCCUGCGACAACAUACUCGGCCUCAGCGGUGGAUAGGGCAACGGAAGUUUGUUUCUUAGAACUCCAUGACACCAGGGACCUUCCUAAGAAUUGGCACGUCCCCGAUGUACUCUUCCUAUCGACCUUACAUCCAGCAUAGUCGGAGUCUGAAUAUCCAAUCAAGUCAAAGGUAGACCCCUUUGGAUACCAGAUCCCGAAGCAAGGCGUAGCGACUAAAUAUCUAAGAAUUCGCUUCACAGCCACUAAGUGACACUCCCUUGAAUCAGAUUGAAAUCUAGCACACAUGCAUACGCUAAGCAUAAUAUCCGGUCUACUAGCACAUAAAUAAAGACCCUAUCAUAGACCGGUAUGCCUUUUGAUCAACAGACUUACCUCCUUUGUUGAGGUCGGUGUGUCCGUCGGUUCCCAUUGGAGUCUUUGCGAGCUUGGCGUCCUUCAUCCCAAACCGCUUGAUCAAGUCUUGCGUGUACUUUGUUUGGGAGAUGAAGGUCCCAUCCUUGAGUUGCUUCACUUGGAACCCAAGGAAGUAGCUUAACUCGCCCAUCGUCGACAUCUCAAACUUUUGAGUCAUCACCCUGCUAAACUCUUCACAAGACUUUUGGUUAGUAGAACCAAAUAUUAUGUCAUCGACAUAUAUUUGGCAUACAAAAAGAUCACCAUCACAUGUCUUAGUAAAAAGAGUUGGAUCGGCUUUCCCAACCUUGAAAGCAUUAGCAAUUAAAAAGUCUCUAAGGCAUUCAUACCAUACUCUUGGGGCUUGCUUAAGUCCAUAGAGCGCCUUAGAGAGCUUACACACGUGGUCGGGGUACCGUUCAUCCUCGAAGCCAGGGGGUUGCUCCACGUACACCUCCUCCUUGAUUGGCCCGUUGAGAAAAGCGCUCUUCACAUCCAUUUGAAACAACCUGAAAGAAUGAUGAGCGACAUAUGCUAGCAAAAUACGAAUAGAUUCUAGCCUAGCCAUAGGAGCAAAAGUCUCCUCAAAGUCCAAACCUGCGACUUGGGCAUAACCUUUUGCCACAAGUCGAGCCUUGUUCCUUGUCACCACCCCGUGCUCGUCUUGUUUGUUGCGGAACACCCACUUGGUUCCCACAACAUUUUGCUUGGGACGAGGCACCAGUGUCCAAACUUCAUUUCUCUUGAAGUUGUUGAGCUCCUCUUGCAUGGCCAACACCCAAUCCGGAUGUAGCAAGGCCUCCUCUACCCUGAAAGGCUCAAUAGAAGAGAUAAAGGAGUAAUGCUCACAAAAAUUAACUAAUCGAGACCGAGUAGUUACUCCCUUGCUAAUGUCGCCCAAAAUCUGGUCGACGGGAUGAUCCCUUUGAAUCAUCGCUCAAACUUGGGUUGGAGGUGCCUGUUGUGCUUCUUCCUCCAUUACAUGGUCAUCUUGUGCUCCCCCUUGAUCACACGCCUCUUCUUGAUGAACCUGUUCAUCGUCUUGAGUUGGGGAAUGCACCAUUAUUGAGGAAGAAGGUUGAUCUUGCUCCAAUUGUUCUUGUGGUCGCACAUCUCCAAUCGCCAUGGUGCGUAUUGCGGCCGUUGGAACAUCUUCUUCAUCUAUAUCAUCAACAUCAACAACUUGCUCUCUUGGAGAGCCAUUAGUCUCAUCAAAUACAACGUCGCUAGAGACUUCAACCAAACCCGAUGAUUUGUUGAAGACUCUAUACGCCUUUGUAUUUGAGUCAUAACCUAAUAAAAAACCUUCUACAGCUUUGGGAGAAAACUUAGAAUUUCUACCUUUCUUCACUAGAAUGUAGCAUUUGCUCCCAAAUACACGAAAGUAAGACACAUUGGGUUUGUUACCGGUUAGAAGCUCAUACGAGGUCUUCUUGAGGAGGCGAUGAAGGUAGACCCGGUUGAUGGCGUGGCAAGCCGUGUUCACGGCUUCCGACCAAAAGCGCUCAGGGGUCUUGAACUCUCCAAGCAUCGUCCUCGCCAUAUCGAUGAGCGUCCUGUUCUUCCUCUCUCCCACACCAUUUUGCUGUGGUGUGUAGGGAGCAAAGAACUCGUGCUUGAUCCCUUCCUCGUCAAGGAAUUCCUCCACUUGAAGGUUCUUGAACUCGGACCCAUUGUCGCUCCUUAUCUUCUUCACCUUGAGCUCAAACUCAUUUUGAGCUCUCCUUAGGAAGGGCUUGAGGGUCCCUUGGGUUUCAGAUUUAUUCUGCAAAAAGAAUACCCAAGUGAAGCGGGAAAAAUCAUCAACUAUAACAAGACCAUACUUACUUCCUCCUAUGCUUAGAUAGGCGACGGGUCCGAAGAGGUCCAUAUGAAGCAUCUCUAAAGGUCUUGAUGUGGUCAUCACAUUUUUGGUGUGAUGAGAGCUUCCCACCUGUUUGCCUGCUUGACAAGCUGCACAAGGUCUAUCUUUUUCGAAAUGCACAUUAGUUAGACCUAUCACGUGUUCUCCCUUUAGAAGCUUGUGAAGGUUCUUCAUCCCCACAUGUGCUAAACGGUGGUGCCACAGCCAGACCAUGCAAGUCUUAGCAAUUAAGCAUGCAUCUAGACUGGCCUCCUCUUUUGCAAAAUCAACCAAAUAAAGUUUGUCGUCUAGUACACCCUUAAAAGCUAAUGAACCAUCACUUCUUCUAAAGACAGACACAUCUACAUUUAUGAAUAAACAGUUAUAUCCCAUAUUACAAAGUUGACUCACAGACAACAAGUUAUAUCAAAGUGACUCAACUAAGAACACAUUAGAAAUAGAGUGCUCGGAUGAAAUAGCAAUUUUUCCUAACCCUUUCACCUUGCCUUGGUUCCCAUCACCGAAUAUGAUUGAAUCUUGGGGAUCCUUGUUCUUGACGUAGGAAAAGAACAUUUUCUUUUCCCCCGUCAUGUGGUUUGUGCAUCCGCUGUCGAUAAUCCAGCUUGAGCCCCCGGAUGCAUAAACCUGCAAGGCAAAUUUAGGCUUGGGUCUUAGGUACCCAACUCAUGUUGGGUCCUACAAGGUUAGUCACAAUGGUCUUAGGGACCCAAAUGCAAGUUUUAUCUCCUUUGCAUCUUGCCCCUAAUUUCCUAGCUAUUACCUUCUUAUCCUUUCUACAAAUGGUAAAUGAAGCAUUGCAAGCAUGAUAUAUUGUUGAAAGUUCAUUAAUUUUCCUAGGAACAUUAACAACAUUUCUCCUAGGCUUAUGAUGAACAACAUUUCUCCUAGACAUAUCUCUACCAUGCAUAUAGGAAGAACUAGAAUCAAACAUGGCAUGAGAAUCAAAAGCAUUAUAACUUCUAUAGGCAUUCCUAGAAUGUCUCCUAUCAUGAUACAUGUAAGCAUGGUUCUUUUUAGCACUACUAGCCAUAGGGGCCUUCCCUUUAUCCUUGGCGGAGAUGGGAGCCUUAUGGCUUGUUAAGUCCUUGGCUUCCCUCUUGAAGCCAAGUCCAUCCUUAAUUGAGGGGUGUCUACCAAUCGUGUAGGCAUCCCUUGCAAAUUUUAGCUUGUCAAAUUCACUUUUGCUAGUCUUAAGUUGGGCAUUAAGACUAGCCAAUUCAUCAUUCAAUUUGGAAAUUGAAACUAGGUGUUCACUACCAGCAUCAAUGUCAAAAUCUUUACACCUAUUGCAAAUCAUAACAUGUUCUACACAAGAGUUAGAUUUACUUGCUACUUCUAGUUUAGCAUUUAAAUUAUCAUUAACACCUUUUAAAGUAGAAAUGGUUUCAUGACAAGUAGAUAGUUCACAAGAAAGCAUUUCAUUCCUUUUAACUUCUAGAGCAAGUGAAUUUUGUGCACUAACAAAUUUAUCAUGCUCUUCAUAUAAAAGGUCCUCUUGUUUCUCUAAAAGUCUAUCCUUUUCAUUCAAGGCAUCAAUCAAUUCAUUAAUCUUAUCUAUUUUAGUUCUAUCCAAUCCCUUGAACAAACUAGAGUAAUCUAUUUCUUCAUCACUAGACUCAUCAUCACUAGAAGAAUCAUAAGUGGCAUUGUUUCGAGUACAUACCUUUUUCUCCUUCGCCAUGAGGCAUGUGUGACGCUCGUUGGGAAAGAGGGAUAACUUGUUGAAGGCGGUGGCGGCGAGUCCUUCAUUGUCGGAGUCGGAUGACGAACAAUCCGAGUCCCACUCCUUCCCAAGGUGUGCCUCGCCCUUAGCCUUCUUGUAUGCCUUCUUCUUUUCCCUCUUGUUCCCUUUUUCCUGGUCACUAUCAUUAUCGGGACAGUUAGCAAUAAAAUGACCAAUCUUACCACAUUUGAAGCAUGAGCGCUUCCCCUUUGUCUUGGUCUUGCUUGGUUGUCCCUUGUGACCCUUUAGCGUCGUCUUGAAGCGCUUGAUGAUGAGUGCCAUCUCUUCAUCAUUGAGCCUUGACGCCUCAACUUGUGCCACCUUGCUAGGUAGCGCCUCCUUGCUUCUCGUUGCCUUGAGAGCAACGGGUUGAGGUUCAUUGAUUGGACCAUUCAACGCGUCGUCCACGUAUCUCGCCUCCUUGAUCAUCAUUCGCCCGCUUACGAACUUCCCAAGAACUUAUUUGGGCGACAUCUUGGUGUACCUAGGAUUUUCACGAAUAUUGUUCACCAGAUGUGGAUCAAGUACAGUAAAGGACCUUAGCAUUAGGCGAACGACAUCAUGAUCCGUACAUCGCGUGCUUCCGUAGCUCCUUAUCUUGUUGAUGAGGGUCUUGAGCCAGUUGUAUGUUUGGGUUGGCUCCUCUCCCCUUAUCAUUGCAAAUCUCCCAAGCUCGCCCUCCACCAACUCCAUCUUGGUAAGCAUGGUGACGUCGUUCCCCUCAUGUGAGAUCCUGAGGGUGUCCCAGAUCUGCUUGGCAUUGUCUAAGCCGCUCACCUUAUUGUACUCUUCCCUGCACAAGGAUGCUAAAAGGACAGUAGUAGCUUGUGCAUUUUUAUGGAUUUGUUCAUUUAUAAACAUUGGACUAUCCGAGCUGUCAAAUUUCAUUCCACUUUCAACAAUCUCCCAUAUGCUUGGAUGUAGAGAGAACAAGUGACUACGCAUUUUGUGACUCCAAAAUCCGUAGUCCUCCCCAUCAAAGUGUGGAGGUUUGCCAAGAGGAAUGGAAAGCAAAUGUGUAUUUGAGCUAUGCGGAAUACGCGAAUAAUCGAAAGAGAAGUUUGAGUUAACCGUCUUUCUCUUGUCGUAGUCGUUGUUAUCGUUGUCCUUUUGGGAAGAAGUGGACUCGUCGCUGUCGUCGUAGUAGACGAUCUCCUUGAUGCGCCUUGUCUUCUUCUUCUUCCCAUCUUUACGUUUGUGGCCCGAGCCCGAGUCGUUAGGCUUGUCAUCCUUCGGCUCGUUGACGAAGGACUCCUUCUCCUUAUCGUUGAUCACGAUUCCCUUCCCCUUAGGAUCCAUCUCUUCGGGCGAUUAGUCCCUUCGUGAAGAGAACGACUCUGAUACCAAUUGAGAGCACCUAGAGGGAGGGGGGGUUGAAUAGGUGAUCCUGUGAAACUUGAAAACUUAAUGCCACAAAACUUGGUUAGGCGUUAGCACAAUAAUGCCAAGUGGCUAGAGAGGAGUCUCAACAAAACACAAUAACCACAAGAGAUCAACACAGAGAUGGCGCAGUGGUUUAUCCCGUGGUUCGGCCAAGACCAAUGCUUGCCUACUCCACGUUGUGGCGUCCCAAUGGACGAGGGUUGCAAUCAACCCCUCUCAAGCGGUCCAAAGACCCACUUGAAUACCACGGUGUUUUGCUUUGCUUUUCUUUAUCCCGCUUGCGAGGAAUCUCCACAACUUGGAGUCUCUCGCUCUUACACUUGAAGUUCACAAAGAAGCACGGAGUAAGGGAGGAAUGAGCAACUCACACAAGACACAAAGAUCACAGCAAGUACGCACAUACAAGACCCAGACUUGAGCUCAAGAGACUAUCACAAGUUUCUCACUAGAACGGAGCUCAAAUCACUAAGAAUGACGAACAAGUGCGCAAGAACGAAGUGUGAGUGAUCAACUAUGCUCAAGGAAUGCUUGGAUUUCUUCUCCAUGAGCCAAGGGGUCCCUUUUAUAGCCCCAAGGCAGCUAGGAGCCGUUGAGAGCAUUGUAGGAAGGCAAAUCUUGCCUUCUGUCGACUGGCGCACCGGACAGUCCGGUGCGGAUUUCCUUCCUUAUUUGGCGAAGCCGACUGUUGGAGUUUGAGAGCCGUUGGCGCACCGGACACUGUCCGGUGCACACCGGACAGUCCGGUGCCCCCUCCCGACUGUUGGCUCGGCCACGUGUCUUGCGCGGAUCGCGCGGCCGACCGUUGGCCCGACCGACCGUUGGCUCACCGGACAGUCCGGUGCACACCGGACAGUGCGGUGAAUUAUAGCCGUACGCCGUUAAUCACUUCCCGAGAGCAGCAAGUUCGCCUGAGCCAGCCUGGCGCACCGGACACUGUCCGGUGCACCACCGGACAGUCCAGUGCACCCAGACUGAGCAAACUUUGGCUGAACAAAGUCAUCUUUUCUCCAACUUGUUUUCUCUUGUUUCCAACACUUAGACACAAUACAUUAGUCCAUAAAACAAUGUACUAAGUCUAGAAACAUACCUUUACUUUUGAUUUGCACUUUGCCCAUCACUUUGGAUACUUUAACACUUGAGCACUUGUGUUGGCACUCAAUCACCAAAAUAUUUAGAAAUGGCCCAAGGGCACAUUUCCCUUUCAGUAUUCCCGUCGCGUAGAGGGAGGUGGAGAGGGAACCGCUGAACACUAUAGGGGGCGUCCGACGGCUACAGGGAUAGGGGAGGGGGAGGUCAGCGAGAACCGUUGAAAGCAGUCUAAGCGCUUCCAGCGGAUGUGUGGAAUCUUUGGUCAGGUUAGGGCUUGUUCGUUUCCGGCUGAAUUCACGUGGAUUGGACAGGAUUCUGUCGGUUUAAAUCUAUAGCAAGUCAAAAUUUCUACUAAUUUUUUCUAAUCUCAUCCAAUCCAUGUGGUAUAAGAAUAACCGAACAAGACCUUACAGGGUCGGGCCUAGGCAUGUGCGAGCCGUGCGCUCGCACAGGGCCUCCAAAAACUGAGGGCCCCAAAACUUAGCAGAUGUAUAUAUUUUAGUUUUAUAAUCUUCUACACAUGUUAAUAUGUAGCACAUAUUUUUCUCCCUACCAUACAUCUACGCUGAAGUGAAACUACCAAACGCUGCACUAAAGAAUAAAUCUUCAUAGAAUCUUAACAUAUCUGUCCGCGUGAACAAAGUUCUCUAAAUUAAAGCUACUAAAUUUAUAUUUGUGUUCUACUAUGAUAAAAAAAAGACGUAUUAUCUAGCCACAAUAACACUCGAGAGUGAAGCUUUGGAGAAGAUCGAAUAUAAGCAUAUUGUACAAGAUUUUCUUUAAAACCCACAAAAAAACAAUGUUAUUCAAAUAAAAUAGAAAUGUUUCUUUAGAUAUUAUAUUGCAAUAUAUAUUAUUGUAACUUGCAGAUUGUUAUUACUGAUUUUUAAUAAAAAUAUAUAUUACACUGCUUUAGAUUUGGCACAGGGUCUCAAAUUUCUCCGGCCCGGCCCUGAGACCUUACUAUAUUAGGUUCUCAGCAUCUAUUCUUCAAGACAUCACAAUCUAUUAUCCUUAUGCACCGGAGAGAUGGCAAUACGCUGCAGACUUGAGAGAGAUUUCAGAUCUGUUGACAGGGAAGCCUUUGAUCGCCGUCCCCGCCUCGUUCUUGCUUGCUAGGGGCUAAAACCACACGUGGUUGUUCGGUUAAGCCAAUCCAAAAAAAGAUCAGAGAGGAUUAAAUCCUCUCUUAGUUAAAAUUAAAUAGAGAGAGAUUUAAUUCCCUUUAAUUCCCUUCUCGAUCGGUCUAACCGAAUAAAUCCUGAACUAGUUACAUUCAUCGACUAGCAGCAAGCAUGUAUCACACCAGGCAUGUCCCCUACAAAGGUCACCGUGAACGAGCUCCAGCAUGUCCCCUCCGUGAUACUAGGCUGCCUUGGUGAAAUGAGCUUCCUCCCGCCAAACAUGUAGCACACCAUCUGCUACCUUGCCAUCCGCGCGAGCACAUCGAAGUUCAGGUGCUCCAAGUGGGCAUGCUGCAACAACUGCUCCUCGUUGUGCCACUGCCACGCCACCAAGCACACUGGCAGUGGCUGCACAAUGUUCAGAUCAACCAUGUACAGGUGUAAGAUGAUGCAGACUCCCUGCUUUCGAUGGAGGCUCAACAGGAGGUUGUGGACAAGAACGCAGGAAAUAGAAGUGGGAAGGGGCUGGUGGCGUUCCGGACGCUGGAGAGUUCCUCCAGUGCGCCCCAGGCAACCUCCUAGGACUAGGAUAUUUUCUUCUUUUGAUAAUCCCUAGUACAAACUACCUCUGGUCUCUUAUGGACUGAGCCUAGGUUAAUAUAGAAACAAAUCAUAUCACUCUCAACUUGCUAGAAAACAGACUGACUAAAUAUAGAAACUUAUCUGCUGUCUCUUUUAUUCCUUAUUUGCUGACUGACUAAAUAUAGAAACUUAUCUGUUGUCUCUUUUAUUCCUUAUCUCAUGUUUCCUUUAUUCCUGGAGAUUCCUUCUCUGGUAUACCUUUCCUACAAAUGCAUCGGUAUCAUUUCCCCCUCCCCCAAAAACAGGUCGUCCGCGACCUGGAGACCAGGAAAACGGCGACGAAAGUCCUCCAGCUGAACCCAGGUUGCAUCAGCUGCUGAUUGUCCUAGCCAUUGCACGAGCAGUUUCCACAUACCUCGGUUCUUGCGUGCCUUAGUAACCUUCUCAGGCUGAGGCAGGACUGCCAUGUAAUAUUGGGGGUAGAGGAACUAUUGCAGCCGAGGGAGCCCUCGUAUAUUUCUUUAGUAAAGAGACACAAAACACAUUAUGGAUGCGGGCGUGAGAUGGCAGGGCAAGCCUGUAAGAUACUGUCCCAAUUUCCUCCAGAACCUGAUAGGGACCAUAGAAGCGAGGCCCAAGCUUAGAGUAGGCGGCUGGUGUGAUUCCUAAAGCUGUACACUGUUGCAGUCGAACCCACACCCAAUCCCCGACAGUGAACUGCACUUCCCUUCGAGACUUAUCCUGGAAUUGUUUCAUUGUGAGCUGAGCCUGUAUGAGGCGUUCCUUGAUCUGAGCUAAAAAUUCAUCCCGAUCUUGUAACUGAGUGUCAAUAGCAGCUACAGGGGGAAGUCCCGGUUGGUAAGAGAUAAUAGCUGGAGGGUCUCGUCCAUACACAACCCGAAAUGGUGAACAGCGAAGGGUUGUUUGAAAUGAAGUGUUAUAAGUUAUAACAGUACUCCGCCUAGGACAACCACUGUAACCAUGUGCGUGGUCGAUCCCCAGCUAAGCAUCGCAAGUACAUAAAGAUGAUCCGGUUAGUAACUUCAGAUUGGCCAUCGGACUGUGGGUGGAACGCUGAACUCAUCUGCAACUUGACCCCUGUCCUGGUGAACACCUCAGUCCAAAAUGUACUAGUGAAAAUUGGAUCAUGAUCACUGACGAUGGAGCAAGGAAUACCAUGGUGAUGAACAAUAUGAUCAAAGAAAGCCUUAGCUACCGAAGAUGUUGUAUAGGGAUGGCUGAGAGGCAUGAAAUGAGCAUACUUUGAGAAGCGGUCCACCACGGUAAGAAUAACUGAUUUGCCUCCAACCUUUGGAAACCCCUCCACGAAAUCCAUGGCUAUAUCGCUCCAAACCCCUGAAGGAACCGGAAGUGGCUGUAACAAACCUGCCGGAUGAAGGUGUUCGGACUUAUUACGUUGACAGACUGAACAACCCUUGACAAAAUCUCUUAUGCGGCUGACAGCAAGGGGACUAUGGAAGGAAGCCCUCCAAAGGUUGAGGGACUUUUCGAUGCCCUCGUGGCCUUCUUCAUGAACUGAAGCUAACAACAGGGGCCACAUGGAUGAGGCAUAUAGCACAAAAAAAAUUCCCUUGAACAGUAAGAGACCAUCAACCUCGGACCACCCUUCCUUCGCAGUUCCAGCCACCAACUGCUGCCUGAGCGCAACCGCCUGUAAAUCAGAUCCCAUCUCAGCCCGUAGAGUGUCAAACAGAGCAAAUGUGGGGGUGGAAAUACUGUGUAGGUUCAGCAGGACUUCAUCUCUGCGAGACAACGCAUCAGCAGCUCCAUUGAGUUUGCCCGGCUUGUACUCAAUUGUCAUGUCAUACCCAAAUGAUUUGCUGACCCAUGUAUGUUGAGGGAUGGUGGAUAACCGUUGGUCUAGGAUGAAUUUCAAGCUGUAGUGAUCAGUCUGAACUGUGAACGGUCGCCCCCAGAGAUAUGGACGCCAAUACCUGACAGCUUUAACCAAGCCAAUCAAUUUUCGUUCAUAUGCUGGCAGCUUUUGAUGAUGAGGGGCUACUGGCCUACUGCAGAAAGCUAUGUUGCCCUCACCUUGAUGUAAGAUAGCCCCAAACCCAACUCCAGAAGCAUCACAAUCAACAAUAAAGCGACGAGUGAAGUCUGGCAUCUGCAGAAAUGGUGUUGUGAUGAGGGCUUGUUUGAGCAAUGUAAAAGCCUCGGCUGCUUCCGGUGUCCAACGAAAAGACUCCCUUUUCAAUAAGGCGGUGAGAGGUGUUGCUAUUGUUCCAUAUCCAGCAAUAAACUUCCGAUAAUAUCCGGUUAGUCCCAAAAAACCUCUGAGAGCUCGCAAACUAUUAGGAAGUGGUCAGGUUUCCACUGCAAAAACUUUGUCGGGAUCCAUGGCGACCCCUGUUGCAGAUAUGAUAUGUCCGAGAUAGGCUACUGUAGCAGCCCCGAACAAGCAUUUGGAGCGUUUCAGGACAAGUUCAUGGUCACGGAGGGUCUGUAGAACCAACUUGACAUGCUGCAGAUGGGUUGUCCAGCUAUUACUGUAAAUGAGGAUAUCAUCAAAAAAUACCAGCACGAACUUUCUGAUAAAUGGUUUCAAUAUGUCAUUCAUCAAGCUCUGAAAUGUAGAUGGGGCGUUAGUGAGCCCAAAGGGCAUGACUAGGAACUCAAAAUGGCCACGAUGGGUGCGGAACGCUGUUUUUUUCCACAUCUGCUGGGUACAUGCGUACUUGAUGGUAGCCACUUCUUAAAUCUAACUUGGUAAAGAAUACAGCACCACGGAGUUCAUCCAAUAAUUCAUCGACCACUAGAAUUGGAAAUUUGUCCUUUACUGUUUUGUCAUUAAGGGCGCGAUAAUCCACACAAAACCUCCAGGAACCAUCAGACUUUUUCACAAGAAGCACUGGGGAUGAAAAAGCGGAGGUGCAUUCUCUAAUGAUACCUUGCUGUAACAUAGCGUCACACUGUUGCUCUAUUUCAUCCUUCAACAAUUGAGGGUACCGAUAUGGUCAUACUGCCACAGGUGGAGUACCGGGCAGUAAUCUGAUCUUGUGGUCAUGGCGGCGAGAUGGAGGGAGGUCGUGAGGUUCUCUGAAAAUAUCCUCAAAGGAAUGGAGCAAAGCCUCCAUGAGAUCACCUCCUGAUGCUAAAGCUGCACACUGUGGUGGCAGAGCACCAAUUCCAGUCCACUGAAUGUUACUGCCUCGAUAUAAGAAUGACAUGGAGAGGGCCUCAAAAUUCCAUAAAAUUGGUCCGAGAGUGUGAAGCCAAUGGACACCUAAUACAAUGUCAAAUCCAUCCAAUGGUAGGGUAUAGAAGGAUAUUGAGAAAUCAGCUUCUCCAAUAACCAGAGGCAGUUGAGUGCACACACCCGCAGUAGUUACCCGAUCUCCGUUGGCCACCUUCACCGUCAGACCUUGACGAGGUUCAACUUGAAGCUGCAGCUGGCUGACCACAGAAUCAUUGAUGAAGGAAUGUGUCGAACCAGUGUCCACGAGGGCCACUAACUGACAGCCAUACAAACAAACAGACAGUUUCAUGGUAGUGCCAAUAUCAAUACCGAUGAGAGCAUGGAGAGAGAUGCCAACAUCAUCCAAUGUUUCACCACCCUCAUCAUCUUCUGUUAAUUCCAGCAAGAAAACCCCUUUGUUUGCACAUCUGUGAUCGGCAGUAUACUUUUCAGUACAAUGGUAGCACUCACCACUAGCCCGCUUUGCUGCUAAUUCUUCACUGGAAAGACGCUUGAACCGAGGGCGUUGGUUGCCAACAACUGAUUUAAUAGGCGUACUCACGCCACGGGCUGCAGGGUGCGCCGUGGAGUGUGUGCUUACAGCCAGCGCCAUGCGACGCUCAUAUGCUCGAGCAAGGUUGAUUGCUGACUGCAAAUUAGUUGGCCCUUGGAGUUCGACGUCUGUCCUCAAUGGCUCACCCAAGCCAGCGGUGAAGAGGUUGGUCUGUUGACGCUGCGAAAGAUUGUCACAACGGCAAAGCAGCAAGGAAAAUUGACGUGUAUAAUCAUCCACUGUUCUAGUGCGAUAGAGAUCCUUGAGGUUAGCGAGGCCAUUCAUGCGCAGUGGGGGGCCCAACCUAAGAUUGAUCAAUUCGGAGAAACGGCCCCGGGUAAUGUCGUCGUAGUCGCGCUCGAUGGUGUAGUACCAUUCAGCGGCAACUUCGUCGAGGUGCAGGGACGCCAUCCAGACCCGUUCCUCGCGUAGUGUCCUCAUGCCGCGGAAGUAGAUAUCACAUUUUGUCAGCCACGCCAGGGGGUCCGAUUCGCCGUCAUAGGACGGAAAAUUGGGUCUGGGCCGAUGUGAGCUGUCCUCCCGACGGAAGGGGGCAUCCCCGCCGCCGUCGCCACCGCCCAACCCCUCCUUGAAGCGGCCGCCGUCGUUGGGGGGUUUUGGAACCCCUAAAGAUUCUUCCUCCGUGGGUGGAAUUUCCACGCGGGCAAGUCGACGAUCAUGAGAUUCGAGGCGUGUGUUGAUGGUGGUGAUUUGGGCUAGCAUUUGGGUUUGGUGAUCAAGGAUUUGGCGUAGGGAGUCAGCGAGUCCACACCCAUCAGGAUUCUGUCCAGUGCCGGACUCGAAAGUCAUGGCGCUGGCUGCCUCUGAUACCAAAUGAUGUAGAUUCCCUGCUUUCGAUGGAGGCUCAGCAGGAGGUUGUGGACAAGAACGCAGGAAAUAGGAGUGGGAAGGGGGAGGAGGAUUCCUGGUGGCGUUCCGGACGCUGGAGAGUUCCUCCGGUGCACCCCAGGCAACCUCCUAGGACUAGGAGAUUUUCUUCUUUUGAUAAUCCCUAGUACAAACUACCCCUGGUCUCUUAUAGACUGAGCCCAGGUUAAUAUAGAAACAAAUCAUAUCACUCUCAACUUGCUAGAAAACAGAAUGACUAAAUAUACAAAUUUAGUUGCUGUCUCUUUUAUUCCUUAUCUGAUGUUUCCUUUAUUCGUGCCGAUUCCUUCUCUUGUAUACCUUUCCUACAAAUGCAUCGGUAUCAUAAGAACCCUCACAGCACCCUGAAUUGGUACUAGAGCGAGGAGAUGAACACGUCCUCGAGCUCCAUCCAUGCUGCACAAAUGUUGCUCAUCGUCCGCCAACGACGAAUCUCCAGAAACACUUGGAGAGAUCCCAUCGUUGUGAUGGUUCCGUAAAGCCCAAGCUCCUUACGCUCUCACCCACACUCAAUCCAUGGCUAGAGGUAGAAGAAGAGUUGAGAACAUAGCACUACACAAGCACAAGUGCAGGAAAAUGAACUGCCUUCUCUAUUGCAUUGCCUAGAGUAUUUAUACAAUACUAGUAACAACUAUAAGGUACACUAGUACAUGGGUGAUCUUAGACCGAACUACUCCUGUAUGGCUUGCUGAUGCAUGCCACUACAGCGAAAGGGCCUCUAGCCUAGUGGUUAAGAACUUCCGAGUAGCACCUCCAAGUCCUGGGUUCGAUUCCCCUCGGGAGCGAAUUUCAGGCUUGGUUAAAAAAAUCCCCUCGCUGUACCCCAUCCGCUCUCGGGUUACGAUGUCCUGUGCGCCACCCUCCGGUUGAGCCGUUGCAGAGUGGACAGUUGACGCUGGCCUGUUAGUGAUGGGGGCCAGGGUUCGGGGAUUUUCUCGGCCGGGACCAUUGUUUCGGUCUCUUCUUAAUUUAAUACCGGGAGGGCGGUCUUUCCCUCCCCGGCCGAGUUUUUUGAUGCAUGCCACUACAUAUAGAUCGGCCUGUUGCCAUACUACUACAGCACCCUGAAUGAACAACAAGAUAAUAAAUGCCAACUCCAUGCUACAGCAAAAUAAUCAAGGGGCGCAUCAAAUUUUCUCGAAUAUAAAUUGCAGUCAGAAAACAAAGUUCAGAAAAGAAAUUAGAUUGCAGUUACUCCAAGAAUCGAGAGCUCGGACCUAGAUGCCCAUCCUGUCUACAAACUACAGCAGACAGCUAGACACCAGUCCUCUCGGGCUUUCGGCAUACUUGUGGUUGAGGAAAAAAGAAUUUCCUGGAGCUUGAAGCUACAGAAGUAAAUAAAAAUGCAGACCACACAACAGAGCACUUAAGAAAGGUAUACCUGCCAGCGACAAGAAUAGGAUGGAAGCACAAAUUUAAUUUAGAAACAUAUCUUGCCCAAUAUUCUUACUUUCUUCUAAGAAAGAUAGUAAAGGUAUGAGACAUUCCGGACUCCAUUUCGCCUCACAUAGGACCAAUUGUCACAUGAAAAAUAAAAGCCAUAGCCACAGUUAGUUACUUCAUUCUGUCGGAGAAAUACACAUUGGCAAUUGUUUAACAAUCAAGGAAUGAUAUAACAAGUGAAAUAGCGAAGCAAAUGCAAGCGAACCGCGGGGACGACAGCAUUAGCUGACGCAUUGGCUUCUGACUUGGUCCUGAACUCUGGAGCUUCAAGAGGAGAGAGCGUCGCGUUGGGGUGACAUCGAGGUGCCUGUUUAGAACAUAAAAUGUUUUAAAUAUUGGGAAACUCAUCAAUUGUGCAGGAAAAUGAAUAAGUAGAACCUGUACCUUCUCAUUCAUUUCAAGUGGCAAGUCUAAAGAAGCAAGUUUGGUAUUAGUAGAUGUGCUUCCAGCGAAGGUGCGAAAUCUUUGGCCAGCUUUCCCCAUCAGGUUCUUGGCAGUUCUUCUUCAAGACGGGACAAUACCGUAUAGUUAUGCGCUUGAGGGAGGAUGGCAGAUCAGGUAAAGAUGCUAUGUUGGGGCAACACCCUAUAGAAAGACUCUCCAGACUUGAGAGGGAUUUUAGAUUUCUUGGUAGGGACUCCGUUUUGCAAUACCAAAAUUCCAGGCACUUGACAGAUGAGAGAUUUGCAGGCUCUUCAAAUGAAACCGAUGGCUCUUUGCAAUAUGAAAGAUCAAGAUUCAGUGGGACUAUAAACCCUUUAGCCAUUAGCAUGUGGUUGAGCAAUACAGAGCUACUAACCGUGAGCGAUUCCUGGACACGAAACUGUGAGAUGCACUUGGCAGUGAGGUUUGCAACAUCUACUAAACUUAGGUGCUUAAGGUGCAGGGAAGACAAGCCUUCAACAAAGCAAAGAUCAGGGAGACCAUUUAGACAUAAUGAUUCAAGGGAGGUCAGGUGGCCAAUCGAUAAGGAUGGGGAGCUUCUGCAGACAUUAAUGUAAAGACGUUUCAGGUGUGGCAAGCCAUUAAUGAAUGAAUCAACUGCAAGAAUGCAGCCACAGAUUCUGAGAUCGCUAGCAAGGUUCAACGGCAUUAGUUCUGAUCCACGUGCUAGCUCUAAAGAAGGACAAUCCAAACAGUGAAGAUAGGAAAGAGAUGGAGCAGCAUGUAAGCCCCCCAGUGAUUUGAGACACAAACAACCUAUUACAACCAACCUGACAAGCUUUGUCAAAUGCUCAAACACCUUUUCUGAUGGAAGUGUAGUUAAUGCCAUAUUAUAUUUCAAUUUUAAAUUCCUCAAUGAAAUGAGGCCACCAAGGCAAAUAGCUAAAGCUUCAUCUGUAAUACUGCAUGAAGAAAGAGAAAGUUCACAGAGUCCUGACGGUAGAACUAAUGGCAUCUCCAUGGUCCUUCCAUAAAUGAAUCUUAUCCUCUGUUCAUGGCAAAAGAGCCAUGCCUUGAUGAUGUUUUCAUUCAUCCAUACUUUAUCUUCUCUUUCCUCCAGACCACUUUCAAUGAUUUGAAGAUGCUUUGAUAUAUCAUCAUCCAUCAUCAAUGUCAUCAACUGCUUCAGAGAUGAAUAGUCUUUCGACAGUAUACUCCUAACUUUUUUUCCUGAAUCCACCUCCCACAUCAAUGUAAGUUUAGAUGCCAGGUCGUCUGCCUUGAUUAUUAUAUUUUCCCUCAAGUCAUGCUGUCCUAGCUCAUUGAUAAACAUAAGCAGUGGGCACCAAUCAAUUGAUAAAUCUGUAAGGCCUGCUGGAAGAUUAGAUAGUUCCUUCAAAUUUGGAACAAAGUUUAUACGCAACCUAGAGCAAUUCCGAAGGAGCUCUGUAUCUGGUGGUAGGCCUUCUAGCAAACUGCAAUUACUAAGCUCAAAACUUUCCAAAUUCUCAAAAUAGGAUCGCUCUAGUAACCACCCAGGAUAUGUAUCAGAUCUGUAACCUUUGAUUCUGAGCUUACUCAGUUGGGGUGGCGGUCUCAGACCUUCUAGAAUAUCCAUUGCAUCCAUGCCAUUCUCGGAACUCCACUCAAAUGCCAACUCUUUAAGGCGACUUUUCAGAUAUAGCUUCGACUCUACGGCUUCAUCCUUUCCAAUGACAUUCUCAAGAUUUUUCACUUUUAAACUGCCACCAAGCUCAUUCAAGUCCUUCAACUGUCGCAACUCAUAGCCUUGCUUCUUCUGUACAUAAAAGACAUAAAUGUGUUGUAGCGACGUUAACUUACCUAUAUUCAGAAUUUGGCAAAUAGGCUUUUCAGUCGCGAAAUCAUUCACGUACGCUCCUAGAUGUCGUAGCUUUCUUAAAUUGCAUAGUUUGUCAGGCAAAUUCUCCACCAUGUGGUUUAACCAAAGUAAUUGUAAGUGGUAGAGAGUACAUAAUGAUGUAGGCAAUUCAGAAACUAACGUCCUGAUGAGGUUCAAAUACCGGAGGUGCUUCAGCUCACCAAUAGAUUCUGGCAACUUGCUGCUGUUGUAAAAUGAUAGAGACAAUACACGCAGUUUUCUUUGGUUCCGUAGCAUGCCAUCAAAAAUAUCACUUGGGCCAUCCAUUAGCGGAUCGAUGCAGAUAAAAGUGCGUAAAUGAUAUAGCUUGCAGAUAAUUUGCUUAUGCUUUUGCAUACUUUGAACAUGAACAGAUAGAUGUCGAACAGUGCAUGGUAUUUCUGUCACAUUAUCAUCUUCUAAUCUUUUUUAGAUAAUGGAAACCAGGUUCUGGCUUUGUCCUCUAUAAAAGGAGGGUACAACCUUACAAACAAACUAACAUCAAAAGAUCAACACUCCCAACAUAGAGUGCAAUCUUACACCACAAACAUUAAAAUAAACAUGACACCCAACAGACAUAAUAUAACCUCAAUAUGUAAUCCUGUUCGUAAAACUCCAACCAAAAUAAGAAAAAAAUUGCAUAGAUGCGACUUCGAUCCGUCGACACGUCUCCUUGAUUAUCUCCUGGUCUUCAACCCUCUGCAAAUAUCCCCAAAACCUAAGCCUAUGGGUCGCCCGAAAUAGAACCUGCAAAUAAGUAACCAUCGGUGUUUUGUUAAACACUAAGUCAUUCCGACUUAUCCAGAUAGCCCAACAUAAAGCUGCAACACCUGUAAUAAUCAAAUUUUUAACUUUGAGGUGCACCCCAUGCAACCAAGAUCCAAAAAUAUGUUUAAAUGAUCUCGGGGUACUUAAACCAAAACAACAAUAUAAAAGCCUCCAAAAGAAUCUAGCGUAAUGACAUUUAAAAACAAGUGUUGUAUAGAUUCAUUCGAAUCACAUAACACACAUUUUUUACUUCCCUGCCAUCUACUCUUAGCUAGAUUGUCUUUCGUGAGAGCUACCCCUCUAAUAAGAUACCACAUAAAGAUCUUAUUCAGAGGUAUUUUCAACUUCCAGAGCGGUUUGAAAUAGAAAAUCUUGGCAUUAUUAUUAAGAGCAUUGUACAUCGAACGGACCGUAAAAAGCCUCGAGGUUGACAAAUUCCAUUUGAACUCAUCUCUCCCAGUGGAUAGAUGAGUAUGAGCAAUACUCAAGACCAAUCUAUUCCAACAUAAAAGAUUACCACCCACUAGAGCUCUGCGGAAAGAGAUGUUUAGAGGAAUCCUAUUAAAAACAUUCGCUACCGUAUCACUUUUUUUACGAGCUAUAUUAUAUAAGGACGGAAAUUUUAUCAUUAGAGGUUGUUUACCCGUCCACGUGUCCUCCCAAAAUCUAAUCUGCUUCCCAUCUUUAAGAAUAAAGGAACCAAGACCAAAGAAUUGGUCUUUAACUUUCAGUAGCCCAGACCAAAAAUGAGAGUCACCAGGUUUUCUACCUACCUUUGACAAGGUACAAGAUUUGAGGUAUUUGUUCCUAAGUAAAUUCUGCCAUAGACCGUCCUCAUUAAUCAAUUUAAAUAACCAUUUACCAAGCAAACACUUAUUUUGAACCUCUAUGUUCUGAAUACCUAGACCCCCUUGGUCUUUUGGUUGACAAAGAAUAUCCCAACGUGCAAGUCUAUACUUUUUUUAUGAUGAUCUCCUUGCCAGAAGAACCUAGAGCGAUAGUAGUUUAUUUUUUCCAGUACACCCUUAGGCACUUCAAAAAAAGACAACAUAAACAUAACUAAGCUUGUGAGAACAGAAUAAAUCAAGACUAACCGGCCACCUACCGACAUAAGUUUUCCCUUCCAGCUGCUCAAUUUCUUUUCAAACUUUAUCUCUAUGGUUUUCCAAUCACUAUUACUUAACUUUCUAUAAUGCACUGGGAUCCCCAAGUAUCUGAAAGGAAAGCCGCCUUUUGGCAUCUAAAUAGAGAGAGAUAGAGUGUUUCUUCCUCCUCAGUCAAACCAAAACCAAAAAGCUCACUUUUAUGAUAAUUUAUCUUUAACCCUGAAACUUGUUCGAAAGUUAUCAAUAAGAGCUUUAAAUUUGCCGCUUUUGCUAAGUCAUGUUGCAAAAAAAGGACGGUGUCAUCCGCAUAUUGCAGAAUGGAUAAACCUCCAUCCACUAAAUGCGGGAUGAGUCCUUCGAAUUGACCCUCCUCUUUUGCUCUAUUUACCAAAAUAGCAAGCAUGUCUGCAACUAUAUUGAAUAAAAUAGGAGAAAGAGGGUCCCCCUGGCGUAAACCUUUAUAAGUCUGGAAACUUGCACCAAUAUGGUCAUUCAUUUUAAUGCCAACAUGACCACCUGUUGUGACUUAAUUAAUCCAGGAACACCACUUUUCGGAAAAACCUUUCAUACGUAAUGUUUGUUGUACAAAAGGCCAUUUGAUCUUAUCAUAAGCUUUCUCAAAGUAAAUCUUCAAAAUCACCCCACAAUCCUUUUUUCUACGCAGCUCGUGAAUAGUCUCAUGUAGAACCACUACCCCUUCCAUGAUAUUCCUGCCUGGUAUAAAAGUUGUCUGGGAAGGGCCUAUUACCUUACUUGCUACCCCCGAUACUCGAUUUGUAAGUACUUUGGUAAAGAUCUUAAAACUAACAUUUAGUAAACAAAUAGGUCUAUAAUGUUGAAUAGACAUAGCAUCUUUACUUUAAUGCACGAGAAUAAUGUGGCCAAAAUUAAGUCUAAAAAGAGGUAACUCCCCCUUAUGGAAAGCAUCAAACAAAGCCAACAAAUCAUUUUUUAUAACAUUCCAGAACACCUGAUAAAAUUCCGCCGGAAAGCCAUCUGGCCCCGGGGCCUUAUUGUGUUCCAUCUGGAAAAUUGCUUCUCUAAUGUCGUUUUCAGUAAACACUGUCGUUAGAUAUGAAUUCUCAUCCAGAGAUACUUGCGGGAUAUCAUUCAUUACAGACGAGUCAAAAGACGCCCAGAUGCUUCAGGUGGACCAAAAAGACCUUUAUAGUAGGAAGUGAUAUGCUCUUUCAAAAGUGCAUUACAUUCUAUAACCUGGUCCCCAUUUUUAAGAUGAUAAAUUCUCGACUUUCUAUGUUUACCACUUGCCACUAAGUGAAAAUAUUUUGUAUUAGCAUCACCUUGUAACAAACCCUUAGUAUUGGCUCUUUGAUACCAUUUAACCUCCUCUUCUCUUAGUAAUUCUGCAAGUCUAUUUUGCAAGAAUUGUUUUAAGUCAAGCUCUUGCGCUGACAAAACAGAUACUUCUGCUUUUUUAUCCAACACAUCCAAACUGUUCAAAAUUCCUUUCUUUUCUUUUUUGUACGCCCCACUUACAUUUUUUGCCCACCCUCUUAAGUGAUGCCUAAGCUUCCUAAUUUUAGCUUGCCAAUUCUCCAUAGGUGUCUGACCCCUAGACUCGUAUGACCGAAGUUCUCUAACCAUAUCGUAGAACUCGACCCUCAGAAGCCAAACAAGCUCGAACUUAAAAGAAUGUUGGGAGGAACUAGAGUUUGGUUCCCCAGAAUUCAGUAAUAGAGGAGUAUGGUCGGAAAUGUCACGGCUUAGGGCCCUCACAGAAGACAAAGGAUAUUUUUGAUCCCACUCUGUGGUUACCAGGAUUCUAUCCAACUUUUCAUACUUAGGUCUUUCGAGGUUAUUUGCCCAAGUGAAUUGGCGACCAGUCAUCUCUAGUUCCUUAAGACAUAGACCAUCAAUAACGACAUUAAAAAGAAAUGACCACCGAUGAUCAAAAUUGUCUUUAUUUUUUUCGCUAGAGAAUCUUAAGAUAUUAAAAUCACCACCAAUCACAAGAGGCAGUGUCUCAUGGUUGCCCAUGCGAACCAAUUCAGAUAAAAACAUCUCUUUUUUCUAAUUGAGCCGGGCCAUAGACCAAUGUCAAAGCCCACUUGAAGCAAUCAUUUUUAUUGCACAAAGUGAAUUUAACAAAAAAAUCUCCUUCUUCUAUAGCCCCAAUAUCAUAAAUGUCCAAAUCAACACCCAAUAACAAACCACCAGAGCGUCCCUCAGGUUGUUUAUAGUGCCACAAAAAAAAUUUACCUCCACAUAAAUUGCGAAGGGAAGGUUCGGUGAACGAUUUACGUACUGUCUCCGAAAUCGCAAUAAAAGAGAGGUUCAGUUCUUUAGACAAAUCUGAAAUGAACCUAAAUUUCUUGGGGUCUCUAAACCCAUUGCUGUUCCAAAAAUGUCACACCCGGCUUUAAGGAACAAAGCCAGGUGCAUCUCAUACAUGCGUCAAGAAGACAACAUAUAUAAUAACAGAGUGUAUAGAAAUAAAUGUCAUAAAACAUCAGAGUACUUAUUACAUAGCGGAAGACUUAUUACAAAAUAAAAUAAUAAAUAUAAAACGAACUAAGGAUCGUCGGCGCCAAUGUCAACUGAGAAACGCCACCUAGAUCAGAUCAUACUCCUCGCCUUGUGGCUCCUCCUGAACCACUUGUUCUUCUCCUGUGGGGGGUGUGAGACAGCAAGAGUGAGCUCACAUACGUUCAUCGCUCAACAAGUCGUGGGGAAUAAUGUGACAUGAACUCAUCAAAGGUGGGAGCUCAUGGAGUGUAAGGCUUAUCAAAGAGAAUGGUUAAAGCUGAGCAUUGCUUUUAAAUAGUUGGUCAAAAUUUUAUUAACAAUUACUAAGUGUAAGUAAAUACCAAACCAUAAUAAAAUAAUAGAGAACAAAAUUAAUAAUAAACCCAUGCAAAUGCAAAUGACAAAUUGAGUUUAGGUUCCAUAAUUUAAUCAUCAGAGAGUCCUGAGCUGCUCAUGACCGUGAGCUCGGCUAGUAUACCAGUUUUACACUCUGUAGAGGUGGUACCCUUUACCCACAAGUCAUGUUACCCAUCUGCCAAGGGAUCGCGACUUCCCAUACACCUCUACCGAGGAGGCGAGGCAGGGUAACACUACGAGGCCUUUACAAAGUUCCACUAGCUUCAGAAAACCCGCUACAGUUUAUAGGAAGCUCCAAUGCAGGGUUCUUGCCUGACCGCCAUCGCAGCAAAAUCAACCAAGGACCUCCCUACACUGACCACUCCCCUACUGCCCUUGCCCCUUUCGGGUAAGGUAGUCCUCCACUAGCUUUCCUAAUUAAUCAGCCAAGGACGUCCAUAAACCCUUGUGGUGGCACGUGUUUCUCAAGUUAAGCUCUAUGUUCCAAUUAACAUUAAUGAUCUUGACAUGAACAUAAAUAGAAUAACAAAAUAACUGGAACAUAGAUAUGAUAAAUAAUUAUCCCAAAUCCAUGUAAAGCAAUAGCAAACUACCCAAGUGAUUCAGGGGUAAACAAGGUAAUGAGAUAAACAGUCUAGGGUAACCUAUUGGGUCCCAUCAAAAUUAACCUAUGCAUGAAUAAAUGAUAUUAAAGAACAUUAUUGGGUAAAAGUGGUCAAGGGCACAACUUGCCUUCAAUGAGCUCCUGCUCAGCUACUUCUAUCUGCUGCUCACCGGGAUCCUCAGCAACGGGCUCUUCUACUCGCCACAAUACAAACAAGCACAAUAUACAGGGGGAAAUUAACAUCACACCAAGCAUGUGAACAAAAUACACAACAAUAUUCUACAUAUUAAAAUAAAAUCCUACGAACAGGAAUCAUAAUUUUUGGAGUUAUAGAUUUUAAGUUAUGAAUUUUCAAAGGUUUUAUAUGUUUAAAAUGGAUUAAGUGAGAGAUUAAAUUUCUUACUGUUUUCAUGACAAAACAGAGGCUCUAAGUGAUAGAUAAUAAAAUUACAAAAUUUUAGAAAGUGGAAUUGAUUAAUUUGGACCAGAGAUGAAUUUUCUAUCAAUUUUAUAAGUUCUAGCAAUUCUUUUUCUCAUAAAAAUCAUUUUUAGAUUUUAUUUAUCCAUUUAUUAUGAACUCUGGCCUGGGCGCACUAAAUCUGAGAAAGGCAGGGGCCUCGGGGUAAAAUUCCUAAGGCUCAGGGAACAGCGCAUAGGACGGCGGGUUGAUAUUCUGAAAUUUCAGGGGCUCUUUAAUAAAACUCCAGGGCUGAAGGGGUAUCAAGCGAUCUGAGCCACCCGAUCUGAAACCUGGGGUCCAGAUUAGAUCUCCAUAAGCGAAACGGUACGCGAUCAUUCACCGCACGAUCAGCUAUCUACGGUGGAGAUCUUAAAAUACGUGACAACCCAUUUCCUCCACCCAUCUACGGAUCUGCGGUUCAGAUUGUUUCAAAGUGAAACGCUAUCCAUCUCCUAAUCGGGGCCGCGCAAAGUGCAUCCAAUGGUCCACGGUAACCUCCCCAAUCACUCUGCCAGCGACGGCGGUGCCGCCCGAAAUCACGGCGAUCUCUCGCCGGAGAGGGGCAAUCCGACGCCGUGUCACACGAUCCUAACCCCGGAUAGGUGCUACAUCGAGCUGGCAACCAAUAGAAGCUAUCUGGAGGUCGUACCAGUGAAUCGGUCGGCGGUAGGGGGUUCCCCACCACGAAUGGCGGCCCGGCGGCGAAGUUUUGGCCGCGACGAUCGAAUCCCCACUUCCUUUCCGCACUACGCCAAUUCCUUCGUCUCACAGGGUCGCCCGAUGAAUCCCAGAGAUGCUCCGUGCCAAGUCGUCGUGGCAACACUCUUCUUCAACAGCUACGGUCCCGACCAACUUGGUAGCGACGGUGACGCUUUUCUCUCACUUGGGGACGCCGCGUGGGUGGUCUGGGGGAAGGAGAGAAAGAGGAGUCGGGUUCCCGGGUCUUAUGGCCGGGUCACGAACGUGGGGGAGGGAUAAGGAUGUAGCCCGCGUCUUCUCCGGGGAGCGAAGCCGCGCAAUCCGCGGACUCCAUUGACGCACGGACGGGGAUGACUAAAGGGGCCGGCCUGUUAGUCACCAGAGAGUAGCGCUCGUUGUUAUGGUGUGACUGACCACUGGGGCCCACGUAGCAGAGAGUUGCCAGCGCGCGCGAGAUCGCAGGUAGGGUGGGCCGCGCAGAGCGAUUCUGUGGGUGGGCCAAAAGCGAGGCUAGCGGCUCAGCAGCAGUUUUCUUUUUUUCUUUUUUUUUUCAUUUUCUUUUCUUUUCACUUUUAAAUCUCCAUUUUGAAUUCAAACUUGUUUGUGAGCUUCAUACCUGAGUUUGAAUUCAAACUUAUUUUCUCUAUUUUGUAUAAUCUUUUCCUUCUCUCUUUUCUUAAUUCUAGGAUUAUUUUAGGAUUUAAAUCCCCAUUUGGAUAUUUAACAUAUUUCUUUUUACAUUAUUAUAAUAUUGUCACAAAAAUGCACACACAAAUAAAAUAUUCAGCAUGAUGCAAUGAUUUAGUAGCGUAUCUUUUUAUUAUUAAUUAUCUGUUUUUUUAAUUAUGGUGUUCACAUGUGAUGAUAGAUAGAGAUAACACACAUAUAUAAAGGAAAUAACUUCUCUCUCUUUUUUUAUAUAUUAUUUCUUACAAAUUACAAGUUGGGUAUUACAAAUCCUACCCCCUUAAAAAUAAUCUCGUCCUCGAGAUUUAGGAAGAACGAGGGAAAAGGUGGGGAAAAUCUAUGCGAAGCUCUUCUUCUCUUUCCCAUGUUGCUUCAUCUUCGCCAUGGUGACUCCAUUGUACUUUGCACAUCUUUAUUACCUUAUUUCUUGUAACUCGAGUCAAAGUAUCAAGAAUCUUGAUCGGAUACUCCGUGUAAGUCAAAUCACCUUGAACACUGAGCUCUUCCAUUGGUAACUGUUCCUCAGGGACACGGAGACACUUCUUAAGUUGAGAUACGUGGAACACGUUAUGCACAUCCGAUAGACUAGCAGGUAGCUCGAGUUGGUAUGCCAUCUCACCAACUCGCCUAAAGAUCAAGAAUGGUCCAAUAUAGUGAGGUGACAAUUCGCCCUUUACUUUGAAUCUCCUCAUUCCACGAAGUGGUGACACCUUGAGGUACACAUAAUCUCCUUCCUCAAAUUCCAGUGGUCUUCUUCUAUUAUCUGCGUAGCUCUUUUGCCUGGUUUGAGCUACCCUCAAAUUCUCCCGAAUUAUACGGACUUGUUCUUCUGCUUCUUGAAUCAAUUCAGGCCCAAAGAACUGUCUUUUUCCAGUCUGAUCCCAAUAUAGAGGAGUCAUGCACUUCCUCCCAUAUAAAGCCUCAAAAGGUGACAUCUUCAGACUGGCCUGAUAGCUAUUGUUAUAUGAAAACUCAGCAUAAGGUAGACUUUUAUCCCAACUUCCUCCAUGCUGAAGGGCACAAGCUCUCAACAUAUCUUCCAAUACUUGAUUAGUCCUUUCAGUCUGUCCAUCAGUCUGAGGGUGAUAGGCUGAACUAAAUUUCAACUUCAUAUCCAUUUACUCAUGAAAACUUUUCCAAAAUCUGGGGUAAACUGUGAUCUUCUUAUCCAAAACGAUCUUCUUUGGUACUCCAUGUAAACACACAAUACGAGUCAUAUAUAACUCUACCAAUUGAGAUCCCUUAUAAGUAGUCUUGACUGGAAUGAAAUGAGCCACUUUGGUCUGUCUAUCCACAAUCACCCAUAUCGAAUCAUGUCCUUUCGGGGUGCGAGACAAUCCAGUAAUGAAAUCAAUACCAAUCUCUUCCAACUUCCAGUCGAGUACCUUUAUUGGAUGCGGUAGUCCAGCUGGCCUCUGGUGUUCAGCUUUAACUCUUUGACACACAUCACACUUAACCACAUGUAGCCACAUCUCUCUUUAAUCCAUACCACCAAUACUUCCUUUUCAAAUCCUGAUACAUCUAGGUACUACCAGGAUGAAUAGAAUAAUCCGAGUCAUAGGCCUCCUUUAAAACAGUCUCACAAAGGCUUUCAAUAUCAGGAACACAUAUCCUAUCCUUGAACCACACAGUGCCUUGUUCAUCUUCCGUGAAUUCCGGACCUCGACCUCAAGUAAUUAGAUCCUUAAUCUCUUAUAUCUUAGCAUCACCAAUUUGUUCGUUGCAGAUUUCUUGCUCCAAGGUAGGUUCCACAUCAAUAAUAACUCCUUCAGUGUGAGCAACUAUCCCCAAGUUAAGUCUCCUGAAAUCCUCAACAAUCUUAUCGGGUAGCUAGGCAACAACAGCUGAAUGAACAUGCUCCUUUUGACUCAAGGCAUCUGCAACCAAAUUUGCCUUGCCCGGGUGAUAGGGAAUAUCCAAAUCAUAAUCCUUAAUAAACUCCAACCAAUGGCGUUGCCUAAGGAUGCGGUCCUUCCGAGUGAAUAUAUACUUCAAACACUUAUGAUCCGUGUAUACUUGACACUUGGUCCCCAUGAUAUAAUGCCUCCAUAUCUUAAGCGCAUGCACUACGCAUGCUAGUUCUAAGUCAUGAGUGGGGUAGUUCAAUUCAUUUUUGCGCAACUGACAAGAAGCAUAGGCAAUCACAUGUCCUUCCUGCAUGAUCACACAUACUAAGCCUUGGCCACAUGCAUCACAAUAAAUAUCAAAUCCCUUCUGUAGAUCUGGCAUAACCAAUACUGGUGGCGACAUCAAUCUUUCCUUCAAUUGAUCAAAGCUGUCUUGGCACUUCUCGUCCCACUUAAAUUCUUGGCCCUUCUCCAGAAGCGAGGUCAUAGGCUUAGUGAUCUUAGAAAAUCCUUCAAUAAAUCUUCGAUAAUAUCCUGCAAGUCCCAAGAAACUCUGAAUCUCUAUAACUGUAGUGGGUAUACUCCACGCCACUAUCUCCUUAACUUUAGCAGGAUCCACUAAUAUCCCUCCAUUCGAAUUGAUAUGUCCAAGGAAUGGCACCUUGUCAAUCCAAAACUCGCAUUUACUGUACUUGGCGUAGAGUUGAUUAUCUCACAACUUCCGUAGUACCAAUCACAGAUGUUCCUCAUGAUCACUAUCACUCUUGGAAUAAAUAAGAAUAUCGUCGAUGAACACUACGACGAAUUUGUCCAUAUUAUGAACACCUUAUUCUUCAGAUCCAUAAAAUAGCUGGUGCAUUAGUUAGUCCAACUGACAUAACGAUGAACUCAUAUAAACCAUAUCGGGUCGAGAAAUUCGUCUUGGGAAUAUCCGAUGGCCUAAUCUUCAUUUGAUGAUAACUCGAUCGGAGAUCAAUCUUCGAGAAUACUCUUGCACCUCUUAUCUGAUCAAAUAAAUCUUCAAGGCGGGGUAAUGAAUACUUGUUCUCCACAGUGACAUCGUUAAGGGACCUAUAAUCCACACACAUCCCUUGCGAUCCUUCUUUCUUCUGUAUAAAUAGAACUGGUGCUCCCCCAAGGUGAGGAACUCGGACGAAUGUACCCAGUCUCUUGUAACUCUGUUAAUUGCUUCUUAAAUUCCUUUAGUUCUUCUACGGACAUCUUGUAUGGCCGUUUAGAAAUAGGAGCAGUCCCAGGUAAGAGAUCAAUGACCAACUCAACUUCCAUAUCUAGUGGCAUCUCUGAUAACUCUUCUCGGAAGACAUCCAGAAAAUCUCUCACCACACGAAUGUUGACACCAACAACUUCCCAUCUACUAAGAAUGACGCUAUUCUGGUGGCGGUAGUUACUGCAAUUCCAACUUCAAAUCUUUCUCCUUUGGAACUGGUGAGUUCUAUGGUUCCUUUAGCACAGUGUAUAAACUGCCUUUGCCUUUCUUAACCAUGACAUACCAAGGAUCACGUCUAUAGUGCUCUCUUCUAACACUAUAGGGGUAGCCCAUCUGGGUUAGAAAUACAGGGUAAGAAAGGAAGGCUGUAGACAAGGCAUGUAAUUACGAAUCAUGUUACUUUGCAGGAUUUAUUAGCUAAGUAGAUUAGUGUGUCACCUACUAACGCUAAUACAUUAUCUUAUGGUGGUACAUGCUAAGAUGCCCGACUAUAAUGUUUCAAUCAAUCAAAGAAGCAAAUCAAGCAUUUAUCAUCAGAACAAUCAACCAACAUUUUUUUAAUAGAGAAAAUAGUUUUUUUAUUUUUGUCUUAGGUCCCCUAUCUCUUAAAGAGUUCGUAGAUGUAGGAUUCCAUGGUGUGAAAUCCAUCUUGUCUUAGAGUAGAAAAGGUAAGAAUGAUCAGAGUAGAACAGUAGAAGGUGAGAUAGGAUCAAGAUAAGAUAAGUAUAGAAUGAAUCAGAGUAAGGUAAGUAGGUAAGGGUUUGUCCAUUUCUAUCUAGGUUUCGUCCUACAGUCAACAUUUCCUCUGAUACCACUUCUGUCACACCCGGCUUUAAGGAACAAAGCCAGGUGCAUCUCAUACAUGCGCCAAGAAGACAACAUAUAUAAUAACAGAGUGUAUAGAGAUAAAUGUCAUAAAACAUCAGAGUACUCAUUACAUAGCGGAAGACUUAUUACAAAAUAAAAUAAUAAAUAUAAAACGAACUAAGGAUCGUCGGCGCCAAUGUCAACUGAGAAACGCCACCUAGAUCAGAUCAUACUCCUCGCCUUGUGGCUCCUCCUGAACCACUUGUUCUUCUCCUGUGGGGGGGGUGAGACAGCAAGAGUGAGCUCACAUACGUUCAUCGCUCAACAAGUCGUGGGGAAUAAUGUGACAUGAACUCAUCAAAGGUGGGAGCUCAUGGAGUGUAAGGCUUAUCAAAGAGAAUGGUUAAAGCUGAGCAUUGCUUUUAAGUAGUUGGUCAAAAUUUUAUUAGCAAUUACUAAGUGUAAGUAAAUACCAAACCAUAAUAAAAUAAUAGAGAACAAAAUUAAUAAUAAACCCAUGCAAAUGCAAAUGACAAAUUGAGUUUAGGUUCCAUAAUUUAAUCAUCAGAGAGUCCUGAGCUGCUCAUGACCGUGAGCUCGGCUAGUAUACCAGUUUUACACUCUGCAGAGGUGGUACCCUUUACCCACAAGUCAUGUUACUCAUCUGCCAAGGGAUCGCGACUUCCCAUACACCUCUACCGAGGAGGCGAGACAGGGUAACACUACGAGGCUUUACAAAGUUCCACUAGCUUCAGAAAACCCACUACAGUUUAUAGGAAGCUCCAAUGCAGGGUUCUUGCCUGACCGCCAUCGCAGCAAAAUCAACCAAGGACCUCCCUACACUGGCCACUCCCCUACUGCCCUUGCCCCUUUCGGGUAAGGUAGUCCUCCACUAGCUUUCCUAAUUAAUCAGCCAAGGGCGUCCAUAAACCCUUGUGGUGGCACGUGUUUCUCAAGUUAAGCUCUAUGUUCCAAUUAACAUUAAUGAUCUUGACAUGAACAUAAAUAGAAUAACAAAAUAACUGGAACAUAGAUAUGAUAAAUAAUUAUCCCAAAUCCAUGUAAAGCAAUAGCAAACUACCCAAGUGAUUCAGGGGUAAACAAGGUAAUGAGAUAAACAGUCUAGGGUAACCUAUUGGGUCCCAUCAAAAUUAACCUAUACUUGAAUAAAUGAUAUUAAAGAACAUUAUUGGGUAAAAAGUGGUCAAGGGCACAACUUGCCUUCAAUGAGCUCCUGCUCAGCUACUUCUAUCUGCUACUCACCAGGAUCCUCAGCAACGGGCUCUUCUACUCGCCACAAUACAAACAAGCACAAUAUACAGGGGAAAAUUAACAUCACACCAAGCAUGUGAACAAAAUACACAGCAAUAUUCUACAUAUUAAAAUAAAAUCCUACGAACAGGAAUCAUAAUUUUUGGAGUUAUAGAUUUUAAGUUAUGAAUUUUCAAAGGUUUUAUAUGUUUAAAAUGGAUUAAGUGAGUGAUUAAAUUUCUUACUGUUUUCAUGACAAAACAGAGGCUCUAAGUGAUAGAUAAUAAAAUUAAAAAAAUUUAGAAAGUGGAAUGGAUUAAUUUGGACCAGAGAUGAAUUUUCUAUCAAUUUUAUAAGUUCUAGCAAUUCUUUUUCUCAUAAAAAUCAUUUUCAGAUUUUAUUUAUCCAUUUAUUAUGAACUCUGGCCUGGGCGCACUAAAUCUGAGAAAGGCAGGGGCCUCUGGGUAAAAUUCCUAAGGCUCAAGGAACAGCGCAUAGGACGGCGGGUUGAUAUUCUGAAAUUUCAGGGGCUCUUUAAUAAAACUCCAGGGCUGAAGGGGUAUCAAGCGAUCUGAGCCACCCGAUCUGAAACCUGGGGUCCAGAUUAGAUCUCCAUAAGCGAAAGGUACGCGAUCAUUCACCGCACGAUCAGCUAUCUACGGUGGAGAUCUUAAAAUACGUGACAACCCAUUUCCUCCACCCAUCUACGGAUCUGCGGUUCAGAUUGUUUCAAAGUGAAACGCAAUCCAUCUCCUAAUCGGGGCCGCGCAAAGUGCAUCCAAUGGUCCACGGUAACCUCCCCAAUCACUCCGCCAGCGACGGCGGUGCCGCCCGAAAUCACGGCGAUCUCUCGCCGGAGAGGGGCAAUCCGACGCCGUGUCACACGAUCCUAACCCCGGAUAGGUGCUACAUCGAGCUGGCAACCAAUAGAAGCUAUCUGGAGGUCGUACCAGUGAAUCGGUCGGCGGUAGGGGGUUCCCCACCACGAAUGGCGGCCCGGCGGCGAAGUUUUGGCCGCGACGAUCGAAUCCCCACUUCCUUUCCGCACUACGCCAAUUCCUUCGUCUCACAGGGUCGCCCGAUGAAUCCCAGAGAUGCUCCGUGCCAACUCGUCGCGACAACACUCUUCUUCAACAGCUACGGUCCCGGCCAACUUGGUAGCGAAGGUGACGCUUUUCUCUCACUUGGGGACGCCGCGUGGGUGGUCUGGGGGAAGGAGAGAAAGAGGAGCCAGGUUCCCGGGUCUUAUGGUCGGGUCACGAACGUGGAGGAGGGAUAAGGAUGUAGCCCGCGUCUUCUCCGGGGAGCGAAGCCGCGCAAUCCGCGGACUCCGUUGACGCACGGACGGGGAUGACUAAAGGGGUCGGCCUGUUAGUCACCAGAGAGUAGCGCUCGUUGUUAUGGUGUGACUGACCACUGGGGCCCACGUGGCAGAGAGUUGCCAGCGCGCGCGAGAUCGCAGGUAGGGUGGGCCGCGCAGAGCGAUUCUGUGGGUGGGCCAAAAGCGAGGCUAGCGGCCCAGCAGCAGUUUUCUUUUUUUUUCUUUUUUUCUUUUUCUUUUCUUUUCACUUUUAAAUCUCCAUUUUGAAUUUAAACUUGUUUGUGAGCUUCAUACCUGAGUUUGAAUUCAAACUUAUUUUCUCUAUUUUGUAUAAUCUUUUCCUUCUCUCUUUUCUUAAUUCUAGGAUUAUUUUAGGAUUUAAAUCCCCAUUUGGAUAUUUAACAUAUUUAUUUUUACAUUAUUAUAAUAUUGUCACAAAAAUCACACACAAAUAAAAUAUUCAGCAUGAUGCAAUGAUUUAGUAGUGUAUCUUUUUAUUAUUAAUUAUCUGUUUUUUUAAUUAUGGUGUUCACAUGUGAUGAUAGAUAGAGAUAACACACAUAUAUAAAGGAAAUAACUUCUCUCUUUUUUUAUAUAUUAUUUCUUAUAAAUUCCAAGUUGGGUAUUACAAAAAAACACCCUUCAUUUUGAAACAGAGCGAGAUUUUUUCCUACCUUUUCUUUUCUUUUUAUGAGAUACUUCAGUACGAGCCCGAAUAAACUGCUCACUGGUUGUAUCCAUAACUUCUUCUAGGAUGUCACUACACAGGCUGCUUAACAUAAAUUUUUCUAAUUCCUUCUCCUCAUAAAACUCCUUUUCCUCUUUAGCAAUAGCCCUAUCUAUCACAUUUGUGUCACUCGGUACUAAAGCAUAGGAAUUUACAGAAUUAGAAAGAAAAUCCACAAACUUCUGUAAGUCACUAGAGCAAUCAGAAAAUUUGAAAGCGAUAUGUCUAAGGUUGGAAAGGAUUUUCUCACUAGGCAAGAAACAAGAGGGUGCAACAUGUUGCGUACCUUCAGUAAAAGAUUUAUCCAAGUUCCUAGCAGCCUUCAUCUUGGUAGCUCGCUCAAUAGAAUCCCCAGUGCUUAAAUUUGCUUUUCUUUUGCUUCUUUUCGAUACCGCAUUGCCAAGAAGACUCUCUGGGACAGCAACCAACAUCGAAGCUUUAGGUGUCAAGACCACAGCCAUCUCCCUGAUCACUGAGGCCAACAAAGACACGGUCUUGUUUCUCUGUUGCGGCACAAAGGGGAUGUAGUAGAAACCUAAACCAUCCACGGCGUAACCGCAGGUUAAGGCACUAGGUUUGUCCCCCCUGAACUUCGGACACCUUUCCGUGUUGUGGGCAUCAGCACGACAGAUGUCACAAAACAGCUUAGCAGUACAACCUUUCGUGGCAUGUCCCUUAGUCAAACAACGAUAGCAGUACGGCUGUUUACUAGAAGUUUCUUUCACCACUGGAUAAUCAUCCAUAUCUACAGCCACACCUUUGCCCUUGUCCGAUGCAAUAUUUGAAGGACCAGCACCCAGCUGAAGAGCAGCACAGUUAGUCACCGGAGCUGACUUCUGCCCGAUCAUACCAAUAGAAGAUGCAGAUGGGUCCGACACAGCCGCUAAUCUAAAGCAGUCUUCUCUAGAGAGUGACUCUGCAAGAUCAUGAAGGAUAUCAUGCAUGACAUAGUAACAACCACUACCGGAAUCCGGUAGUGAACAGUACCUUUGGAAGAAUGAUCCAGAGACCAUAUCAUUGAAGUAAUCCAUCCCAACCUCUUCCAAUGUUCUCCUACUCAAAUUGCAUGAACCAACAAAUCCUUCUGCCACCCAGAGGUGAACCAACUGAUGAGGUUUAUAUCUAUGACCUUUUGGAAACAAGCUGCAAUACAAGAAGCACCUCUGCAGACGUGGAUCUAACUUCUCGUAACUCCACAACAGAGAUGUGAAGGGAUCACUUAAAUCUCCAAUCUUUAGAGCAGCUUUCCAUUCAGCAAUAUCCUUUUUCCUGCACAAUCGAGAACCCAGAACUUUUGCUGCCAAAGGACAUUGUCCAAGCCUUUUAGCAAUCUCCUCUGCAGUGUCUUCCAGCUUCGUGCGUAACAGUUGGUCUUUGAUUUCUGCUCCAGAGAAAGCAUGGUGUUUAAAAAGAGCCAAAAACUCAGUAUCAUACAUGUUUUCCAAAUGAAUGACAUGUUGUUGUACACAACAAAUAGCGGCCGGAAGUGUUUCACUUCGAGAAGUCACCAAAACUUUGCUCCCUGACUGUUUAGAGACUAAUGGAGCAAGGAAUAACUCCCACUCUGUCUCAUUAUGAGAUUUUUCAAACCAAACAUCAUCCAAGACAAGCAGGAAUUUCUGUGACUCUUGUAGUAUAUCACGUAAUUUGCACCGGAGAGUAUCGAGAUUAUCAACACGUGGGCACUCCCCCUUUUUUGCGGACUCAAUGAUCUCCCUUGUGUGACGAUGCACAUCAAGUUUGCGCGAGAUACAGAUCCACAUCCUGACAUCAAAGCAUUCUUUAAUCCUCUUGUCAUUAUAGACAUAUUGUGCUAAGGUAGACUUCCCCGUUCCUCCCAAUCCAACAAUGGCCAAACCGGAGUACUUAGUUGAGCUUGCCUCAGCAGUUGUUGUCUUGCCGAGAAGAAAUUUUACUAUGCGAUAACGAUCCCUGUGCCGACCGAAAACCUUGGAAGUGGGAAGUGAUGUGGUUGUGGGAACACUGGUAGGUGCUGCAGCUGGCCACUCGACGGUAUUGCCAUGUGGCAAGCCAAGAAGAUCUCGAAGUUGUUGGGCUUCUGUCAGGAUUGCUUUGAGCUCGUUCAUCUUGCUAAUUAGCCUUCUGUUUUGAGGGAGCAAGUUCCGCGCCCUGCUCAUGGCAGCAUGAAAAGGCUUCAUGACAGUAGUUGCAGUGGAGGAGCUUCCAUGCUCUCCCAGCAGGAGACUUUUUCCGCUCUUGGCCUUGCCUUCAAGGACAUUGUACUCAUGCUCGUCCAACAAGUCCUUGGCAUCAUAGUAGGCUUCUUUGAGACGCCGGAGCCAUGCCUCCAGUAUGCCCCUGUGGGGGCUCUUCUGGGCCGCUUGAAUCACCAGCUCGAACUGUGGCAGGACAGUGGCUUCUAGUCGUUGGAUCUCACGCACCAUGUCCACACUGAGGUAAGCUGAAGCUUUAGUAAGAAGCUCGUUGACAAUCGGCGAUGCUGCCCACCUUAAGCCGGCGAGCGCCAAGUCGGCCAUGAAAUUCAGUAAGAAGCUAUUUUUUUUCUUUUUUCUCUGCAGACACAUAAAAUUAAUGAAUCUGAAUGAAAAAACUGAAGCACAAACCAAUUAUUUUUCUUUCUCGCCAGAUCCAGCAACACAAAGGGGAAAUAGCAGCUAACACAGCAAGCGAAAAAAUGGAGAUUGGAGAUCUUACACGAAGUAAAAUAAAUCAAGGGCGUAUGGAGUAGAAUCUGGAACAAGCACAGCACAGCAAGGAGGGAAGCAGCUCCGUCGGGCAGGGAACGGAGGAAUACCGGAUGGUGUUGCUGAUUGCUGGUGAUAGAUGGUUUGUUUUUUUAUGUAGAGGAGACCGAAGGUGCCGUAGACUGCUGAGGGUCUACUGCUCGCUGGGAAAGGAAGCAGCAUGGAAAGAGAGGUGAACAAGCGGAGUAGACUAGUCUAUGGAUUAGGACUGCUCUGAAUUGUUAUGAAUUAUUCACUCGAAAGGUGCAGUUCGAGUGAAUAAACACAGACAAAGAAAGCUUUUGGAGCUUUCCUUGGAGUCCUCCCCUAUUUUUUUUAGACAUGGUUGUACGUUGCAAGAGGAGCUGAGCUUGAUAUGAAAGUAGAAGACGAGAUCUCCCAUGAGUUGGACCAACAAUUCAUCUGGCCAUAAAAAUUGAGAGCUUCCAGUACAGACCAAAAUCCUAAAAAAAACUAUCUCUUUCAUUUCCAAUUUGCAUCCAGUCCUUAAGGCAUAGCAGUUCCUCUGCGCUUUCGGUCCUAUUUGGUUCCACUUUUCUAGAAUGAUAGAGAUACACUCAAUACUAGGAACCUUCUGAUGAGGAAAAACAAGGCACUGGAUGAUUACAGUUGUGUUCCGUGUAAUAGUGGCUGUGUGGAAACAAGCCUCCACGUUUCCUUUGAAUGCAGUUUUGGCUUACUAUUUUGUGCGUUUGACCAUCUUUCGGGUCUCAAAAUAAAUUUUCAUAAGAGCCAACUUUUCUGUUAUGAUACUGCUAAAGAACGAGAAUUGGAAUACUCAGAAAUUUUUGGAUGUAAUAAAGGGCAUUAUCCUUUCAAAUAUCUGGGUAUUCCAAUACAUCACAGAAAGCUUAGUAAUGAAGAUUGGAAUGAUAUCAUAGAAAGAUUUAAGAAAAGAGUUAGUGGGUGGAAAGGGAAAAUAUUGUCUGUUGGUGGUCGACUAGUGCUAAUUAACUCCAUCUUAACAAGUCUUACGAUGUUUAUUGUCGGCGUUUCGAGACCGGGGGUCCCUGGACCGACGAGUGAAUUGUCGCCGCGUGCCCCAGCCCAGAUGGGUCGGCGCGAGACGGAGCGCGAAGGGGGAGGCAGCCGGAGGGAGACGGGCGUGAGAGGUGGAAAUCCCGCGGCCUUCGUGUUUGUCCCGCGCUCAGGUCGGGUGCGCUUGCAGUAGGGGGUUACAAGCGUCCACGCGGGAGGGAGCGAGCGGCCUCACGCGAGCGCCGUCCCGUCCUUCCCCGCGCGGCCCACCCUCUGUAAGAGGGCCCUGGUCCUUCCUUUUAUAGGCGCAAGGAGAGGAUCCAGGUGUACAAUGGAGGGUGUAGCAGUGUGCUAACGUGUCUAGCGGAGGAGAGCUAGCACCCUAAGUACAUGCCAUCGUGGCAGCCAGAGAGGUUUUGGCACCCGGUUCGUGUGGUGUCGUGGCCGUCGGAGGAGCGCUGGAGCCUGGCGGAAGGACAGCUGUCGGGGCUGUCGAGUCCUGAAAGUCGCCUAGAGGGGGGGUGAAUAGGGCGAAACUGAAAUUCUCAAAAAUAAUCACAACUACAAGCCGGGUUAGCGUUAGAAAUAUAAUUAAGUUCGCGAGAGAGGCCGCAAAACAAAUCGCAAGCGAAUAAUGAAGUGAGACACGUGGAUUUGUUUUACCGAGGUUCGGUUCUCUCAAACCUACUCCCCGUUGAGGAGGCCACAAAGGCCGGGUCUCUUUCAACCCUUCCCUCUCUCAAACGGUCCCUCGGACCGAGUGAGCUUCUCUUCUCAAAUCACUUGGGAAUCAAACUUCCCGCAAGGACCACCACACAAUUGGUGUCUCUUGCCUCAAUUACAAGUGAGUGUUUGUUCACAAGAAAGAAUGAAAGAGAGAAAGCAAUCCAAGCGCAAGAGCUCAAAUGAACACGGCAAAUCACUCUCACUAGUCACUUAGGCUUUGUAUGGAAUUGGAGAGGAUUUGAUCUCUUUGGGUGUGUCUAGAAUUGAAUGCCUAGCUCUUGUAGGUAGUUGAGAAGUGGAAAACUUGGAUGCAAUGAAUGGUGGGGUGGUUGGGGUAUUUAUAGCCCCAACCACCAAACUAGCCGUUUGGUGAGGCUGUCUGUUCGAUGGCGCACCGGACAGUCCGGUGCACACCGGACAUGUCCGGUGCGACAGCCACGUCACCAAAUAGCCGUUGGGUCGACCGUUGGAGUUCUGACUUCGGGGCCCGCCUUGAUGUCCGGUGGCGCACCGAACAUGCACUGUAGAGUGUCCGGUGCGCCUGCUCCCGCGUGCCUGACGACUGUGCGCUUCUGGCGCGCAUUAAAUGCGCCUGCAGGUGACCGUUGGCGCGAAGUAGCCGUUGCCCCGAGGUUGCACCGGACAGUCCGGUGCACACCGGACAUGUCCGGUGAAUUAUAGCGGAGCAGCCUUCGCGAAUUCCCGAGACUGGCAAGUUCCUGAGCCGCGACUCAAAUGAGCACCGGACACUGUCCGGUGUACACCGGGCAGUCCGGUGAAUUAUAGCGUGCUAGCUCUGGAAAUUUCCCGAGGGCGACGAGUUUGAGCUGAAGUCCUCUGGUGCACCGGACACUGUCCGGUGGCACACUGGACAGUCCGGUGCGCCAGACCAGAGAAGCCUUUGGUUGCUCCUUUGCCCUUUUGUUGAACCCAACACUUGGUCAAUUUAUUGGCUAAGUGUGAACCUUUUGCACCUGUAUGACUUAUAAACUAGAGCAAACUAGUUAGUCCAAAGAUUUGUGUUGGGCAAUUCAACCACCAAAAUUAUUUAGGAACUAGGUGUAAGCCUAAUUCUCUUUCAAUCUCCCCCUUUUUGGUGAUUGAUGCCAACACAAACCAAAGCAAAUAUAAAAGUGCAUAAUUGAACUAGUUUGCAUAAUGUAAGUGCAAAGGUUGCUUGGAAUUGAGCCAAUAUAAAUACUUACUUGAUGCGCAAGGAUUGUUUCUUUGUUUUUGACAUAUUGGACCACAUUUGCACCAUAAGUUUUGUUUUGCAAAAUCUUUUGUAAAUUCUUUUCAAGAACUUUUUUUGCAAGAUAGUCAAAGAUAAAUGAGUAAGAUUUUUUGCAAAGCAUUUUUGAAAUUCUCUCCUCUUGUUCCAAAUGCUUUUCCUUUGACUAAACAAAACUCCCCCUCAAAUAAAUUCUCCUCUUAGUGUUCAAGAGGGUUUUAAGAUAUCAAGUUUUGAAAAUACUACUUGCUCCCCCUUUAGAACACAAAGAGAUACUAAUUUUGAAUUUUUCCAACCAAUUGAAAAUCAUAUGUUAAAAUUAGGGUGGUGGUGCGGUCCUUUUGCUUUAGGCUCAUAUUUUCUCCCCCUUUGGCAAGAAUCGCCAAAAACGGAAUCAUUAGAGCCCAACGAAGUACUUUCUCCUCCUUUGGUCAUAAAAGAAAUGAGUGAAGAUUAUACCAAAGUUGGAGAGUGAUGCGGAGCGACGGCGAAGGAUGAGUAGUGGAGUGGAGUGGAAGCCUUUGUCUUCGCUGAAGACUCCAAUUCCCUUUCAAUAUACCUAUGACUUGGUUUGAAAUACACUUGAAAACACAUUAGUCAUAGCAUAUAUAAAAGAGAUAUGAUCAAAGGUAUACUUGUGUGCUAUGUGUGCAAAUUUAGCAAAAGAAGUUCCUGGAAUCAAGAAUGUUGAGCUCAUGCCUAAGUCUGGUAAAAGAUUGUUCAUCAAGUGGCUUGGUAAAGAUAUCGGCUAAUUGAUCUUUAGUGUUAAUGUAUGAAAUCUCGAUAUCCCCCUUUUGUUGGUGAUCCCUAAGAAAAUGAUACCGAAUGGCUAUGUGUUUAGUGCGGCUAUGCUCAACGGGAUUAUCCGCCAUGCGGAUUGCACUCUCAUUAUCACAUAGAAGAGGAACUUUGGUUAGUUUGUAACCGUAGUCCCGCAGGGUUUGCCUCAUCCAAAGCAAUUGCGCGCAACAAUGGCCUGCGGCAAUGUACUCGGCUUCGGCGGUAGAAAGAGCGACUGAAUUUUGCUUCUUUGAAGCCCAAGACACCAAGGAUCUUCCCAAGAACUGGCAAGUCCCCGAUGUGCUCUUCCUAUUAAUCUUACACCCCGCCCAAUCGGCAUCCGAAUAACCAAUCAAAUCAAAAGUGGAUCCCCGAGGGUACCAAAGCCCAAACUUAGGAGUAUAAGCCAAAUAUCUCAAGAUUCGUUUUACGGCCGUAAGGUGUGAUUCCUUAGGGUCGGCUUGGAAUCUUGCACACAUGCAAAUGGAAAGCAUAAUGUCUGGUCGAGAUGCACAUAAAUAAAGCAAUGAGCCAAUCAUCGACCGGUAUACCUUUUGAUCCACGGACUUACCUCCCGUGUCGAGGUCGAGAUGCCCAUUUGUUCCCAUGGGAGUCUUGAUGGGCUUGGCAUCCUUCAUUCCAAACUUGCUUAAAAUGUCUUGAGUAUACUUCGUUUGGCAAAUGAAAGUGCCCUCUUGGAGUUGCUUGACUUGAAAUCCUAGAAAAUACUUCAACUCCCCCAUCAUAGACAUCUCGAAUUUCUUUGUCAUGAUCCUACUAAAUUCUUCACAUGUAGAUUCGUUAGUAGACCCAAAUAUAAUAUCAUCAACAUAAAUUUGGCAUACAAACAAAUCAUUGUCAAGAGUUUUAGUGAAUAAAGUAGGAUCGGCUUUGCCGACUUUGAAGCCAUUUGCAAUAAGGAAAUCUCUAAGGCAUUCAUACCAUGCUCUUGGGGCUUGCUUGAGCCCAUAAAGCGCCUUAGAGAGCCUAUAAACAUGGUUAGGGUACUCACUGUCUUCAAAGCCGGGAGGUUGCUCAACAUAGACCUCCUCCUUGAUUGGUCCAUUGAGGAAAGCACUCUUCACAUCCAUUUGAUAAAGCUUGAAGCCAUGGUAAGUAGCAUAGGCUAAUAAUAUGCGAAUUGAUUCAAGCCUAGCUACGGGUGCAUAGGUUUCACCAAAAUCCAAACCUUCGACUUGUGAAUACCCCUUGGCCACGAGUCGAGCUUUGUUCCUUGUCACCACACCAUGCUCGUCUUGCUUGUUGCGGAAGACCCACUUGGUUCCUACAACAUUUUGAUUAGGACGUGGAACUAAAUGCCAUACCUCAUUCCUUGUGAAAUUGUUGAGCUCCUCUUGCAUCGCCAUCACCCAAUCCGCAUCUUGGAGUGCUUCCUCUACCCUGUGUGGCUCAAUAGAGGAAACAAAAGAGUAAUGCUCACAAAAAUGUGCAACCCGAGAUCGAGUAGUUACCCCCUUAUGAAUGUCGCCGAGGAUGGUGUCGACGGGGUGAUCUCGUUGUAUUGCUUGGUGGACUCUUGGGUGUGGCGGCUUUGGUUGUUCAUCCUCCUUGUCUUCAUCAUUUGCAUCUCCCCCUUGAUCGUUGCCGUCAUUUUGAGGUGGCUCAUCUUCUUGAUCUUCUUGUUCAACAUCUUGAGCCUCAUCCUCAAUUUGAGUUGGUGGAGAUGCUUGCAUGGAGGAGGAUGGUUGAUCUUGUGCAUGUGGAGGCUCUUUGGAUUCCUUAGGACACACAUCCCCAAUGGACAUGUUCCUUGGCGCUAUGCAUGGAGCCUGUUCUUCACCUAUCUCAUCAAGAUCAACUUGCUCUACUUGAGAGCCGUUAGUCUCAUCAAACACAACGUCACAAGAAACUUCAACAAGUCCUGAGGACUUGUUAAAGACUCUAUAUGCCCUUGUGUUUGAGUCAUAUCCUAGUAAAAAGCCUUCUACAGUUUUAGGAGCAAAUUUAGAUUUUCUACCUCUUUUAACAAGUAUAAAACAUUUGCUACCAAAAACUCUAAAAUAUGAAAUAUUGGGCUUUUUACCGGUUAGGAGUUCAUAGGAUGUCUUCUUGAGGAUUCGGUGAAGAUAUAACCGGUUGAUGGCGUAGCAGGCAGUGUUGACCGCCUCGGCCCAAAACCGAUCCGGUGUCUUGUACUCAUCAAGCAUGGUUCUCGCCAUGUCCAAUAGAGUUCGAUUCUUCCUCUCCACUACACCAUUUUGUUGUGGAGUGUAGGGAGAAGAGAACUCAUGCUUGAUGCCCUCCUCCUCAAGGAAGCCUUCUAUUUGAGAGUUCUUGAACUCCGUCCCGUUGUCGCUUCUGAUUUUCUUGAUCCUUAAGGCGAACUCAUUUUGAGCUUGUCUCAAGAAUCCCUUUAAGGUCUCUUGGGUAUGAGAUUUUUCCUGCAAAAAGAACACCCAAGUGAAGCGAGAAUAAUCAUCCACAAUAACUAAACAGUACUUACUCCCGCCGAUGCUUAUGUAAGCAAUCGGGCCGAAUAAAUCCAUGUGUAGGAGCUCCAGUGGCCUGUCACUAGUCAUGAUGUUCUUGUGUGGAUGAUGAGUGCCAACUUGCUUCCCGGCCUGGCAUGCACUACAAAUCCUGUCUUUCUCAAAAUGAACAUUGGUUAGUCCUAAAAUGUGUUCCCCCUUUAGAAGCUUAUGAAGAUUCUUCAUUCCAACAUGGGCUAGUCGGCGGUGCCAGAGCCAACCCAAGUUAGUCUUAGCAACUAAGCAAGUGUCGAGUUCAGCUCUAUCAAAAUCUACCAAGUAUAGCUGACCCUCUAACACUCCCUUAAAUGCUAUUGAAUCAUCACUUCUUCUAAAGACAGUAACACCUACAUUAGUAAAUAGACAGUUGUAGCCCAUUUGACAUAAUUGGGAUACGAAAAGCAAAUUGUAAUCUAAUGAAUCAACAAGAAAAAGAUUUGAAAUGGAAUGGUCAGGAGAUAUAGCAAUUUUACCCAAUCCUUUGACCAAACCUUGAUUUCCAUCCCCGAAUGUGAUAGCUCGUUGGGGAUCUUGGUUUUUCUCAUAUGAGGAGAACAUCUUCUUCUCCCCUGUCAUGUGGUUUGUGCACCCGUUGUCGAGUAUCCAACUUGAGCCCCCGGAUGCAUAAACCUACAAAACAAUUUUAGUUCUUGACUUUAGGUACCCAAAUGGUUUUGGGUCCUUUGGCAUUAGACACAAGAACUUUGGGUACCCAAACACAAGUCUUUGACCCCUUGUGUUUGCCCCCAACAUACUUGGCAACGACCUUGCCAGAUUUGUUAGUCAAAACAUAGGAUGCAUCAAAAGUUUUAAAUGAAAUGUUAUGUUCAUUUGAUGCAUUUGGAGUUUUCUUUCUAGGCAACUUAGCACGGGUUGGUUGCCUAGAGCUAGAUGUCUCACCCUUAUACAUAAAAGCAUGAUUAGGGCCAGAGUGAGACUUCCUAGAAUGAGUUCUCCUAAUUUUGCUCUCAGGAUAGCUGGCAGGGUACAAAAUGUAACCCUCGUUAUCCUGAGGCAUGGGAGCCUUGCCCUUAACAAAGUUAGAUAAAUUCUUUGGAGGGGCAUUAAGUUUGACAUUGUCUCCCUUUUGGAAGCCAAUGCCAUCCUUGAUGCCAGGGCGUCUCCCACUAUAGAGCAUACUUCUAGCAAAUUUAAACUUUUCAUUUUCUAAGUUAUGCUCGGCAAUUUUAGCAUCUAAUUUAGCUAUAUGAUCAUUUUGUUGUUUAAUUAAAGACAUGUGAUCAUGAAUAGCAUUAAUAUCAACAUCUCUACAUCUAACACAAAUAGAAGUGUGCUCAACGGUAGAUGUAGAGGGUUUGCAAGAUUUUAGUUCUACAACCUUAGCAUGCAAUAUUUCAUUCUUACUUCUAAGGUCGGAAAUAGUAGCAUUGCAAACAUCAAAAUCUUUAGUCUUAGCAAUCAAAUUUUCAUUUUCUAAUCUAAGACUAGCAAGAGAAAUGUUCAAUUCUUCAAUCCUAGCAAGCAAAUCAUCAUUAUCAUUUCUAGGGUUGGGAAUUGAAACAUUGCAAACAUGAAAAUCAACCUUAGCUAACAAAUUAGCAUUUUCAUUUCUAAGGUUGUCUAUUGUUUCAUGGCAAGUACUUAGCUCACUAGAUAAUUUUUGACAUUUCUCAGUUUCUAGAGCAUAAGCAUUUUUAACCUUAACAUGCUUCUUAUUUUCUUUAAUAAGGAAGUCCUCUUGGGUGUCCAAGAGAUUAUCCUUUUCAUGGAUGGCACUAAUCAAUUCAUUAAGUUUUUCUUUUUGUUGCAUGUUGAGGUUGGCAAAAAGGGUACGCAAAUUAUCUUCCUCAUCACUAGCAUUAUCAUCACUAGAGGAUUCAUAUUUAGUGGAGGAUUUAGAUUUAACCUUCUUUUGCCAUCCUUUGCCAUGAGGCACUUGUGGUCGACGUUGGGGAAGAGAAGCCCUUUGGUGACGGCGAUGUUGGCGGCGUCCUCGUCGGAGGAAGACUCGGUGGAGCUCUCGUCGGAGUCCCAUUCCCGGCAAACAUGGGCAUCGCCGCCCUUCUUCUUGUAGUACUUCUUCUUUUCUCUCCUCUUUCCCUUCUUGUCGUCGCCCCUGUCACUAUCACUAGACAUAGGACAUUUUGCAAUAAAAUGACCGGGCUUACCACAUUUGUAGCACACUUUCUUGGAGCGAGGUUUGUAGUCCUUCCCCUUCCGUUGCUUGAGGAUUUGGCGAAAGCUUUUGAUGAUUAAAGCCAUCUCCUCAUUGUCGAGCUUGGAGGGGUCAAUUGGUUGUCUACUUGGUGUAGACUCCUCCUUCUUCUCCUCCAUCGCCUUAAAUGCCACCGGUUGCGCCUCGGACGUGGAGGGUUCGUCAAGCUCGUUGAUCUUCCUUGAGCCCUUGAUCAUACAUUCAAAGCUCACAAAAUUCCCGAUAACUUCCUCGGGGGUCAUUUGAGUAUAUCUAGGAUUACCACGAAUUAAUUGAACUUGAGUGGGGUUAAGGAAAAUAAGUGAUCUCAAAAUAACCUUAACCACCUCGUGGUCAUCCCAUUUCUUGCUCCCGAGGUUGCGCACUUGGUUCACCAAGGUUUUGAGCCGGUUGUACAUAUCUUGUGGCUCCUCCCCUGGGCGAAGACGAAAGCGACCGAGCUCCCCCUCGAUCGUUUCCCGCUUGGUGAUCUUGGUGAGUUCAUCACCCUCGUGCGCGGUCUUGAGUAGGUCCCAAAUCUCCUUUGCAUUCUUCAACCCUUGCACUUUGUUGUAUUCCUCCUUGCUUAGAGAGGCGAGGAGAAUGGUUGUGGCUUGGGAGUUGAAGUGCUCGAUUUGGGCCACUUCAUCCAUAUCAUAGUCUUCAUCCCCUACGGAUGGUACCUGUACACCAAACUCAACAACAUCCCAUAUACUUUUGUGGAGUGAGGUUAGAUGAAAUCGCAUUAAAUCACUCCACAUAGCAUAAUCUUCACCAUUAAAAGUUGGUGGUUUGCCUAAUGGGACGGAAAGCAAAGGUGUAUGUUUAGGAAUGCGGGGUAGCGUAGGGGGAUCUUACUAUACUUCUUACGCUCUUGGCGCUUAGAAGUGACGGAUGCCGCGUCGGAGCCGGAGGUGGAUGUUGAUGAAGAAUCGGUCUCGUAGUAGACCACCUUCCUCAUCCUCUUCUUCUUGUCGCCACUCCGAUGCGGCUUGUGGGAAGAGGACUUUUCUUUCUUCUCUUUGUGAUGUGAAGAAGAUACUUUCUCCUUUCCUUUGGAGGAGUCCUUCUUCUUUUCUUCGUGGUGCGAAGAAGAUCUUUUCUCCUUCCCUUUGGAGGAGACCUUCCUCUUCUCCCUCCUUUUGGUGUGGGACUCUUCCGAUGAAGUGCUCCCUUGGCUUGUAGUGGGCUUGUCGCCGGUCUCCAUCUCCCUCUUGGUGUGAUCUCCCGUCAUCACUUCGAGCGGUUAGGCUCUAAUGAAGUACCGGGCUCUGAUACCAAUUGAAAGUCGCCUAGAGGGGGGGGUGAAUAGGGCGAAACUAAAAUUCUCAAAAAUAAUCACAACUACAAGCCGGGUUAGCGUUAGAAAUAUAAUUAAGUUCGCGAGAGAGGCCGCAAAACAAAUCACAAGCGAAUAAUGAAGUGAGACACGUGGAUUUGUUUUACCGAGGUUCAGUUCUCUCAAACCUACUCCCCGUUGAGGAGGCCACAAAGGCCGGGUCUCUUUCAACCCUUCCCUCUCUCAAACGGUCCCUCGGACCGAGUGAGCUUCUCUUCUCAAAUCACUUGGGAAUCAAACUUCCCGCAAGGACCACCACACAAUUGGUGUCUCUUGCCUCAAUUACAAGUGAGUGUUUGUUCACAAGAAAGAAUGAAAGAGAGAAAGCAAUCCAAGCGCAAGAGCUCAAAUGAACACGGCAAAUCACUCUCACUAGUCACUUAGGCUUUGUAUGGAAUUGGAGAGGAUUUGAUCUCUUUGGGUGUGUCUAGAAUUGAAUGCCUAGCUCUUGUAGGUAGUUGAGAAGUGGAAAACUUGGAUGCAAUGAAUGGUGGGGUGGUUGGGGUAUUUAUAGCCCCAACCACCAAACUAGCCGUUUGGUGAGGCUGUCUGUUCGAUGGCGCACCGGACAGUCCGGUGCACACCGGACAUGUCCGGUGCGACAGCCACGUCACCAAAUAGCCGUUGGGUCGACCGUUGGAGUUCUGACUUCGGGGCCCGCCUUGAUGUCCGGUGGCGCACCAGACAUGCACUGUAGAGUGUCCGGUGCGCCUGCUCCCGCGUGCCUGACGACUGUGCGCUUCUGGCGCGCAUUAAAUGCGCCUGCAGGUGACCGUUGGCGCGAAGUAGCCGUUGCCCCGAGGUUGCACCGGACAGUCCGGUGCACACCGGACAUGUCCGGUGAAUUAUAGCGGAGCAGCCUUCGCGAAUUCCCGAGACUGGUGAGUUCCUGAGCCGCGACUCAAAUGAGCACCGGACACUGUCCGGUGUACACCGGACAGUCCGGUGAAUUAUAGCGCGCUAGCUCUAGAAAUUUCCCGAGGGCGACGUGUUUGAGCUGAAGUCCUCUGGUGCACCGGACACUGUCCGGUGGCACACCGGACAGUCCGGUGCGCCAGACCAGAGAAGCCUUUGGUUGCUCCUUUGCCCUUUUGUUGAACCCAACACUUGGUCAAUUUAUUGGCUAAGUGUGAACCUUUUGCACCUGUAUGACUUAUAAACUAGAGCAAACUAGUUAGUCCAAAGAUUUGUGUUGGGCAAUUCAACCACCAAAAUUAUUUAGGAACUAGGUGUAAGCCUAAUUCCCUUUCAAGUCCUUGCUGACGUCCUCUUGCUUCCGUAAGGGGGCUGAGAGCCGCCGUCGUCAUAGGGCAUGCGGGGCGCCAUCAUUACUUGUCUGGCGGAGCGAGCCAGAUGGGACGCCAGUCUUGUUCCCCGUAGCCUGAGUCAGCUUGGGGUAGGGUAAUGAUGGCGCCUCCUGUUGAUGUGGUCGGUCCGUGCCCUAGGUUGGGCGAUGUGGAGGCUCCUCCGAGGUCGAGGUCGAGUCUGUUCUUCCGAGGCCGAGGUCGAGUCCGAGCCCCUGGGUCGGGCGAGGCGGAGACUGUCGGCUGAGGCCAGGGCUGAGUCCGAGCCCUGGGGUCGGGCGAAGCGGAGUUCGUCGUCUUUCGGUGCUGAGCCCGAGUCCGAGCCCUGGGGUCGGGCGAAGCGGAGUUCGUCGUCUUCCGGGGCUGAGCCCGAGUCCGAGCCCUGGGGUCGGGCGGAGCGGAGUUCGUCGUCUUCCGGGGCUGAGCCCGAGUCCGAGCCCUGGGGUCGGGCGGAGCGGAGUUCGUCGUCUUCUGGGGCUGAGCCCGAGUCCGAGCCCUGGGGUCGGGCGGAGCGGAGUUCGUCGUCUUCCGGGGCUGAGCCCGAGUCCGAGCCCUGGGGUCGGGCGAAGCGGAGUUCGUCGUCUUCCGGGGCUGAGCCCGAGUCCGAGCCCUGGGGUCGGGCGAAGCGGAGUUUCCUAUGGCGCCUGAGGCCGGGCCUGGCUGCUGUCAGCCUCACUCUGUCGAGUGGCACAGCAGUCGGAGCGGCGCAGGCGGCGCUGUCCUCUUGUCAGACCAGUCAGUGGAGCGGCGAAGUGACUACGGUCACUUCGGCUCUGUCGACUGGAGGGCGCGCGUCAGGAUAAAGGUGUCAGGCCACCUUUGCAUUAAAUGCCCCUGCGAUUUGGUCGGUUGGCGUGGCGAUUUGGCCAAGGUUGCUUCUUGGUGAAGACUGGGCCUUGGGUGAGCCGAGGGUGUGUCCGUUGCUGGAGGGGGGUCUCGGGCGAGACGUAGAUCCUCCGGGGUCGGCUGCCCUUGCCCGAGGCUGGACUCGGGCGAGGCGUGAUCGCGUCCCUCGAAUGGACCGAUCCUUGACUUAGUCGCACCCAUCAGGCCUUUGCAGCUUUGUGCUGAUGGGGGUUACCAGCUGAGAUUUAGGAGCCUUGAGGGUACCCCUAAUUAUGGUCCCCGACAGUAGCCCCCGAGCCUCGAAGGGAGUGUUAAUACUCGCUUGGAGGCUUUUGUCGCACUUUUUUGCAAGGGGACCAGCCUUUCUCGGUUGCGUUUUGUUCUGGUGGGUGCGCGCGAGCGCACCCGCCGGGUGUAGCCCCCGAGGCCUCGGAGGAGUGGUUUGACUCCUCCGAGGUCUUAAUGCCUCGCGCAAUGCUUCGGCCAGUCUGGUUGUUCCCUCAUGCGAGCUGGCCGUAGCCCGGGUGCACGGUCGGGUCCCAAGUUCUCGGGCUGGUAUGUUGACGCUGUCAACGGUUUGGCCGGAGCCGGGUUUGCGAGAGCAGCCCCCGAGCCUCUGCACAGGGCGAGAGGACGGUCAAGGACAUACUCGACUUUUUUACAUACGCCCCUGCGUCGCCUUUCCGCAAGGAGGAGGGGGGGAAAGCGCCAUGUUGCCCUCGGAGGGCGCCGAACAUGGUGUCUCCGGUGAGCUGCUGGCGGGUAAUCCGAGUGGACGCCCGUGCCCCAUUUGUUAGGGGUCGGCUAGAGGCCCGGAGGCGCGCUUAAAAGUACCUACGGGUGAUCUGCCGGACUUGGUCCCCUUUCGACGGGGUCCGAGGGCUCGAUGCCUCCCUCUGAUGGGAUUCGUUACAAGAUCGUUCCCGCUGGUCUUGGAAAUGUCCUAGGGUACCUCGGGAGCGUAGCCCGAGCCUUGGUUAUGUAUCGAACGUACCCAGGGUCAUCCCUCACUCUGUGUCUGAGGCGGCUGUGAACCCUUCGAGGGCCAGCCUACGAACCCCUGAUCAGUAGUGGGCGCGGAGCCCGAGUGGCCUGAGGCGGCCGUUGAACCCUUCCGAGGGGCCGGCCUUCGAACCUCUGACCAGUAGUGGGUGCAGAGCCCACACGCUCUGAGGCGGCUGUUACACCCCUCCGAGGGGCCAGCCUUUGAACCUCUGAUCAGUAGGGAGGCUCGGGGCCUGUUUCCUUCAUGGAGAAGGAUCCUUUUCGGGGUAUCCCUCUUUCCCGGUCCCUGUUGUAAGAGAGAGAAAUAGGAAAAGGAAAAGGAUACGAAAUCGAAUGAUGUGGUGUACCUUUUUUGACGCGGUCGUUAUGGCGAAGGCGAAACGUCGCUUGCUUCCCCUGCCAGAGGCGCCGCCUGUCCCGCCGCGGAGUUAAUGCGACGGGGCGAGUGGUUCGCGAGGUGGCCGUUGCGCGUGCGCGAGCCGUUCGAGGAACGGAACAUGGGUGCGUCGUCUUCACGCCGUGAGAGAGGGUUCUCUCGCUGCCCCUGGAUGGGACGUAAGCUUGGCUGAUGACGUGACCGCUGCUCCUGCCCGCCUGCCACCGCCAUUACUGCCGGCCCAUUUUUGGCCGUAUUGACCGUCGCGCCUGGCUGGCACUACUGGGUCGUACGCAGGGUUGCCUCGAGUCGCGGUACUGGUUCCGCAGUCGAGGAGGCGUGGUAGUGGUGCGAGCGGCGGUGCAGUUGCUCGCACGUAGCAACCGGCGCGCCGGUUGCAUGACGCGUGGGCCUGGGCCUCCAUGCUGGGUGCAUUGGAAGUCGGAGGGGUGCGCCCACUUGGCGCGGUUGCAUGCCGCCUGCAUGGCUGCCCGCCCUUUCACCCGCUGGUCUGGGCGAAAGUGGAGGAAUGCUCGUAACCGCUGGGCAGUUACAUGCACCGCGCGCGGCGGUUCGGCUUCUUCUGCCCUGGCCAGUCUGCAUGACGCAUGGGACCCAGCCCUUGCGCCGUAGGGGGAGGACCUUGGAGCGUGGUGGCAGCUGGGGGAAGCUUCCCCACCGUCGAGGCCGUCAGUGCCGCCUACGGGCCGGCCUCCGGCUCUUUGGCUUUGAUGUCUGGUUCGCGUCCCUUGAGCGGGGACGCGAACGAGAGCCUUCCGGUGGCCGCGUCCGUCCUGGGACCAUAGCUGCUGCUGCAGAGGUCGCUGGCGAGUCGCCCGGAACUUGUCGCCCCGCAGGAUCCCCGGUGUGGAGGUUGUUCAUACCCGCGGGGACGGAACCGGAGUUCCGUUUGUAAUGGCACCUUGAAUGCUGGUCUUUUGUUCAUUGUGGCUGUCGGGGCCUGAACAUGUAUGUAUUUUUGGCGCGGAGCCGUGUUUUUUCCUCAUUUUCGAGCACUAAGACUCGCCUGUUGGUUAUCUGAACCGCUUCACCAAGCGUGAGUCACCCCGUGCAAAGGUGACGAGUGAGGUAUCCGUGUCCCGGAGGCGUAGGAGUCCCUCGGCUCGGUCGGCCCUGCUGUCCGAGGCUUCUCUUGCUUAGUUAAAGGAACCCCUCGGCUGCUCUUCGAUGAGCCGAAGCCAGGGGUAGCGGUGUCAGCACGGACAGAGGCAGAGUUGGCUCGAAAAGAAGACUUGGUCGGCCGGAGCCUGGCUGGGUCGUCCACUGGCGGGACCGACGCCGGAAUUGAGUUGCCGAGGCCUCGGGCCGGGCUGAUGUCUUCAGGGGACAGCUGGCCGAGGCCUCGGGGUGAUCGGCCGAGCCGUCUGCUCGAGCCGGAUUCCUGGAGAAGACCCUGGCGGCGAAGGCCUGGGCGUGGUGAUGAUGUCGUCCUUCAGAGUGGAGAUCCUCGGUCCGCGUCGCCGUCCGAGGCUAGGUCGGACCUCGCCGAAGGUGUAGUUGACGCCGAGGGUGCUGCUGCUCCCUUCAACUGUCAAGAUCCGAGCCUGCAGGAUCAGAUUAUCUUGUAGCGUGUGUUUUCUGCGGCCGCCGAGGCCCAAACACACCAUCGUCGUGUUGUAAAGCUGCGCUUCUUUUCCUCUUGUUUCGAGUAUCUGGACUUUUUCGUCGGUAACAGAAUUGUCUGUGCGAGCAAGAGUUGCUUUUCACGGAAGGUUAUGAGUGAGGUAUCCGUAUCCCGGAGGCGUAGGAAUCCCUCGGCUCGGUUGGCCUUGCCGCUUACGCGCACUCUUGCCCGUCCAUAGGGUUCUGUCACCGACGCAGUCGAGAAGGCCCGAAGAAUCGCUUCGGCAGAGGAGCUUUCGAGCGUGAAGACUUGUUCGGUCCGCGGAAUCACUUAUCCGAACGCGAGUUACUUAUCGCAGAAGGUGAUGAGUGAGGUAUCUGUAUCCCAGAGGCGUAGGAGUCCUCAGCUGCUUACGUGUACUCCGUCGUUUUCAGGAUCCACUUUCGAAGUAGUCGAAAAGCGCGAAAGACAUUCUGGCAGAAAGGAUCUUUUUUUGAGGAAAAUUUCGACGCAGAGGGGGUUCCCCCCUUUUAGCCCCCGAGGGAGGGUCGGGCUUUGCCGAGGCAAGGCUGACCCUUCCUUGAUGACUAAACUUUGCGUGGGAACGAGGUAUACGAACAACUUGAAAGCAUCUUAAGGGUAGAAGCGACGUAGUUGUUGGAUGUUCCAAGCGUUGCUGUAGACCUCGCCUUGACUGUUGGCCAGCUUGUACGUUCCGGGCUUCAGAACUUUGGCGAUGACGAACGGCCCUUCCCAGGGAGGCGUGAGCUUGUGCCGCCCUCGGGCGUCUUGUCGCAGCCGAAGCACCAGGUCGCCCACCUGGAGGUAUCGGGACCAGACCCCUCGGGCGUGGUAGCGUCGCAGGGACUGCUGGUACCGCGCCGAGUGUAGUAAGGCCAUGUCCCGAGCCUCUUCCAGCUGGUCCAGCGAGUCUUCUCGAUUAGCUUGGUUGCUUUGGUCGGCGUAGGCCCUCGUCCUCGGGGAACCGUAUUCUAAGUCUGUGGGCAAGAUGGCCUCGGCCCCAUAGACUAGAAAGAACGGCGUGAAGCCCGUGGCUCGGCUCGGCGUUGUCCUCAGACUCCAGACCACCGAGGGGAGUUCCUUCAUCCAUCGCUUGCCGAACUUGUUGAGGUCGUUGUAGAUCCGAGGCUUGAGUCCUUGUAGAAUCAUGCCGUUGGCACGCUCUACUUGCCCAUUCGUCAUGGGGUGAGCCACGGCGGCCCAGUCCACCCGGAUGUGGUGAUCUUCGCAGAAGUCCAGGAACUUUCUGCCGGUGAACUGGGUGCCAUUGUCGGUGAUGAUGGAGUUCGGGACCCCAAAGCGAUGGAUGAUGUUGGUGAAGAACGCCACCGCCUGUUCGGACCUGAUGCUGUUUAGGGGUCAGACCUCGAUCCACUUGGAGAAUUUGUCGAUGGCGACCAACAGGUGCGUAUAGCCCCCGGGUGCCUUCUGCAAGGGGCCAACGAGGUCCAGACCCCACACAGCAAAAGGCCAGGUGAUGGGUAUCGUCUGCAGGGUCUGAGCGGGCAGGUGGGUCUGCCUUGCGUAGAACUGACACCCUUCGCAGGUGCGGACAAUUCUAGUGGUGUCGGCCACCGCCGUCGGCCAGUAGAAACCUUGUCGGAAGGCGUUUCCAACAAGGGCUCGAGGUGCUGCGUGAUGGCCGCAAGCCCCCGAGUGUAUCUCUUGUAGGAGCUCCUGACCUUCGGCGAUGGGGAUGCAUCGCUGGAGGAUGCCUGAGGGGCUGCGGUGGUAGAGCUCCUUCCCAUCUCCCAGCAAGACGAACGACUUGGCGCGCUGCGCCAACCGCCGAGCUUCGGCUCGGUCGAGGGGUAGCUCUCCUCGGUGGAGAUAUUGCAGGUACGGGGUCUGCCAGUUUCGAUUAGGCGUGACCCCGCUUCACUCCUCCUCGAUGCGCAGUGCCUCACCCUCGGGGGCCGAGGGUACCUCGGGCCGAACCGAGGGUGCCUCGGGCUGGGCCGAGGGUGCCUCGGGCCGAGCCGAGGGUACCUCGGACUGAGCCGAGGGUGCCUCAGGCUCAGCCGAGGCCUUCUCGGGCUCGGGCGUGUCGUCGGUCUUGACGGAGGGUUGAUGCAGGUCUCGGGAGAAGACGUCCGGGGGAACCAUUGUUCGCCCCGAGGCUAUUUUAGCCAGCUCGUCCGCAGUCUCGUUGUAGCGUCGGGCGAUGUGGUUGAGCUCGAGCCCGUAGAACUUGUCUUCCAGGCGCCGAACCUCAUCGCAGUAGGCUUCCAUCUUCGGGUCGCGGCAGUGGGAGUUCUUCAUGACUUGGUCGAUGACGAGUUGCGAGUCACCGCGAGCGUCGAGGCGUCGGACCCCUAGCUCGAUGGCGAUGCACAACCCGUUGACUAGAGCCUCGUACUCAGCCACAUUGUUGGACACCGGGAAGUGGAGGCGUAGCACGUAGCGUAGGUGCUUCCCAAGGGGCGAGAUGAAGAGCAGGCCUGCGCCUGCUCCUGUCUUCAUCAGCGACCCGUCGAAGAACAAGGUCCAGAGUUCCGGUUGGAUCGGAACUGUUGGGAGGCUUUCCUCGUCUUGCCUAUGAUGUCAUCGACGUAGGCCUCGACCGCCCGGCCAAUGUGUUCGCCGAACACAUGGUUCAUGCACCGUUGGUACGUCGCACCCGCAUUCCUCAAGCCGAACGGCAUGGUGACAUAGCAGUACAUGCCGAAGGGUGUGAUGAAAGAAGUCGCGAGCUGGUCGGACUCUUUCAUCCUGAUUUGGUGAUACCCUGAGUAGGCAUCAAGGAAAGACAGGGUUUCGCACCCAGCAGUGGAAUCCACGAUUUGGUCGAUGCGAGGCAGAGGGUAGGGAACCUUCGGACAUGCUUUGUUUAGACCAGUGUAGUCUACACACAUCCACCAUUUCCCUCCUUUUUUUCUCACAAGCACAGGGUUGGCAAGCCAUUCGGGAUGGAAUACCUCUUUGAUGAACCCUGCCGCCAUUAGCUUGUGGAUCUCCUCGCCUAUGGCUCUGCGCUUUUCUUCGUCGAAUCGGCGCAGAGGCUGCUUCACGGGUCGGGCUCCAGCUCGGAUAUCCAGCGAGUGCUCGGCGACAUCCCUCGGUAUGCCGGGCAUGUCCGAGGGACUCCACGCGAAAACGUCGACGUUCGCGCGGAGAAAGUCGACGAGCACUGCUUCCUAUUUGGGAUCGAGCUUGGAGCCGAUCCGGAUCUGCUUGGAGGCGUCGCCGCUGGGGUCGAGGGGGGCGGACUUAACCGUCUCCGCUGGCUCGAAGUUGCCGGCGUGGCGCUUCACGUCUGGCACCUCCUUAGAGAGGCUCUCCAGGUCGGCGAUGAGGGCCUCGGAUUCGCGAGGGCCUCGACGUACUCCACGCACUCCACGUCGCAUUCGAACGCGUGUCGGUAUGUGGGGCCGACGGUGAUGACCCCGUUGGGGCCCGACAUCUUGAGCUUGAGGUAGGUGUAGUUGGGGACGGCCAUGAACUUCGCGUAGCAUGGCCUCCCCAGUACUGCGUGGUAGGUUCCUCGGAACCCGACCACCUCGAACGUGAGGGUCUCCCUUCGGAAGUUGGAGGGCAUCCCAAAGCAGACGGGAAGAUCGAGUUGUCCGAGGGGCUGGACGCGCUUCCCGGGGAUGAUCCCGUGGAAAGGCGCAGCGCCUGCCCGGACCGAAGACAGAUCAACACGCAGGAGCCCGAGGGUCUCGGUGUAGAUGAUGUUGAGGCUGCUGCCUCCGUCCAUGAGGACCUUGGUGAGCCUUACGUCGCCGAUGACGGGGUCGACAACGAGCGGGUAUUUCCUCGGGCUCGGCACGCGGUCGGGGUGGUUGGCUUGGUCGAAGGUGAUGGGCUUGUCGGACCAGUCUAGGUAGACUGGCGCCGCCACCUUUACCGAACAGACCUCCCGACGCUCUUGCUUGCGGUGCCGAGCCGAGGCGUUCGCCGCUUGCCCACCGUAGAUCAUGAAGCAGUCGCGGACCUCGGGGAACUCUCCUGCCUGGUGAUCUUCCUUCUUAUCGUCGUCGCGAGCCCUGCCACCCUCCGCGGGUGGCCCGGCCUUGUGAAAGUGGCGCCGAAGCAUGGCGCACUCCUCAAGGGUGUGCUUGACGGGCCCCUGAUGAUAGGGGCACGGCUCCUUGAGCAUCUUGUCGAAGAGGUUGGCACCUCCGGGGGGUUUCCGAGGGUUCUUGUACUCGGCGGCGGCGACAAGGUCCGCGUCGGCGGCGUCGCGUUUCGCUUGCGACUUCUUCUUGCCUUUCUUCUUGGCGACGCGCUGAGUUGACGCCUCGGGGGCAUCUUCCGGUGGGCGGCCCUGGGGCUGCUUGUCCUUCCGAAAGAUAGCCUCAACCGCCUCCUGGCUAGAGGCGAACUUGGUGGUGAUGUCCAUCAGCUCGCUCGCCCUGGUGGGGGUCUUGCGACCCAGCUUGCUCACCAGGUCGCGGUAGGUGGUGCCAGCGAGGAACGCGCUGAUGACAUCUGAAUCAGUGAUGUUGAGCAGCUCGGUGCGCUGCUUCGAGAAUCGCCGGAUGUAGUCCCGGUGAGACUCUCCCGGCUGCUGUCGGCAGCUUUGGAGGUCCUAGGAGUUUCCAGGGCGCACGUACGUGCCCUGGAAAUUGCCGGCGAAGGCUUGGACCAGGUCGUCCCAGUUGGAGAUCUGCCCCAGAGGCAGGUGCUCCAACCAGGCGCGAGCGGUGUCGGAGAGGAACAGGGGGAGGUUGCGGAUGAUGGGGUUUCAUCGUCCGUUCCACCUAGUUGGCAGGCCAGCCGGUAGUCUGCGAGCCACAAUUCUGGUCUCGUCUCCCCCGAGUACUUUGUGAUAGUAGUCGGGGUUCGGAACCGGGUCGGGAACGGCGCCCGUCGUAUGGCGCGGCUAAAAGCCUGCGGACCGGGUGGUUCGGGCAAGGGACUCCGAUCCUCCCCGCUGUCGUAGCGUCCCCCACGCCUGGGGUGGUAGCCUCGGCGCACCCUCUCGUCGAGGUGGGCCCGACGGUUGCGGUGAUGGUGCUCGUUGCCGAGGCGACCCGGGGCCACAGGCGCUGUGUUGCGCGUGCGCCCGGUGUGGACCGAGGCUUCCCGCAUGAAUCGGGAAGUUGCGGCGCGAUGUUUCGAGGGGUACCCCUGCCUUCGGGAGGCGGAGCUUUCGGCCCGUCGGACCGCGGCGUCUUCUUGAGCUCUCCCUGGAUACGCCGCCCCUCGGUGGUUGAUGGCUCCGGCAUCGCGCGGAGGAGCAUUGCCGCUGCAGCCAGGUUCUGGCCGACUCCACUAGAAGCGGGUGGCGGCCUCAUCCUGACAUCGUCGGCGAUGCGGUGCUGGAAGACCUGGGGGAGAUGACGCACUUCUCCGGCCGGAGGUUGGCCCGCCCAAUCCUGCCCGACGUCCCGGCGGAUCGGCUCAAGUGUGCCUGCUCCCUCGUUGAGCCUGGCCUGCACCCCGCGGAUUUGCUCGAGCUGUGGGUCAUGACCCCCCGCCGGAACAGGGACCACAGCUAGCUCCCGUAGGAUGUCAACGCGAGGCACAGGCCUAGGGAGGUCACCGUUUUCUGGCAUACCAAGAUGGUUGCCUUCGGAGGGACCCCCUAGAUCGACGUGGAAACAUUCACUACUUGGGCCGCAGUCCUCAUCGCCGAGGCUGCGGCUACCGUCGGAACAGUCGGAAAGGCAGUAGUCACACGCGGUCAUAAAGUCCCGCAUGGCACUGGGGUCACCAAGUCCGGAGAAAUCCCAACAGAAGUCGGCCUCGUCAUCUUCCUCGGACCCCGAGGGUCCGUAGGUCAAGACGUCCGUCAGCCGGUCCCAGGGUGACCGCAUACGAUACCCUAGAGGGUUUGGACUCGCCUCUACGAGAGCGCCCACAAAAGCGAAGUCGCUUGGCGGGUCGAGGCUGAAUCCGAAAGGCGUGAGAUGGGAAUCGGUGGGUACCUCUUGGUCGACGGGCGGUGACGAAGUCACGUCAGGGACUGACUGCACCGUCGUCUCAGGUACGAGGGUGACGCCCAGCAAGUCCUUCGCGAGCGUGCUGGCGUCAUCCGUUUGCUUGGGAUUGGCGUGUUGCGGGGAGAGGGCGCUCGUCUUCGUCUCAGACGCGGGGUCGAUGCCCGACGUGCCCCCCGUUGGGGCGCCGGUGUAACACCCGGUUUUAAGGAACAAAGCCGGGUGUAUCUCAUACAUGCGCCAAGAAGACAACAUAUAUAAUAACAGAGUGUAUAGAGAUAAAUGUCACAAUAACAUCAAAGUAUUCAUUACAUAGCGGAAGACUUAUUACAAAAUAAGGAAUAACCAUAAAACAAACUAAGGAUCGUUGGCGCCAAUGUCAACUGAGAAACGCCACCUAGAUCAGAUCAUACUCCUCGCCUUGUGGCUCCUCCUGAACCACCUGUUCUUCUCCUGUGGGGGGUGUGAGACAGCAAGAGUGAGCUCACAUACGUUCAUCGCUCAACAAGUUGUGGGGAAUAAUGUGGCAUGAACUCACCAAAGGUGGGAGUUCAUGAAGUGUAAGGCUGAUCAAUGAAAUAAAGGCUGAGGCUGAGCAUUGCUUUUAUAAGUUGGUCAAAAUUUUAUUAGCAAUUACUAAGUGUAAGUAAAUACCAAUCCUUAAUAAUAAUAAAGGAAAGUAAUAGUAAAAUAAUCCUAAAUGCGAUGCAAAUGUCAAAUUAAAUUUAAGUUCCAUAAAUUAAUCAUGUGAGGGUCCGAGCCGCUCAUGACCGUGAGCACGGCUAGUAUACCAGUUUUACACUCUGCAGAGGUUGCGCAUCUUUACCCACAAGUCAUGUUACCCAUCUGCCAAGAGAUGGCCAAUCCCAUACACCUCUACCGAGGAGGCGAGGCAGGGUAACACUACGAGGCCUUUACAAAGUUCCACUAGCUUCAGAAAUCCCGCUACAGUUUAUAGGAAGCUCCAGUGCAGGGUUCUUGCCUGACCGCCAUCGCAGCAAAAUCAACCAAGGACCUCCCUACACUGACCACUCCCCUACUGCCCUUGCCCCUUUCGGGUAAGGAAGACCUCCACUAGCUUUCCUAGUUAAUCAGCCAAGGGCGUCCCAUUAUACCCUUGUGGUAGCACUGUUUUCCCGGGUGGUCGCUCCAUGUUCCCAUUAACAUAAUGAUCUUAACAUGAACAGUAAUAAUAAAAUAGAAUAAAAGAGUAAUUAUGAAUAAAGUAUCUUCAUACCCAAAUCCACAUAAAGCAAUAGCAGGUACUACCCAAAGAAAUAUUUCAGUGGUAAACAAGGUAUAAAGAUAGCCAAAACUAGGGUAACCUAUUGGGUCCCAUCAAAAUUAUCCUAUGCAGAUCAUUAUAAUUAAUAAGAACAUGGCUGGGAAAAAGUAAGUGAUCAAGGGCACAACUUGCCUUCAAUGAGCUCCUGCUCAGCUAUCUCUACUUGUUGAACCUCAGUUUCCACAGUGGCUUGCUCGUCUAUUCGCAUCAACACAAUACAUACAUAGUAUAGCCAAAAUCAACAUCACACCAAACAGAUGAAUAAAAUAUACAGUAAAAAUCUACACAUUAAAAUGAAAUCAUAGGAACUGGAAUCACUAAAUUUGGAGUUAUAGAUUUCAAGUUAUGGAUUUCCUAAGAUUUAAUGUGUUUGAAAUAGGGUUAAAUGAUAAAUAUUUUUUUCUAACAAGUUCAUGUCAAAACAGAGACACUAAAUGGUAGAGAAUAUUAUUACAAAAUUUUAGAAAUUGGAAUGGCUCAAUUUGGACUAAAAAUGGAUUUUCUAUGAUUUAUACAAGUUCUAGGGUUUAUUUUCAUAUUAAAAAUCCAAUUUCUAAUUCAUUUAAUUGUUUUAAAACAGUUCUGGAUCGGGCCUCAAUUACUGGUAAGUUCAGGGGCUAUGGCGUAAAUUUUCCGAGACUCAGUGAAUAAAGUUCUGUGGAUGGCGGGUUAAUUUGUUAAAAGGUGAGGGGUUCUUUAAUAAAUCUGACCCGCGAAGGGGUAUUGGUGAAUCUGAGCCGUUCGUUCAAAUCUGGGCGCACAGGAUUAGAUCCCAUACGCACCGAACCGGUAUGCAGUGAGGACCGCGCGAUCGACUAUCUACGGCCUAGAUUUAAUACGGCGAAGGGUUAUGGGAUAACCCAAUCGCGACCGUCGAUCCAAACGCUUGCGGCCCAGAUCCAAUGCCCAACACGGCCACACUAAGGCUCACUCGGAGCCGUUCAUCAAUAGAUGGACGCUCACCCUUCCCCCCCCCAAACACCAGUAGCUGAGCGCGGCGGCGCCCAAGCUACACGGCGGCGCAUCACCGGCGCAGAAGCGGCCCAGCGGUCGAGUGCUAGAUCCACCCCGCGCAUGGUGAUUCAGAGCGAGAUCACAAGGGUGACACAACUCGGUUCUCUGCUAAGGUGAUUGAUGGAGCAGAAUGCUCCACCCACAAUGGCGGACGACGCCGAACCCGAGCCAUGGCCGACCAUCACCCACAUUUAGAAAUUCCGUCCCUAAUUCGCAACUAACGUAUAAUUUGCAGAGAAGAGGAGUGGGCGAACCAUACCGAGGGUGUUCUUACCGGAGUUAGGGCGAUUGUGAUAGGCGAGCGGCGGGGCAAGGCGGAACCGGGGCGGAGUACCUCUCCGGUGAGAGAUUCACAACGCCACCAUUGUCCACUGCGCAAUUACUUGCCGGUACCAACUCCGCCACGCUCCAACACCCACCAGCGUGCCCGAAAUGACCGAGGCACCCCACCGUUAGACGCCCGCGGCGAUUCUCUCGUCAACACAAAGCUCAGCGGACACUGCAAUGGCGGACGAUUCUAGAAGAGGUGGAGGGUUGCGGCGCGAUUUGGUUUGGGUGGAGGAUGAUGUGAGGGAUGGUUUAAUACGGCCGCGCAUGGUAGCCAGGUAGAGGGGAAACGGUUGAGUUGGAGCAUGCGGCGGCGGAGAAGUCGGCCGCGCAGUGCGGGCUGAUUCGUUUUCGGCCGGAUAACAGGGACACACCCGACAUGCGGGGGCCACACACCAGUGUAACAGACACGCGCGGGAGCGGAUGACCGGUGUGGCCCACAGGUCAGCAGCACGGCGCGCGCGACGACUGGCCAGCGAGGUUGAGGGAGCGCGGUGAUGGGCUGGGCAGGAGCAAAAUGGAAGUGGGCCAAAUUCGGAGUUGGCGGCACACUUAGCUAGUUUUCCUUUUUCUUUUUAUUUUCUGUUUCAUUUCGUUUUUAAAUCUCCAUUUUGAAUUCAAACUUGUUUGUGAGCUUCAUAACUGAGUUAAGUACCUAAAUUAAAAUAUUAGUAGGAACAAAAUGUAUUCUUUCAUAUAUUUAUUUUCCUCUAUUUUGUAUAAUCUCUCCCUUCUCUCUUUUCUUAAUUCUAGGAUUAUUUUAGGAUUUAAAUCCCCAUUUGGAUAUUUAACAUAUUUCUUUUUUGCAUUAUUAUAAUAUUGUCACAAAAAUGCACACACAAAUAAAAUAUUCAGCAUGAUGCAAUGAUUUAGUAGCAUAUCUCUUUAUUAAUUGUUUUUGGACAUGGUGUUCACAUAUGAUGAUGCAUAAAGAUCAAACUCACAUAAAGAGAAAUUGUUUCUCUAUUGGUAUUAUCUCUAACAAUUUACAAAGUGGGUGUUACAAAUCCUACCCCCCUUAAAAAUAAUCUCGUCCUCGAGAUUUAGGAAGAUCUAGGGAAAAGGUGGGGAAAAUCUAUACGAAGCUCUUCUUCUCUUUCCCAAGUUGCUUCAUCUUCACCGUGGUGGCUCCAUUGCACUUUGCACAUCUUUAUAACCUUAUUCCUCGUAACCUGAGUCAAAGUAUCCAAAAUCUUGAUCGGGUACUCCGUAUAAGUCAAAUCUCCUUGAACACGGAGUUCUUCCAUUGGUAAUUGUUCCUCAGGGACACGAAGACACUUCUUAAGUCAAGACACAUGAAACACAUUAUACACAUCAGAUAGAUCAUCAGGUAGCUCGAGUUGAUAGGCCAUCUCUCCAACUCGCCUAAAGAACUCAAAAUGGUCCAAUAUAGUGAGGGGACAACUUUCCUUUGACUUUAAACCUUCUCAUACCCCGGAGUGGUGACAUCUUGAGGUGCACAUAAUCUCCUUCCUCAAAUUCCAGUGGUCUUCUUCUGUUAUCAGCGUAGCUCUUUUGCCUGGUCUGAGCUACCCUCAAAUUCUCUCGAAUUAUACGAACUUGUUCUUCUGCCUCUUGAAAAAGUUCAGGUCUAAAGAUUUGUUUUCCUCUAGUCUGAUCCAAUAUAGAGGAGUCCUGCAUUUCCUGCCAUAUAGAGCCUCGAACGGUGACAUCUUCAGACUGGCCUGUUAUCUAUUAUAUGAGAACUCAGCAUAAGGUAGACUCUUGUCCCAACUACUACCAUGCUGAAGGGCACAAGCUCUCAACAUGUCUUUCAAUACUUGAUUAGUCCUUUUAGUUUGUCCAUCAGUAUGAGGUAGGCCAAACUAAAAUUCAACUUCGCAUCCAUAUUCUCAUGAAAACUUAUCCAAAAUCUGGGGGUAAACUGUGAUUCUUUAUCCAAAACAAUCUUCUUCGGUACAUCGUGUAGAGACAUAAUCCGAGCCAUAUAUAACUCUGCCAAUUGAGAUACCUUAUAAGUAGUCUUGACCGGAAUGAAAUAAGCCACUUUGGUCAGUCUAUCCACAAUAACCCAUAUAGCAUCAUAUCCUUUCGAGGUGCGAGGCAAUCCAGUAAUGAAAUUCAUACCAAUCUCUUCCCACUUCCACUCGGGUAUCUUCAGUGGAUGUAACAAUCCAGCUGGCCUCUGGUGUUCAGCCUUAACUCUCUGACAUACAUCGCACAUAGCCACAUGUGCAGCCACAUCUCUUUUCAAUCCAUACCACCAAUACUUCCGCUUCAAAUCCUGAUACAUCUUAGUACUACCAGGAUGAAUAGAAUAAUUCGAGUCAUGGGCUUCCUUUAGUAUAGUCUCUCGAAGGCUUUCAAUAUCACGAACACAUACCUUGUCCUUGAUCCAUAUGGUGCCUUGCUCAUCCUCUAUAAACUCUGGACAUCUACCUUCCGUAAUAAGAUCCUUGAUCUCUUGUAACCUAGCAUCGCCAGCCUGUCCUUUGCGGAUUUCUUGCUCCAAGGUAGGUUCCACAUCAAUAAUAACUCCUUUAGUGUGAGCAACUAUCCCUAGGUUAAUUCUCUUGAAAUCCUCAACAAUCUCAUUAGGUAGCUCAGCCACAAUAGCUGAAUGAAUGUGUUCCUUUCGACUCAAGGCAUUUGCAACUAAUUUGCCUUGCCCGGAUGAUAGUGAAUCUCCAAAUCAUAAUCCUUAAUAAGCUCCAACCAACGACGUUGCCUAAGGUUGAGAUCCUUCUAAAUGAAUAUAUACUUCAAACUCUUAUAAUCCGUGUAUACUUGACACUUGGUUCCCAUGACAUAAUGUCUCCAAAUCUUAAGCGCAUGCACAACGGCUACCAGUUUUAAGUCUUGAGUGGGGUAGUUCAAUUCGUGUUUCCGCAAUUGACGAGACGCGUAGGCGAUCACAUGUCCUUCUUGCAUGAGCACACAUCCUAAGUCUUGGCCACAUGCAUCACAAUAGAUAUCAAAUCAUUUCUGUAGGUCUGGCAUAACCAGUACUGGAGGCGACAUCAAUCUUUUCUUCAAUUGGUCAAAGCUGUCUUGGCACUUCUCGUCCCACUUGAAUUCUCUUCCUUUCUCCAAAAGCGAUGUCAUAGGCUUAGCAAUCUUAGAGAACCCUUCAAUAAAUCUCCGAUAAUAUCCUGCGAGUCCCAAGAAACUCCGAAUCUCAGUAACUGUAGUGGGCACUCUCCACUCCAUUAUCUCCUUCACUUUAGCAGGAUCCACUGCUAUUCCUCAAUUAGAAAUAAUAUGACCAAGGAAUGGCACCUUGUCAAUCCAAAACUCGCACUUGCUGAACUUAGCGUAGAGUUGAUUAUCUCGUAACUUUUGUAGCACCAACCUUAGAUGUUGUUCAUGAUCACUUUCAUUCUUAGAAUAGAUAAGAAUAUCGUGAUGAAUACCACGACGAAUCUGUCCAAAUACUCCAUAAACACCUUAUUCAUCAAAUUCAUGAAGUAAGCUAGUGCAUUGGUUAAUCCAAAUGACAUAAAAGUGAACUCAUAUAAACCAUAUCGGGUCGAGAAAGCCGUCUUAGAAAUAUCUGAUGGUCUAAUCUUCAUUUGAUGGUAUCCCGAUCGGAGAUCAAUCUUCGAGAAUACCCUAGCACCUCUCAUUUGAUCAAAUAAAUUCUCAAUGCGGUGCAACGGAUACUUGUUCUUCAUGAUAACAUCAUUAAGAGAUCUAUAAUCCACACACAUCCGCUGUGAUCCGUCCUUCUUUUGUACAAACAGAACCGGCGCUCCCCCAAGGUGAGGAAUUCGAACGAAUGUACGCAGACUCUUGUAACUCCUCUGGAAAGACAUCCAAAAAAAAUCCCUAACUUCACGGAUGUUGCCACCCACAAACUUCUCAUCUACUAAGAAUGCUGCUAAUCUAGUGGCGGUAGUUACUGCAACUUCAACUUCAAACCUUUCUUCUUUGGGACUGGUGAGUUCUACGGUUCACUUAGCAUAGUGUAUAUACUGCCUUUGCCUUUCUUAACCAUGACAUACCAAGGAUCAUGUCUAUAGUGCUCUCUUCUAACACUAUAGGGGUAGCCCAUCUGGGUUAGAAACACAGGGUACGAAAGAAUGGAUUGUAGACAAGGCGAGUAAUUACGAGACAUGUUACUGCGGGGGAUUUAUUAGCUAAGUAGAUUAGUGUGUUAUCCACUAAAGCUAAUACAUUACCUUAUGGUGGUACAUGCAAAGAUGCCCAACUAUAAUGUUGCAAUCAACCAAAGAAGCAAAUCAAACAUUUAUCAUCAGAACAAUCAACCAACUUUUUUUAAUAGGGAAAAUAGUUUUAAUUUUGUCUUGGGUUUCCUAUCUCAAAAAAAAUUCAUAAAGGUAGGAUUCCAAGGUGUGAAAUCCAUCUUGUCUUGAAGUAGAAAAGGUAAGAAUCAUCAGAGUAGAACAGUAGAAGGUGAGACAGGAUCAAGAUAAGUAUAGAGAGAAUCAGAGUAAGGUAAGUAUAGAAUGAAUCAGAAGAAGGUAAGUAGGGAAGAGUUUUGUCCAUUUCUAUCUAGGUUUCGUCCUACAGUCAACAUUUCCUCUGAUACCACUUCUGUAACACCCGGUUUUAAGGAACAAAGCCGGGUGUAUCUCAUACAUGCGCCAAGAAGACAACAUAUAUAAUAACAGAGUGUAUAGAGAUAAAUGUCACAAUAACAUCAGAGUAAUUAUUACAUAGCGGAAGACUUAUUACAAAAUAAGGAAUAACCAUAAAACGAACUAAGGAUCGUCGGCGCCAAUGUCAACUGAGAAACACCACCUAGAUCAGAUCAAACUCCUCGCCUUGAGGCUCCUCCUGAACCACCUGUUCUUCUCCUGUGGGGGGUGUGAGACAGCAAGAGUGAGCUCACAUACGUUCAUCGCUCAACAAGUUGUGGGGAAUAAUGUGGCAUGAACUCACCAAAGGUGGGAGUUCAUGAAGUGUAAGGCUGAUCAAUGAAAUAAAGGCUGAGGCUGAGCAUUGCUUUUAUAAGUUGGUCAAAAUUUUAUUAGCAAUUACUAAGUGUAAGUAAAUACCAAUCCUUAAUAAUAAUAAAGGAAAGUAAUAGUAAAAUAAUCCCAAAUGCGAUGCAAAUGUCAAAUUAAAUUUAAGUUCCAUAAAUUAAUCAUGUGAGGGUCCGAGCCGCUCAUGACCGUGAGCACUGCUAGUAUACCAGUUUUACACUCUACAGAGGUUGCGCAUCUUUACCCACAAGUCAUGUUACCCAUCUGCCAAGAGAUGGCCAAUCCCAUACACCUCUACCGAGGAGGCGAGGCAGGGUAACACUACGAGGCCUUUACAAAGUUCCACUAGCUUCAGAAAUCCCGCUACAGUUUAUAGGAAGCUCCAGUGCAGGGUUCUUGCCUGACCGCCAUCGCAGCAAAAUCAACCAAGGACCUCCCUACACUGACCACUCCCCUACUGCCCUUGCCCCUUUCGGGUAAGGAAGACCUCCACUAGCUUUCCUAGUUAAUCAGCCAAGGGCGUCCCAUUAUACACUUGUGGUAGCACUGUUUUCCCGGGUGGUCGCUCCAUAUUCCCAUUAACAUAAUGAUCUUAACAUGAACAGUAAUAAUAAAAUAGAAUAAAAGAGUAAUUAUGAAUAAAGUAUCUUCAUACCCAAAUCCACAUAAAGCAAUAGCAGGUACUACCCAAAGAAAUAUUUCAGUGGUAAACAAGGUAUAAAGAUAGCCAAAACUAGGGUAACCUAUUGGGUCCCAUCAAAAUUAUCCUAUGCAGAUCAUUAUAAUUAAUAAGAACAUGGCUGGGAAAAAGUAAGUGAUCAAGGGCACAACUUGCCUUCAAUGAGCUCCUGCUCAGCUAUCUCUACUUGUUGAACCUCAGUUUCCACAGUGGCUUGCUCGUCUAUUCGCAUCAACACAAUACAUACAUAGUAUAGCCAAAAUCAACAUCACACCAAACAGAUGAAUAAAAUAUACAGUAAAAAUCUACACAUUAAAAUGAAAUCAUACGAACUGGAAUCACUAAAUUUGGAGUUAUAGAUUUCAAGUUAUGGAUUUCCUAAGAUUUAAUGUGUUUGAAAUAGGGUUAAAUGAUAAAUAUUUUUUUCUAACAAGUUCAUGUCAAAACAGAGACACUAAAUGGUAGAGAAUAUUAUUACAAAAUUUUAGAAAUUGGAAUGGCUCAAUUUGGACUAAAAAUGGAUUUUCUAUGAUUUAUACAAGUUCUAGGGUUUAUUUUCAUAUUAAAAAUCCAAUUUCUAAUUCAUUUAAUUGUUUUAAAACAGUUCUGGAUCGGGCCUCAAUUACUGGUAAGUUCAGGGGCUAUGGCGUAAAUUUUCCGAGACUCAGUGAAUAAAGUUCUGUGGAUGGCGGGUUAAUUUGUUAAAAGGUGAGGGGUUCUUUAAUAAAUCUGACCCGCGAAGGGGUAUUGGUGAAUCUGAGCCGUUCGUUCAAAUCUGGGCGCACAGGAUUAGAUCCCAUACGCACCGAACCGGUAUGCAGUGAGGACCGCGCGAUCGACUAUCUACGGCCUAGAUUUAAUACGGCGAAGGGUUAUGGGAUAACCCAAUCGCGACCGUCGAUCCAAACGCUUGCGGCCCAGAUCCAAUGCCCAACACGGCCACACUAAGGCUCACUCGGAGCCGUUCAUCAAUAGAUGGAUGCUCACCCUUCCCCCCCCCCCAAACACCAGUAGCUGAGCGCGGCGGCGCCCAAGCUACACGGCGGCGCAUCACCGGCGCAGAAGCGGCCCAGCGGUCCGAGUGCUAGAUCCACCCCGCGCAUGGUGAUUCAGAGUGAGAUCACAAGGGUGACACAACUCGGUUCUCUGCUAAGGUGAUUGAUGGAGCAGAAUGCUCCACCCACAAUGGCGGACGACGCCGAACCCGAGCCAUGGCCGACCAUCACCCACAUUUAGAAAUUCCGCCCCCAAUUCGCAACUAACGUAUAAUUUGCAGAGAAGAGGAGUGGGCGAACCAUACCGAGGUUGUUCUUACCGGAGUUAGGGCGAUUGUGAUAGGCGAGCGGCGGGGCAAGGCGGAACCGGGGCGGAGUACCUCUCCGGUGAGAGAUUCACAACGCCACCAUUGUCCACUGCGCAAUUACUUGCCGGUACCAACUCCGCCACGCUCCAACACCCACGAGCAUGCCCGAAAUCGACCGAGGCACCCCACCGUUAGACGCCCGCGGCGAUUCUCUCGUCAACACAAAGCUCAGCGGACACUGCAAUGGCGAACGGUUCUAGAAGAGGUGGAGGGUUGCGGCGCGACUUGGUUUGGGUGGAGGAUGAUGUGAGGGAUGGUUUAAUACGGCCGCGCAUGGUAGCCAGGUAGAGGGGAAACAGUUGAGUUGGAGCAUGCGGCGGCGGAGAAGUUGUCACACCCGGAUUUUAGGGAUCCAAAACCCGGGCGCGAACAUAAUCACCAGGUGUGCUGGGACCAAGUCUCACACAUAUGAUGAUUCAUGGCACAGGAUCGAAUGUCACAUCUUUACUAUAUAACAGGAGUUCUAUACAAAAUGAAUAAAUAAUUACAUCAAAAGGAGACAACGGUCCAGCAACCCAAAGUUGACUGGGAGACGACGACCUAGACCUCUCACGAACACAUCGCAGCAUCCUCCAUGCGCCUCAUCCUGUGGUACCUGUUCUUGACCUGUGGGGGUGUGAGACAGCAAGAGUGAGCUCACAUACGUUCAUCGCUCAACAAGUUGUGGGGAAUAAGGUAUAUGAACUCGCCAAAGGUGGGAGCUCAUGUGAAGUGUAAGGCUUACCAAAGAGAAUGGUUAGAGCUGAGCAUUGCUUUUAAAGUUGGUCAAAAUUUUAUUAGCAAUUACUAAGUAUAAGUAAAUACCAACCCAAUUAAGUAGUAGAGCAAAAGUAACAACAUCACCUGCGAUGCAAUGCAUAUGACAAAUUGAAUUUAGUUCCAUAAAUUAAUCAUGUGAGGGUCCGAGCUGCUCAUGACCGUGAGCACGGCUAGUAUACCAGUUUUACACUCUGCAGAGGUUGCGCAUCUUUACCCACAAGUCAUGUUACCCAUCUGCCAAGGGAUCGCGACUUCCCAUACACCUCUACCGAGGAGGCGAGGCAGGGUAACACUACGAGGCCUUUACAAAGUUCCACUAGCUUCAGAAAACCCGCUACAGUUUAUAGGAAGCUCCAAUGCAGGAAUCCCUUGCAGGACCGCCAUCGCAGCAAAAUCCUCCCGAGGGCCUCCCUACACUGACCACUCCCCUACUGCCCUUGCCCCUUUCGGGUAAGGUAGUCUUCCACUAGCUUUCCUAAUUAAUCAGCCAAGGGGUCCCAUUCCUCCCUUGUGGUAGCACUGUUUUCCCGGGUGGUCGCUCCAUGUUCCAAUUAACAUAAUGAUCUUAUCAUGAACAGUGAUAAUAAACAGAUAAUAAAAUGUGAUCAUGAAUAAUGUAUCUUUAUACCCAAAACCACAUAAAGCACUAGCAAGUACUACCCAAAAAGUUCAGUGGUAAACAAGGUAUAAAGAUAAUCAAACUAGGGUAACCUAUUGGGUCCCAUCAAAAUUAACCUAUGCAGAUCAUUAUGAUUAAUUAGAACAUGAGUGGGUAAAAAGAAGUGAUCAAGGGCACAACUUGCCUGGGCCUUGAGAAUCCAGGUACCAGGAUGAUCCUUAGGUGACUCGUGACCUCACGCUAGUCGUAGCAAUACGAACAAGCAGUGUAUAGGCAAAAUUAACAUCACACCAAACAUGUAAACAAAAUACAUAAUAAUAAUCUACACAUUAAAAUAAAAUUCUAGGAACAGAAAUCAUCAAUUUUGGAGUUACAGAUUCUAAGUUAUGAAUUUCUGAAGUUAAUAAGCAUCUAGAAUAAAUUAAUCCAAAUGAAUAAUUUUAAUUUAAGUUUUAUGGUUAAACAAUGUUACUAAUUGAUAGACAAUGUUAAUGCAAAAUUAUUGCAACAGGAAUUACUCAAUUUGGAGUUAAAAUGAAUUAACUAUGAAUUUCACAAGUUUUUGGCAUUUAUUCUCACAUUAAAAAUCAUUUUCUGAUAUUAUUUAUUCAAUUCCUAUGACCUCUGGACUGCGCGCAUAUUAAACAGAAACGAAGGGGGCUCGGUGCAAGAAGUCCUAAGACUCAGUGCACAACAGAACGGGACGGCGGGUUGAUUACGAAAAAGGGCAGGGGCUCUUUAGAAAAACGACCAGGGCCGAAGGGGUAUCUUUAAUUUCCAGCCGUCUGAUCAGAAUCCCACGAUCCAGAUUAGAUCCGGGCCUAAGUGAACCGGUAUGACAUCCGGCCCUUUGGAUCCGGAAUCGAUGGUAGCGAUUCAAAAUAGCGAAACUCGAUACGGAUCGUGGAUUCGAAGAUCAACGACACAGAUUAAAUGACGCGAAGCGGUAUGGGAGUCCUGAUCCGGGUCGUCCAUCUUCGCAUCAACGGCCGACAGCACUCUUCCACACGCCCGUCCCCCAAACGUUGGUCAGCGGCGGCGCUGGCAAACCGCGCGGCGGCGCUCGCCGACGAGCAGCGCAUCCAGGGUUACAGAGCCCAAAUCCUAGAAUAGAUUGGCGCAAAACGUAGAGGGGCAGCUAGCGGAGUUAUCCGGUGGACACAUACCGGCGAUUGAAGAAGUCGCGAGCCUGCCCACGGAGGAGAGCGGAUCCGCGACGGAGAUCGAACCACGGCGAGCAAUUCGAGUCGCCCCAAGGCCACGCAGUUCAAAUUGAAGGCGCGGACAGCUUCACGGGUCCCCGGAGAACGCCCCCACCCGCACGCGCGGACCCGUGCGCGAGCACAGAGGAGAAUCACCGGCGACGGCUGUUGGCGAGAUGGUCUGCGCGGCGCGUUGCCGUGCAUGAUGGGGUCUCAUGUCCAGUUCUUAUGGCCGACCGCGAGCGUGGGUAGGCACAUGCCCCGCGAUUUCUUCGGGCAGCGGCGCCGGUCAAUCCGCGCGGACCGCGGACUCCGUUGGCGGCGCGCCCACCAAGCUCGGAGCGGUCUGUUACGAGAGGUGGAAGACAUCUGCCAUGCGGGUCCCGCUAGUAAGAGACAGUGCGCGCGCAAGGUGACUGCCGGUGGACCCCACGCGUCAGCGGAAGGGAAGAUGGCUGGUGAGCGCGUGCGUGACUGUCAUGUAGGGCCCGCCUGUCGGCGCCAUCACCAGGAGCUGGGCCGCGCGGGAGGUUAAGGGUUAAUGGGCCAGAACUGAGGCUGUCGGCCCAUGAAGGUCUUCUAUUCUUUUUUUUUCUUUUUAUCUUUUCUCCCUAUAUUUCAAACUCUAGUAGUUGAAUUUCAAAUUUGUUUGUGAUUUCAAACCCAGGUUAAAUUCCCAAAUAAUGUUCCAGAGGAAGAAUUAUAAGCACUCAUAUAUAUUUUUCUUUGCAUAUUAUUUUCCUUGUUAUUUACUCAUGGAAGGAAUUCCUUUCUAUUUUCUCUUCUAUGUUUUCAUUUGAAAUUUUGAGGUCAAGUUUAAACUAUGAUUCUUUAUUCCAAUAAAAUGUAUCACAACAAUUUCUUCAGUGUGAUAUGUAUUUUUCUUUAUUUAUUUAUUGGUUAUUUAACUAUUAUUAUCUGAUUUAUGAAAAGAAAAGGAAACUAAUAAAUCUUCAAAGGUUUCAAAAGUAAAAUUCCCAAAACACUAACCUGAAUGUAUUUAUUUAUUUAUAUCAUUAUUUAUUUUUUUUCUAAUGUAAAAUUUUGGGCAUUACAAAUCCUACCCCCUUAAAAAUAAUCUCGUCCCCGAGAUUACUAAGAAGAGGAACAUAGUUAGUUGGGUUUGCUUCAAAUUGGUUACAGUACCAAUUUCCUUUUUUUCAAGUUCUUUAAUGGGUAUCUCUUAUGUCUAGCCCUCUACUUGGCAAGAUGAGAGAUGGUUAUGAUAAGAAAGACUAGGUGUAAGAAAGACUCCAUCCUUCUUGUCGAUGUGGAUCUCCUUCUUCUUGAGUCUGAUUUAGGAACCAUCGGUCUUGGUGUUAGAUACUAUCAUCCGAGUUGGGAUAACAAUUGUGGGUACAUGGGGUAGGUAGGUUAAACAGAGUUUUGCUUUGCUUUUGAGAUAAAUGGGUUGGGAAACCUAUAACAUAGGUUAGGUCGUGAUUUCACGGACGAGUUGGUCUAAGACACCAAUUUAGGUUUAAAACCCAUUUAUAGGAAUAUGGUCUAAUCUAUGUUACUAGUAUUAACGAAAUUGUUUAAGUAACUCCUUUUAGAUUAAAUCAUAUUAUAUUAGGUAGGAUCUAGAUUAGAUUGGAUAUAACUAGAUUAGACUAGUUAAGAUCUAAUUAAUUUAUUUUGGACUAGAUCAUGGUUGUUACUCUAGAGUGGGAUAUAUAUGCUUAUUAGGGCAAGAUGAAUCCAUAAGGAUAAGGUAGUAUCUUUUGAGAUCAGUUAGAUCUAUUAAAAUGAGAUAAAAUCUUUUUAAGAUAAGAUGAAUCUAUUAAGAUAAGAUGGAUCUAUGAGGCUUGAUAUAUUCUAGUGGUGGUAUUCUUAAUUUGUGCCAUCAUCUUAUAAUUUUUAUUUAUUUAUAUUUAUGUCUAUAUGUAUAUGCAGAUGUAAUUGUGGACAUUACUCCACAAUUCAUCACACUCAAUCAAAGAUCCAAAUCAAACAAGUAUCAUAAGAACAAACACUCAAGCAUACCAAUAUCUACAAAAAUAGUUUUGCUUUUGUCCCUAAGAUUAGGUCUCCUAUUCCUAAAGGUCACUUUAGGCACGGGAUUUCAAAGUGUGAAAUCCACAUUUGUCGUUAGAAUGAAAAGGUAAGAAUAUUCAGCGUAAAGCGGAAAUAGAUGAGAAUAGAUUAAGAAAAGUUUAGAAAAGAAUCAGAGUAGCAAAGGUAAGUAGAUAAUGGUUGUCCAGUUCUAUCUAGGUUUCAUCCUACAGUCAACAUUGCUCUGAUACCACUUCUGUCACACCCGGAUUUUAGGGAUCCAAAACCCGGGCGCGAACAUAAUCACCAGGUGUGCUGGGACCAAGUCUCACACAUAUGAUGAUUCAUGGCACAGGAUCGAAUGUCACAUCUUUACUAUAUAACAGGAGUUCUAUACAAAAUGAAUAAAUAAUUACAUCAAAAGGAGACAACGGUCCAGCAACCCAAAGUUGACUGGGAGACGACGACCUAGACCUCUCACGAACACAUCGCAGCAUCCUCCAUGCGCCUCAUCCUGUGGUACCUGUUCUUGACCUGUGGGGGUGUGAGACAGCAAGAGUGAGCUCACAUACGUUCAUCGCUCAACAAGUUGUGGGGAAUAAGGUAUAUGAACUCGCCAAAGGUGGGAGCUCAUGUGAAGUGUAAGGCUUACCAAAGAGAAUGGUUAGAGCUGAGCAUUGCUUUUAAAGUUGGUCAAAAUUUUAUUAGCAAUUACUAAGUAUAAGUAAAUACCAACCCAAUUAAGUAGUAGAGCAAAAGUAACAACAUCACCUGCGAUGCAAUGCAUAUGACAAAUUGAAUUUAGUUCCAUAAAUUAAUCAUGUGAGGGUCCGAGCUGCUCAUGACCGUGAGCACGGCUAGUAUACCAGUUUUACACUCUGCAGAGGUUGCGCAUCUUUACCCACAAGUCAUGUUACCCAUCUGCCAAGGGAUCGCGACUUCCCAUACACCUCUACCGAGGAGGCGAGGCAGGGUAACACUACGAGGCCUUUACAAAGUUCCACUAGCUUCAGAAAACCCGCUACAGUUUAUAGGAAGCUCCAAUGCAGGAAUCCCUUGCAGGACCGCCAUCGCAGCAAAAUCCUCCCGAGGGCCUCCCUACACUGACCACUCCCCUACUGCCCUUGCCCCUUUCGGGUAAGGUAGUCUUCCACUAGCUUUCCUAAUUAAUCAGCCAAGGGGUCCCAUUCCUCCCUUGUGGUAGCACUGUUUUCCCGGGUGGUCGCUCCAUGUUCCAAUUAACAUAAUGAUCUUAUCAUGAACAGUGAUAAUAAACAGAUAAUAAAAGUGUGAUCAUGAAUAAUGUAUCUUUAUACCCAAAACCACAUAAAGCACUAGCAAGUACUACCCAAAAAGUUCAGUGGUAAACAAGGUAUAAAGAUAAUCAAACUAGGGUAACCUAUUGGGUCCCAUCAAAAUUAACCUAUGCAGAUCAUUAUGAUUAAUUAGAACAUGAGUGGGUAAAAAGAAGUGAUCAAGGGCACAACUUGCCUGGGCCUUGAGAAUCCAGGUACCAGGAUGAUCCUUAGGUGACUCGUGACCUCACGCUAGUCGUAGCAAUACGAACAAGCAGUGUAUAGGCAAAAUUAACAUCACACCAAACAUGUAAACAAAAUACAUAAUAAUAAUCUACACAUUAAAAUAAAAUUCUAGGAACAGAAAUCAUCAAUUUUGGAGUUACAGAUUCUAAGUUAUGAAUUUCUGAAGUUAAUAAGCAUCUAGAAUAAAUUAAUCCAAAUGAAUAAUUUUAAUUUAAGUUUUAUGGUUAAACAAUGUUACUAAUUGAUAGACAAUGUUAAUGCAAAAUUAUUGCAACAGGAAUUACUCAAUUUGGAGUUAAAAUGAAUUAACUAUGAAUUUCACAAGUUUUUGGCAUUUAUUCUCACAUUAAAAAUCAUUUUCUGAUAUUAUUUAUUCAAUUCCUAUGACCUCUGGACUGCGCGCAUAUUAAACAGAAACGAAGGGGGCUCGGUGCAAGAAGUCCUAAGACUCAGUGCACAACAGAACGGGACGGCGGGUUGAUUACGAAAAAGGGCAGGGGCUCUUUAGAAAAACGACCAGGGCCGAAGGGGUAUCUUUAAUUUCCAGCCGUCUGAUCAGAAUCCCACGAUCCAGAUUAGAUCCGGGCCUAAGUGAACCGGUAUGACAUCCGGCCCUUUGGAUCCGGAAUCGAUGGUAGCGAUUCAAAAUAGCGAAACUCGAUACGGAUCGUGGAUUCGAAGAUCAACGACACAGAUUAAAUGACGCGAAGCGGUAUGGGAGUCCUGAUCCGGGUCGUCCAUCUUCGCAUCAACGGCCGACAGCACUCUUCCACACGCCCGUCCCCCAAACGUUGGUCAGCGGCGGCGCUGGCAAACCGCGCGGCGGCGCUCGCCGACGAGCAGCGCAUCCAGGGUUACAGAGCCCAAAUCCUAGAAUAGAUUGGCGCAAAACGUAGAGGGGCAGCUAGCGGAGUUAUCCGGUGGACACAUACCGGCGAUUGAAGAAGUCGCGAGCCUGCCCACGGAGGAGAGCGGAUCCGCGACGGAGAUCGAACCACGGCGAGCAAUUCGAGUCGCCCCAAGGCCACGCAGUUCAAAUUGAAGGCGCGGACAGCUUCACGGGUCCCCGGAGAACGCCCCCACCCGCACGCGCUGUCGGUGUUUUGGGUCCGACCGCACACCCGGGGUUGCCCCUCAAGGUGUUUUUAGGAGUAGGACGGUGUCAACGACUGUAGCAAAAUGGUUCGUGCCGAUCGCACGAGGGACAAUGGACAAGAUUUACAGGUUCGGGCCGCUUAGAAGUGCGUAACACCCUACGUCCUGGUGAGUAUGUGAGCGUGGUUACAAGAGGAUUCUCUGGAUAGAGGGCGCAGAGAGUCUUUGUGGGUGGCUAAGUAGAACAGGGGCGAUCGAUCUGAAGGGGUGCCCCCUAGGCCUUAUAUACUCGACCGUGGGGCAGUACAUGUGAUAUGAUAACAACAAGUAGCUAAAAGAUGGUGAACCUCUUGAGUUUAUCCCUACGUAACCUCCGCCGACUUAUCCUCGCAUGGCUCCGUUGCAUGGGGGCUUCAGCGCGGGAAAGUCGGGUCUCUGUUUAUGAUUCAUUCGUUCGACGUUGUGGGCCGCCUGUGUUUGCACUAAUCAGUCCCACGUCUUCUUUAUUGGUUGUCUUUCCCUAGGCCCACGAAAGAAUGACCUUACGAAUUAUUGGGCCCUUGGGCUUUUCGUGAGGCCUUUUACUUCUUUAGUGGACCCAGGGGAUAUCUAUCCCCCACAAGCCCCCGAUCUUUGAGUUAAUUUAGAAGUAAUCAACUCAAAGAUCCAAGGUCCCGAAAAUGACUUCCUGCUGCCUCCUCUGGCUCUGAUCACUCGUUCGACCAAAGUUUGAUUUUGUGCUUGUGCCUUAGAGGUCGGCAUUUUGGAUUGCAAGACUCUGGACUUCAUUGGGUGCACCGGAGGUGCACCCAAUGGGUGUAGCCCCCGACCUUUGAGUAGAUUUUAGAAGAUAAUCUACUCGAAGGUCUCCUUCCAAAGGUUAUCUCCAUUCGCGCUCCUGCAUCUCGGUUGAAGACUGGUCUUUUCAAUGUUGCUCUUAUGCCUUAGAAGUCGCGCCAUGUUGGUUUAGAAUAAUACUCCAUGGGGUGCACCGGAGGUGCACCCAAUGGGUGUAGCCCCCGACCUUCAAGUGGAUUUUUGAGGAUAAUCCACUCGAAGGUCUUCCUUCUGUGUCCUUUUUUUUGCUGAAAAUUAUCCUUUCUGCUUGUAAAAAAUUGGCAUGAUGUCAUCCGCGCUAUGUCAUCAGUAUUAUGCUUCAGAGGUCAGCAUGUAUUUUGUCUUUUGUAGCCGAGUUUGCAAUCCAUCCAUAUCUCGCUAGGUAGUGUAAUUUAUUUGCUCUGUGACUGAUUGGACAGUUGAUGGACGUUCUCUGUCUAGCCUUCAAGUCGCUUCUGCCGGCCAUAUCUUGUACUUUGCUGACUAUAUUUGGCUUUCCUCUGAUCUUUACUGAUAUCUCAUUUUUGUCUUGAGGUAUUCACUGCAUGCCCUGCACGGAUGUGACCGUUUUUUUUAAAAUAUACUGAUAAUUCCUGGGCGUCCCCCCCCAAUGGGUGUGGGCAAGGGACGGCUUGGUACGCUGAGUGUUUUAGCCGAUUUCCUCUGAGUAGUAAUGCGAUGGGACGGCUAGUGUAAUCAUAUCUUUUGCACUGUUGACUGGAGUCCCAAUGGGUGUAGUGUUGCAUGAAACGGCGUCCGUCGUCUGACGUGUCUUCAGGUGGGUGGAAGUGUUUUAUUGAAUGCCUUGCGACUGUUCAGUGACCGCGGUUAGAAGUGAACGGUUGCCUUUCCCUUCUAUAAAUAACCCCUUUGCUUCUCUGGUUUCUUCACAUCUCUUCGCUGCUCCUUACUUCCUCUUCCCUUUCUUCUCUCCCAAAACUUUAACCAUGGGCAAGAACAACAAGCGUAAGCGUGAGCCGACUCCUCCAUCGGAGGAGUUUGGUGACUCAGAAUACUCGGAGGAGGAGUUCUCCUCCGAGGCUGAGGGGUCCCCGGCUCCCGCCUCUCCCCCGGCGUCGUCCGAUGACUCAGACGACUCCCAGGGGAUAGCCGCGGAGGUCUGGACAUAUAUCCGGGCCGUCGAGCGCGCCGGGCUCGAAGGCUCGGAUGAGUCGGAGUGCUCCUCGGAUGAGGAGGACUCGGACGGCGGCGACGAGGGUGAAGACGACGACGACGACGACGACGACGACGACGACGGCUGGGGUGGCGGCGACGGCAGCAGGGACAGCACCAAGGGCAGCAGCAGGGGCAGCACCAAGGGCGGCGGCGGCGGCAGCAGGGACAGCACCAAGGGCAGCAGCAGGGGCAGCACCAAAGGCGGCGGCGGCGGUGGGGGCAGGGGCAGGGCCAGUGGCUAGACGCCACUGGUCUUCUUAGAUAUUAGUAUAGUUUAGUAUAGCUAGAAUAAUGUAGUAGUAAUUAGUGUAGUUUAGUAGUAGUGGUAAUGUAAAGUAGAAUUAGGGAUGUACCAACUCAUAAAGAGUUGGUUUGUAAGUUCAUCAACUUCCCUUUAAUGAAGUAUAUCGUUUUAUCCCCUCUUUUUGAUGACUUGCCACUGCUUUUGCUGAAUGCUGAACUGGUUCUUUUUGAUAUAGUAGAAACAGCGCCGAGUGAUGUGAAGAUUGACAUCAGCGUUUUAGAAGUAGCACUGAGCAAUCGAACACAAGACCAGCGUUUUAGAGGCAAUGCCGAAUGAUAGAAGGUCGGCAUCGGCAUUUUAGAAGUAAUGCCAAGCGACAAAAUACGGGGCCAGCAUUUUAGAGGCAGCGCCGAGUGAUAGAAUAUCGGCAUCAGCAUUUUAGAAGUAAUGCUGAGCGUUUGAACACGUGGUCGGCGUUUUAGAGGCAGCGUCGAGUGAUUGAAGGUCGGCGUCGGUAUUUUAGAAGUAAUGCCGAGCGAUUGAUCACGUGGUCGGCGUUUUAGAGGCAGCCCGAGUGAUAGAAUAUCGGCAUCAGCAUUUUAGAAGUAAUGCUGAGCGUUUGAACACGUGGUCGGCGUUUUAGAGGCAACGCCGAGUGAUAGCCAGCUUCUUCAAGUUUCUUUGAGGAAAAUGGCCGAGUGAUGAGGUGGCACAUCGGCUUUCUUGGAAAUAACUGUUAGAUAUCCACGUGGCAUGCUGGGAUUUCGGAGAUGACCGCCGGGUGAUGACUGGGCACUUUUGAAAAGGUAUCUGGCUCAAGAAUAUCCCUUAAGUGUCGCGCUUUCAGCCGCCUUUGCUUUCCGUGCCCUAGUUCUUGCAUUUCUGCAUCUGAGUCUUCUCUGCCACUCGCCUCCUGCUCUGUUUCGCCGCGGGAAGCAAGAUGGCGCCCAAGAGGAAGACCGCGAACUCGUCUGCUGCAGUGAUCCCCGCCAUCGAUCCCAACAGUCAGUUACCCUUCGCAGGUAACCAUAUGUCUGUGAUUUCUGAAGUUGAGCUUCUCCGCCUUGUUUCCAUCGGGGUUCUCCCUCCACGGGAACUCUGUUCUUGGCGCUCUUGCCAUGGGACUACUGUCCCAACCGAAGAUACCCACGAAUCAGUGGUUUACACUCCUUUCCUUCUUCGCGGCCUCGGCCUUCCCAUAUCUCCUUUUUUCCGUGGCAUCCUUGAUUUUUAUCACAUCAACCUGACUCACUUGAACCCUAACUCCAUUCUCCAAAUCUCUAUUUUCGUUCACCUUUGCGAAGCUUAUCUUGGCGUGCUGCCGCAUUUUGGCUUAUGGAAGUAUCUGUAUCACUGCCGUCCUGGGAUGGCCGGGGGGCAACAUCAAUUGGUCGGAGGUGCCAGCUUAGAGAUGCGUCGGGGGCGGAAAACUGAGUAUCUCGAGAUACCCCUUAAAGACAGCAUUAAAGGUUGGCGUCUGGAGUGGUUUAUAAUGGAUAAUUAUGGAAAUUCUCUCCCUUCCCGCUCGGGAAGACAGGCAGACGUUCGUACUCCGAGUUGGACUGAAUCUCCCACGGACCAAGAAGUAGCCGAAGCGGGCGUGUUGCUUACUGAAGUUGGAUUACUGAAAGAGAGAGGUCUGACUGCCGAAACCGUGGUCACAGAUUUUGUUUUCAAGAACAUUCAGCCGCUGAAGGACAGGGCCUAUCCGGCAUAUCUUUACCGAGGGCUGGCCGACUCAACCCGAGUUACCAAUAGGAGAAUUCCUUCUGUUGAUUUGGUGAGCCGACUCGAGAUGAUCCUCAGGGGUAAAGUUUCAAACGUUGGAGCUCCAGUAGCAUACUCGGCUUGGAACCUGUCUUCUCCCAAAGAUUUCACUCUUUUUGUGUCCAAUCCGCCCAUGACAGAUAACAACUUGGGUCUUAGAGUGCGACCUUCUGCUGAGGAGGUCCGUUCCUUAGUUGCUUCGCUCGGGGAGAUACCUGAUGAUGAACGGCAGAUUUAUUUUGAAGUGCCCCUGAACCCUAGUGACGCGACAUAAAUGACAUGCUCGAUCUGCUAGCUGAGGAUUCAUCUGAUACUGUUCCUGAUGGUACAUUGGCGGUGGUGCCGCUUCCAGAGGUUGAUGUGGCCUUGGACGUCUCGAAACCUGUCAGUACUCGCCCGAGGCGCCCCAGCCGAACCAGUCAGCCCGAGCCUUCUGCUGAUGAGCAGAGGAAGAAAAGAAGACGCCUCCGGCGAGUGUCUAGCUUUGAUGAGGAUGCCAGCACCUUAGUUCCUGCUGCUGAAGAAAUGACUGCAACUGGCCUAGCUGACAUUGAUCCCAAUGGGUGUGCUCCGCCUGCUGCUGACCCUAAUGAGGGGGCUGUUUGUGCUGUCGCUGUGGAAGAUGAAGAGGAAGAGAACGAAACUCCAUUAACUCGGAAAAACAGUCGGCAGUUCGUUGCUAGCGGUGGUAGUAGUGGGGUUCCUUCUCCUGCCUUGUCUGCUCUUAUUGGUCUGCAAGAACUGUCCAUGGCCAAUUUUGAUCAAGCUCUAGAGGAUAUGGUCCCUGAGAACUUGCUGUUGGAAACUGCAGACGCUGAUGCAACAGAAACUUGUGCAGCCGUGCCAGAUGCUGGGUUGAGGUCGUCCCGUGCCUCGUCGACCUUAGAGCACGAUCUCGAGGGCCGGGAUGAUGACUGGGAUCGUCCUGAUCCUGUGGAAGUAGCUGAAGGCCCGUCGACCUUAGAGGUGGUCACGGCAGAGAGCUUGGAUCCUUUGAAUAGUGCCGCCAUGUGCCCAGCCCCCGAGGGUGUUGCCGGGGAGGACUCAGCUCGGGUGAAGAGCGUAGGCCACUACCCAGCCCCCGAGGGUGUUGCCGGGGGUGACCCGGCUCAAGUGGGCAGUGCCAACCUUGACCCAGCCCCCGAGAGUGUCCGAGCGAGGUCUCCCUCCUGCACUUCCAUGGAUGUUCACGUGGGUUCACCUCCACACUCUGGCGGCAUGGUGGUGGCUCAAGCUCCAGAUCAGGGGGUCGCUUUAGAGGGCAGCAUCCCCACUGGUCUGGCGUUAGGCUCUGCUGAAUGUACUGAGCUCGUUCCUGCUGGUCUACUUCAAGCUGCUUCAGGUGGUGGUCUGACGUCUGAUUAUCAGCUGAUUUCUCCUGACUUGGGGAUCCCUUCGUUCUUUUCCAAUCUCCAGGUGCUGUGCCGUGCUUUAAUUUGAUCUCUAUGUUGCAUGAAUUGCUGUCAUUAUGCUCAUCUGUUCUUCUCGUUAGGCUUUGGUGAAUGGAUUGGCCAGUCAACUGAAAUCACAGGGUGCUUCUACCCCAGAAGUGGCGUCAUCUCUCGAGCGUUGGAAUCCAGUGUUGCUUCAUCGUCGUGUAUCUGAGUUGGAGGCCGCCAAUGCCGGUCAUUGUCCUUUCUUUUCCUUCUUUGUUUUUGUCCGUAGGUUGUUUUACCUUCUGACCUUAUUUUGUUUGAAUACCUCUUGAUAGGGAUGACUCGGCAGAUCACAGUUCUUGGAGAAAAACACUCUCAAGAUCAAGCUGAAAUGGCUCGACGAUGCGCUGAUUUCGAGGAAAAGUAUUCUCAAAGUCAAAUCGAGUUGAGUCAGGUCUCUGCGGCUUUGGAUGAUGCCAACGCUCUGAGCUCUUCUCUUCAUGUUCAGCUUAACUCUGAGAAGGUAGCUUACGGACCUGUACUUCGCCUUAUCAUGCUCUUGGAUUCUGAAUGAGUUUGAUUUUUGCUUGUAGGAAGAAAAAAGUAUCCUUGCUGCUUCUCGCGACAACUUGGACAGAUUGUACCGAGAUUCCAGUAGCUCGCUGACCAUCUUGGAGAGGAGCCACCGCUUUACGAUGGAGGAGCUUGACAAUCAGCGCCGUCAGCUGCAAGAAUCUUCGGACGAAGUAGCCCGCCUUACACAGUUGCUAUCAGCAAAGGAUGCCACCAUCAAGGAACUCCGAGCUUCCAAGAAAACCAUUGCCCGGGAGUUAGAAACUGCUCAGCAGGCUGUUAAAGUUGCUGAAGAAGCUGCUGUCACUUUCAAAGCUCAGCGCGAUAAGGCCCUGGACAAGGCCAUUCGGGCGGGACGAAUCUUGAUGAGAAGACCUGGCGUGGUUGUCCCCGAGGAUAUAAGAGCCGACGUGGUUGCUGCCCCUGAAUCCUCGAAUCGCCCUUCUUCGUCAGUCGUUCCUGAGAGAGACAUUGGAAAAUAAAGAAACAGUUCGCGUGCUCUGAGCGCGCGGUUAGCAUGAGCAAGCAUUCAUUUAGAGGACAUCAUCUUAUCAUUCGAAUGUUAUGAUAUCUUUCUUAUCGUAUCAGAAUUUAUUAGUUUGCAAAUUUGUGGUAAUGCUACAUGAUAAUUAUGAAGUUUGUUUGUGGGAUAUGGAAGUCAUCCCCUGAACUUCAUAAGCGCGAGUAUGCUAUACCGGUUUAAGCCGCCAAUGACUUUUAGCCGGUAAUUUUCGUUAGUAGGGUUUAGUGAUCGCCCUGGGUAAAGUAAGCGUAAGCACGUUGCACCGCCUUAAGUCAUUGUCGACUUAAGUCGAUUGCUCCAUUUAUAGGGCAUAGUGGUCACCCCGAGUUAAGUAAGCGUGAGCAUGUUGCACCGCCUUAAGUCGUUGCCGACUUAAGUCGAUUGCUCCGUUUGUAGGGCAUAGUGGUCACCCCGAGUUAAGUGAGCGUGAGCAUGUUGCACCGCCUUAAGUCAUUGCCGACUUAAGUCGAUUGCUCCGUUUGUAGGGCAUAGUGGUCACCCCGAGUUAAGUGAGCGUGAGCAUGUUGCACCGUCUUAAGUCGUUGCCGACUUAAGUCGAUUGCUCCGUUUGUAGGGCAUAGUGGUCACCCCGAGUUAAGUGAGCGUGAGCAUGUUGCACCGCCUUAAGUCAUUGCCGACUUAAGUCGAUUGCUCCGUUUGUAGGGCAUAGUGGUCACCCCGAGUUAAGUGAGCGUGAGCAUGUUGCACCGUCUUAAGUCGUUGCCGACUUAAGUCGAUUGCUCCGUUUGUAGGGCAUAGUGGUCACCCCGAGUUAAGUGAGCGUGAGCAUGUUGCACCGUCUUAAGUCGUUGCCGAUAAAUCCCCGGUGGCUGACGAUAAAUCCGAGCAACUUUCCUGCUGGUACUCCGAAAACGCAUUUUUCAGGAUUGAGCUUCCAUCUAUAUCUUCUCAAGCUGUUGAAAACCAGCUGUAAAUCUUCGAUGAAGUUUUCUGGAUUCUCAGUUUUGAUCACUACGUCGUCUACGUAAGCCUCCACACGCUUGCCCCAGUGAUCGGCUAAGCAUGUUUGAAUAGCCCUCCGAUAAGUCGCUCCAGCGUUUUUGAGGCCGAACGGCAUGGAGGUAUAACAGAAAGCACCAAACGGGGUGAUGAACGCCGUUUUUUCCUCGUCUUCUUUUGCCAAACUAAUCUGAUGAUACCCGGAAUAGCAAUCUAAGAAAGACAGCAUCGAACAUCCAGCGGUGGAAUCCACCACCUGAUCUAUCCUCGGGAGCCCGAAGGGAUCCUUCGGACAGUGUUUGUUGAGAUCAGUAUAGUCGACGCACAUGCGCCAAUCCACUUUAUUCUUUUUGAGUACAAGAACAGGGUUGGCUAACCACUCGGGGUGCAAUACUUCUCUAAUAAACCCGGCCGCGACCAAGCGGGCUAAUUCGGCACGAAUGGCUUCUCUCUUGUCGGGCGUGAAACGACGCAGCUUUUGCCGGAUCGGCCUCGCCUGGGGAUAGACCUUCAAUUUGUGCUCGGCCAGUUCUCUUGGGACUCCCGCAUAUCCGCAGGUUGCCAUGCGAAUACGUCUCGGUUAUCUUGCAGGAACUGGACGAGCGCGCUUUCCUAUUUGUCACUCAAACUGGAGCUGAUGAUAGCCGUCUUGCGCUCAUCAGCGAACCCCAGGUUGAUCCGCUUGGUGUCUUCAGUCGGCCGCAUAGAGGUCGUGGCCUGAGCUUCGUUUGCCGGCACGGCGAGGUCUUCAUCAGGCUUAGAGUUCGCCGGUGUAGAAGGAAUCGCUGAUGGCUUGGUGGUGAGGGCUGCUUGGAUGGCCACUCGGAAACAUUCUGCGGCGCCUUGGAAGUCGGCGCGCACAGUUAUGAUUCCUCGUGGUCCCGGCAUCUUCAGUAUCAUGUACGUGUAGUGUGGGAUGGCCAUGAACUUGGCCAGCCCUGGCCUCCCGAUGAUGGCGUUGUACCCGCAGUCGAAAUUCGCCACCUCGAACCUCAGGAACUCGGUUCUGUAAUUAUCCGGAGUCCCGAAGGUGACCGGCAUGUAGAUGUGGCCCAGCGGAUACUCCCCUUCCGUCGGCACGAUGCCGAAGAAAGGAGUGUCUGACUCGUGGAGCUCUUUGAGGUGAACUCCCAAGCCUUGAAGCGUACGGGGGAAGGUGACGUUGAUGCUGCUCCCCCCGUCUACUAACACCUUCUUCACCCGGCUCUCUCGGAUCACCGGAUCGACGAGGAGCGGGUAUUUGCCUGGGUGGUCAAAGUUGAGCCAUUGAUCCUCCCGAGUGAACGUGAUUGGGUGCUCCGACCACCGGUACGGGGCGGGAGGGCCGGUGGUCGCCACCAGUAUCUGGCGGUCGUUGAGCUUUUGUUGUCUCUUGUUCUCCUGCGACCCAUGUCCGCCGAAGAUGACGUUGACCUCCCUGUCAACGCGCGGGAAAGCUCCUCCUCCCCCCUCCUCCGGCUGAUGGGGCUGUCGUGGUUCAUCUGGUCCGCCUCUCGGCGGAGGAGGUGGUAGAGGUUGGAAGGGUCGGCCAUGCCCGACGGAGUGCUUGAAGUCCCGGCAGUUGCGGAGAGUGUGGCGCAUAUCUUUGUGGUACGGGCACUGGGCGUCGAGGAUGUCGUCCAGCGUGCGUUCGCCUCCACGAGGUCCUCCUCGGGCGCGAGAGGCGGGUGGUCCGGCGGCGUGUACUUCUUCGCGAGGCCUCUUCUCCCAGCGCUUGUCGGGCGGCUGGUUCGCGUCGCGUCGUGGUGCUGCUGGCGCGGGCUUUGCUCCUCCGAUGAGGUCCUGGGCUCGCUCGUCAGCGGUGAUGUAGAGGUCGGCUUCCCGGAACAGCUCCUCGGAGGUAGUCGGCGCCUUUUGCAGUAUGGCUCGGACGAAAGCCGAGUCGUUAGAUCCUCUGUAGAAGUCCUCGAUUACGGCCGCCUCCGUGACCUCGGGGAUGCGGUUUCUCAUGGUCUGGAACCUUUUAAGGUACGACCUGAGAGUCUCAUCCCCCCGGCGCUUGAUGGAUUUGAGGUCCCAUGGUUGCGCCGGCUUGUCGGAGAGAGACUGGAAGUUGGCGGUGAAACGUCGACUGAAGUCUCCCCAGUCGUCGAUGCAGUGUCGGGGUAGAUGUCGUAGCCACUGCAGCGCGUCUUGCCCGAGGACGAUGGGCAGAUACGCAGUCAUGACGUCCUCAGAUGCCCCAGCGGCCCGAGCAGCGGUGGUGUAGACGGCUAACCAGCCCCCCGGAUCCUGCUUAGGUUCAUAUUUGUCGACAUUGGAUACCUUGAAGUUGGGAGGCCAUUGGAUGGCCCUAAGGCGCGGAGUAAGGGCGGAUACUCCGCACGUGUCCUCCUGUCGUCGAGGAUGUCGUCUGUCCCGGGGAGGGGAGUGGCGGUGGUAGCUCCUCGACCGUCCCCGGGUGGUUCCACUAGUUGAAGCUGUUGCCGACUCAGUUCGAGUGGCCUGGCUUUGGGUCGGGAAGCCAUGAUCUCGAUCAUACUCCUCUCGACGGCGAAUUUCGUUCUCGUGCCGCCGUUCGCGCGAAGCAUUGAUAGAGCUUCGCGCGUCUCGGCGACUGUUGAUAGCGUGUCGCAGAUCGUUCGGCGGAUGGGCGAGCGGUAGAAGAUGGUUGGCUGCCUGAGUGAACAGGCGCCGGUAUCCCUCGGCGUCGGGGGUCCGAGGAAGUCCGUCAGCUAUCCGGGCCAGAACGCCUCCGACUUCGCUCGGCGUAUUCACGGCUCGGGCGAAGUCGGGGUUCAAGUUGCGCCCAAAGAGCGGAUUCUCGCGUCGUUGCCUUGCAUCUUGCUCGGCCUGCUCCUGAGUUCGACGACGAUUUCGUCGUCGGGAGUUCCUUCGUUCCCUGAAGACGCAUUCUUCCGGAGUUUCUCCUAUCUCUGAGACCUCGUCUCGCGAGACAGGUUACUCCGGAUCCCGUUCUCCAGCUGCAUGAUGUCGUCGAACGUUCCUGCGCCGAUUCCUUCGUCGGCGGGAUUCUCGCUGAUGCGAUUCUUCUCCAGGCGCGGUCGGUUCAUCGUCGGAGACGGCGGGUGAUUCUGCUCUCCCGAUGAAGAGGACGUCGGGGUAGAACGGUAUUGUUGCCACGGCGGCUUUCUUUCCGUUCUCCUUUGAGGUCGGAGGAACGGGAAGAACGACUGGCCUCUCCCUGGUCUCCUUCUUUCUCACGACCCGUGUCCAUUCUUUCGUUGGAGAAGUAGACAGCGGAGUCUUCCAGGUCAGCGAGCUUCUCGCUCCAGCCUCCCCGGAGACAAUCUUUUCUCGAAGAGCCGGAAGUAGCGUCUUUCCAGCAUUUUCGGAGUUUGUUGGUGGAGACUUCUGUUCCGGCAGAUCUGCGAGGCGGUGUAGAAUUCCUUCUUCGUCCGCCACGGAGGAGAUUGUCCCGAAGCAGAAUGUGGAUCCGGGACGCAUGGUGAUCUUGCUGUGGAAAGUGACGGCCAUUGAGCUAGCUUGGAUCGUCGACACACCCCCUACCUGGCGCGCCAGCUGUCGGUGUUUUGGGUCCGACCGCACACCCGGGGUUGCCCCUCAAGGUGUUUUUAGGAGUAGGACGGUGUCAACGACUGUAGCAAAAUGGUUCGUGCCGAUCGCACGAGGGACAAUGGACAAGAUUUACAGGUUCGGGCCGCUUAGAAGUGCGUAACACCCUACGUCCUGGUGAGUAUGUGAGCGUGGUUACAAGAGGAUUCUCUGGAUAGAGGGCGCAGAGAGUCUUUGUGGGUGGCUAAGUAGAACAGGGGCGAUCGAUCUGAAGGGGUGCCCCCUAGGCCUUAUAUACUCGACCGUGGGGCAGUACAUGUGAUAUGAUAACAACAAGUAGCUAAAAGAUGGUGAACCUCUUGAGUUUAUCCCUACGUAACCUCCGCCGACUUAUCCUCGCAUGGCUCCGUUGCAUGGGGGCUUCAGCGCGGGAAAGUCGGGUCUCUGUUUAUGAUUCAUUCGUUCGACGUUGUGGGCCGCCUGUGUUUGCACUAAUCAGUCCCACGUCUUCUUUAUUGGUUGUCUUUCCCUAGGCCCACGAAAGAAUGACCUUACGAAUUAUUGGGCCCUUGGGCUUUUCGUGAGGCCUUUUACUUCUUUAGUGGACCCAGGGGAUAUCUAUCCCCCACACGCGCGGACCCGUGCGCGAGCACAGAGGAGAAUCACCGGCGGCGGCUGUUGGCGAGAUGGUCUGCGCGGCGCGUUGCCGUGCAUGAUGGGGUCUCAUGUCCAGUUCUUAUGGCCGACCGCGAGCGUGGGUAGGCACGUGCCCCGCGAUUUCUUCAGGCAGCGGCGCCGGUCAAUCCGCGCGGACCGCGGACUCCGUUGGCGGCGCGCCCACCAAGCUCGGAGCGGUCUGUUACGAGAGGUGGAAGACAUCUGCCAUGCGGGUCCCGCUAGUAAGAGACAGUGCGCGCGCAAGGUGACUGCCGGUGGACCCCACGCGUCAGCGGAAGGGAAGAUGGCUGGUGAGCGCGUGCGCGACUGUCAUGUAGGGCCCGCCUGUCGGCGCCAUCACCAGGAGCUGGGCCGCGCGGGAGGUUAAGGGUUAAUGGGCCAGAACUGAGGCUGUCGGCCCAUGAAGGUCUUCUAUUCUUUUUUUUUUCUUUUUAUCUUUUCUCCCUAUAUUUCAAACUCUAGUAGUUGAAUUUCAAAUUUGUUUGUGAUUUCAAACCCAGGUUAAAAUCCCAAAUAAUGUUCCAGAGGAAGAAUUAUAAGCACUCAUAUAUAUUUUUCUUUGCAUAUUAUUUUCCUUGUUAUUUACUCAUGGAAGGAAUUCCUUUCUAUUUUCUCUUCUAUGUUUUCAUUUGAAAUUUUGAGGUCAAGUUUAAACUAUGAUUCUUUAUUCCAAUAAAAUGUAUCACAACAAUUUCUUCAGUGUGAUAUGUAUUUUUCUUUAUUUAUUUAUUGGUUAUUUAACUAUUAUUAUCUGAUUUAUGAAAAGAAAAGGAAACUAAUAAAUCUUCAAAGGUUUCAAAAGUAAAAUUCCCAAAACACUAACCUGAAUGUAUUUAUUUAUUUAUAUCAUUAUUUAUUUUUUUUCUAAUGUAAAAUUUUGGGCAUUACAGAAGUCGGCCGCGCAGUGCGGGCUGAUUCGUUUUCGGCCGGAUAACAGGGACACACCCGACAUGCGGGGGCCACACACCAGUGUAACAGACACGCGCGGGAGCGGAUGACCGGUGUGGCCCAUAGGUCAGCAGCACGGCGCGCGCGACGACUGGCCAGCGAGGUUGACGGAGCGCGGUGAUGGGCUACGCAGGAGCAAAAUGGAAGUGGGCCAAAUUCGGAGUUGGCGGCCCACUUAGCUAGUUUUCCUUUUUCUUUUUAUUUUCUGUUUCAUUUCGUUUUUAAAUCUCCAUUUUGAAUUCAAACUUGUUUGUGAGCUUCAUAACUGAGUUAAGUACCUAAAUUAAAAUAUUAGUAGGAACAAAAUGUAUUCUUUCAUAUAUUUAUUUUCCUCUAUUUUGUAUAAUCUCUCCCUUCUCUCUUUUCUUAAUUCUAGGAUUAUUUUAGGAUUUAAAUCCCCAUUUGGAUAUUUAACAUAUUUCUUUUUUGCAUUAUUAUAAUAUUGUCACAAAAAUGCACACACAAAUAAAAUAUUCAGCAUGAUGCAAUGAUUUAGUAGCAUAUCUCUUUAUUAAUUGUUUUUGGACAUGAUGUUCACAUAUGAUGAUGCAUAAAGAUCAAACUCACAUAAAGAGAAAUUGUUUCUCUAUUGGUAUUAUCUCUAACAAUUUACAAAGUGGGUGUUACAGCCGGCGCCGUCGACCUGCUCGACAGCCGACGAGGUGUCGCCUCCUGCUUGGCCUUGGUUGCCCCGCCUCCUCCUCCGUCGACGGGGGAGGGGACGGGGUGACCUCGAACGUUGUUCUUCCACCACGCGGGGAAGACGUCGUCGAUUCCGCCGCCGGCGGGCGGGCCGUCGGCCGCCAUUGUCGCUGUCGCACGGCGGGGAAGGAGUAUCAUGUCGUGGCUGCCGUCGAGGGACAUGAACUCAAGACUCCCGAAACGGAGCACCGUCCCGGGCUGGAAAGGUUGCUAGAGACUGCCCAUCUGGAGCUUGACGGGGAGCUGUUCGUCAACACGCAGCAGGCCCCUACCUAGCGCGCCAACUGUCGGCGUUUCGAGACCGGGGGGGUCCCUGGACCGACGAGUGAAUUGUCGCCGCGUGCCCCAGCCCAGAUGGGUCGGCGCGAGACGGAGCGCGAAGGGGGGAGGCAGCCGGAGGGAGACGGGCAUGAGAGGUGGAAAUCUCGCGGCCUUCGUGUUUGUCCCGCGCCUAGGUCGGGUGCGCUUGCAGUAGGGGGUUACAAGCGUCCACGCGGGAGGGAGCGAGCGGCCUCACGCGAGCGCCGUCCCGUCCUUCCCCGCGCGGCCCACCCUCUGUAAGAGGGCCCUGGUCCUUCCUUUUAUAGGCGCAAGGAGAGGAUCCAGGUGUACAAUGGGGGUGUAGCAGUGUGCUAACGUGUCUAGCGGAGGAGAGCUAGCGCCCUAAGUACAUGCCAUCGUGGCAGCCGGAGAGGUUUUGGCACCCUGUUCGUGUGGUGUCGUGGCCGUCGGAGGAGCGCUGGAGCCUGGCGGAAGGACAGCUGUCGGGGCUGUCGAGUCCUUGCUGACGUCCUCUUGCUUCCGUAAGGGGGCUGAGAGCCGCCGUCGUCAUAGGGCGUGCGGGGCGCCAUCAUUACUUGUCUGGCGGAGCGAGCCAGAUGGGACGCCAGUCUUGUUCCCCGUAGCCUGAGUCAGCUUGGGGUACGGUAAUGAUGGCGCCUCCUGUUGACGUGGUCGGUCUGUGCCCUGGGUUGGGCGAUGUGGAGGCUCCUCCGAGGUCGAGGUCGAGUCUGUUCUUCCGAGGCCGAGGUCGAGUCCGAGCCCAUGGGUCGGGCGAGGCGGAGACCGUCGGCUGAGGCCAGGGCUGAGUCCGAGCCCUGGGGUCGGGCGAAGCGGAGUUCGUCGUCUUUCGGUGCUGAGCCCGAGUCCGAGCCCUGGGGUCGGGCGAAGCGGAGUUCAUCGUCUUCCGGGGCUGAGCCCGAGUCCGAGCCCUGGGGUCGGGCGAAGCGGAGUUCGUCGUCUUCCGGGGCUGAGCCCGAGUCCGAGCCCUGGGGUCGGGCGGAGCGGAGUUCGUCGUCUUCCGGGGCUGAGCCCGAGUCCGAGCCCUGGGGUCGGGCGAAGCGGAGUUUCCUAUGGCGCCUGAGGCCGGGCCUGGCUGCUGUCAGCCUCACUCUGUCGAGUGGCACAGCAGUCGGAGCGGCGCAGGCGGCGCUGUCCUCUUGUCAGACCGGUCAGUGGAGCGGCGAAGUGACUACGGUCACUUCGGCUCUGUCGACUGGAGGGCGUGCGUCAGGAUAAAGGUGUCAGGCCACCUUUGCAUUAAAUGCCCCUGCGAUUUGGUCGGUUGGCGUGGCGAUUUGGCCAAGGUUGCUUCUUGGUGAAGACUGGGCCUUGGGCGAGCCGAGGGUGUGUCCGUUGCUGGAGGGGGGCCUCGGGCGAGACGUAGAUCCUCCGGGGUCGGCUGCCCUUGCCCGAGGCUAGGCUCGGGCGAGGCGUGAUCGCGUCCCUCGAAUGGACCGAUCCUUGACUUAGUCGCACCCAUCAGGCCUUUGCAGCUUUGUGCUGAUGGGGGUUACCAGCUGAGAUUUAGGAGCCUUGAGGGUACCCCUAAUUAUGGUCCCCGACAUUUAUGUUGUCCUUCUUCGAAAUUCCAAGGAAGGUUCUAGAGAAAUUAGAUCAAAUAAGAUCUCGUUUCUUUUGGGAAGGAGAGGGGCAUAAAAAGAAGUAUAGAUUAACUAAGUGGAGUAUAGUUUGCACACCAAAAGACAUGGGAGGAUUAGGAAUUAUAGACCUUGAUCUUCAAAAUAAAUGUCUACUAAGUAAAUGGCUUUUCAAGUUAAUUAAUGAAGAGGGUGUGUGGCAGUCAAUUCUUCGUAAUAAGUACCUGAUAAAUAAAACAAUCACCCAGGUGGAACACAUGCCUGGAGAUUCGCAUUUUUGGGCAGGCCUGUUAGGUGUUAAGGAUAUCUUUCUUCGCCUAGGCCUUUUCAAAAUUGGGGAUGGGACUCAAGUUCGUUUUUGGGAGGACAAAUGGCGUGGUAACGCAACGUUUAAGGAACUUUUCCCUGGACUCUAUGAUAUACUCCGCAAAAAGAGAGCUUAUGUUGCUUCUGUUUUAAGAUCAAAUACAAUAAAUGUGGCCUUUUAUCGAUCCUUGGUGGGUAAUAAUCUUAUGGCUUGGCAACAGCUCAUAGCCUUGAUUACCAAUACUCAACUAAACGAUCAAAGGGAUAUUUUUAUUUGGUCCUUACAUCAGCAUGGGAAGUUCACAGUGUGUUCUAUGUAUAGGUCUCUGGUUAGGCCACAAGUGGUUCCAAGAAAUCAUCCCAUUUGGAAAAUCAAAAUUCCUCUUAAAAUUAAAAUCUUUAUGUGGUACCUUAUAAAUAAUUUAGCCCUAACAACUGAUAAUUUAGUGAAGAAACAAUGGAAAGGCUACCUACGAUGUGUAGCAUGUACGUUAAAUGAAUCCAUUCAACAUCUGUUCUUCGAUUGCCAUAUUGCUAAAUGUGUUUGGCGUUGUAUUCAAGUUGCGUUUAAUAUUUCACCUCCUAGGAGCAUUGAUCAUUUAUUUACACAGUAGCUUUAUGGGGUUGAUAUGAAACUUAGCAACAAAAUUUGGUUUGGAGCGACAAUCAACAGAUGUGUGCAAGAGGGCCUGCAAUUUUUUUUGCAUGACACGUUAAUUAGACAGCAACAUUCACAUUUCGAAACAUAAAAAAACAUCACUGCACUGAACAAGCUGGCAAGCUCACUUUCAACACGGAGAGGUACGAAUAAUCUGAUAAGACAGUGUACUUCCCAACCAUAGCAAUCCUCACCUAAGAUAAUCACCGUUAGUUGCAUGGAACUAACAGUGCCAUGAAGGGUGUCAAAUAUAGCAGCUCUUGCAACCCAUUCGUCUAAAUUUGGCAAUCCUGGAAAUCCUAAAACCGCAUGAAGUAGAUACAGUCAUCGGCUAGCAGCAAGAAAUAUCGUUGCCCUCUGUGCGUCAGUGGAGUGAUUAGCCUGCAAAGGUGGCCGUGGACGAGCUCCAGCGAGAUACUUGCUUGCUGCCUUAGGAAAGGAGCUUCCUCUGCUUCCCCACCAACCAUGUAUCUGCUCCCUUGCCAUCCACCCGAGCACGUCGAAGCUCAGGUGCUCAAAGUGGGCAUGCCGCAACCACGGCUCCUCGUUGUACCACGCCACCAAGCACACUAGCUGCACAAUGUUCAGAUCAACCAGGUAGAGGCGGUUCUUGGAGAACUUUAUCUUGGCGAGGAGAAUAUGCUCGUAACCGUGGAUGCAUAUGAUGAAUUGAUGAUGCUAUUGUCGAGGACUUGGCACCUGCCUUCGUCCAUCUGCCCGAUGCUAACAAUGCUUGGGCAAAGCCUCAGGAUAAUACACAUCUGUCAGCGCCUGAUGCUCGUUGUUCUGGCACUUCGCCUUCCUCGGUUCUGUAGUGCUCUGCUACACCAUAGACCAUAGAGUAUUUAUACAAUGCUAGUACCAACUAUAAGGUACACUAGUUUAUGGGUGAUCUCAGCCCCAACUACUUCUAUAUAUGUCUGUCUGAUGCAUCCCACUACAUAGAUUGGCCUGUUGCCAUGCUAAUACAGCACCCUGGGUGAACAAUAACAGCUGACCAAAUGCCAACUCCACGCUGCAGCAAAACAAUCAAGGAGAGCAGCAUAUUAUCUUACAAGGCUUCUAGCUCUUUUAUCCGAUUGAAAACACUAAGUUCAGAGACAUUAUAUUGCAGCUCUUUUAUCGAACCUAGAUGCCCACCCUGUCUACAAACUACAGCAGACAGCUCGACACCAGUCCUCUCGGCGUACUUGUGAACUUGUGGUUAAGGAAAAAGAAUUUCCUGGAGCUUGAAGCUACAGAAGUAAAAAAAAAAUGCAUAGCACACGACACAGCACGUAAGAAACUACGGAAGGGAUACCUGCCAGCAACAAGAACAGGACGGAAACACAUGCUCCCAACUACUCCUGUAUGGCUGCCUGAUGCAUGCCACUACACAGAUUGACCUGUUGCCAUACUACUACAGCACCCUUGAUGGACAGCAAGAGCUGACCAAAUGACAACUCCACGCUACAACAAAAUAUUCAAGAAGAGCAGCAAAUUUGCUCAGACCCAAAUUGCAGUCAGAAAACGAAGUUUAGAAAACACAAAGUUCAGAAAAGAAUCACAGACCUAGAUGCCCAUCCUGUCUACAAACUACAGCAGACAGCUAGACACCAGUCCUCUCGGGCUCUCGGCAUACUUGUGGAGUUGUGGUUGAGGAAAAAAGAAUUUCCUGGAGCUUGAAGCUACAGAAGCACAUAAAAAUGCAGACCACACAGCAGAGCACUUAAGAAAGGUAUACCUGCCAGCAACAAGCACAGGACGGAAGCACAAAUUUAAUUUAGAAACAUGUCUUGGCCAAUAUUCUUACUUUCUUCAAAGAAAGAUAGUAAAGGUAUGAGACAUUCCAUAUUCUAAUUAGCCUCACGUAGGACUAAUUGCCACAUGAAAAGUAAAAGCCAUAGCCACAGUUAGUUACUUCAUUCUGUCGGAGAAAUACACAUUGGCAAUUGUUCACAAUCAAGGAAUGAUAUAAAAAGUGAAAUAGCGGAGCAAAUGCAAGCGGAAAAAACAGGGAACCGCGGGGACAACAGCAUUAGCUGACCCAUUCGCUUCUGACUUGAUCCUGAAUUCUGGAGCUUCAAGAGGAGAGAGCGUCGCGUUGGGGUGACAUCGAGGUGCCUGUUUAGAACAUAAAAUGUUUUAAAUAUUGAGAAACUCAUCAAUUGUGCUGGAAAAUGAAUAAGUAGAACCUGUACCUUCUCAUUUAUUUCAAGUGGCAAGUCUAAAGAAGCAAGUUUGGUAUUAGCAGUUGAUGUGCGUCCGGCGAAGGUGCGAAAUCUUUGGCCAGCUUUCCCCAUCAGGUUCUUGGCAGUUCUUCUUCAAGACGGGGCAAUUUACUAUACUUAUGCGCUGGAGGGAGGACGGCAUAUCUGGUAAAGAUGCUAUGUUGGGGCAACACCCUAUAGAAAGACUCUCCAGACUUGAGAGGGAUUUUAGAUUUCUUGGUAGGGACUCCGUUUUGCAAUACCAAAAUCCCAGGCACUUGACAGAUGAGAGAUUUGCAGGCUCUUCAAAUGAAACCGACGGUUCUUUGCAAUAUGAAAGAUCAAGAUUCGGUGGGACUGUAAAUCCUUCAGCCAUGAGCAUGUGGUUGAGCAAUACGGAGGUACUAACCGUGAGCGAUUCCUGGACACGAAACUGUGAGAUGCACUUGACAGUGUGGUUUGCAACAUCUUGUAGAGUUAGGUACUUAAGGUGCAGGGCAGACAAGCCUUCAACAGAGUAAAGAUCAGGGAGACCAUUUAGACGUAAUGAUUCAAGGGAGGUCAGGUGGCCAAUCGAUAAGGAUGGGGAGCUUCUGCAGACAUCAAAGGAAAGAUGUUUCAGAUGUGGCAAGCCAUUAAUGAACGAAUCAGCUGCAAGAAUGCAGCCACGGAUGUGGAGGUCUCCAUCAAGGUUCAACGGCAUUAGUUCUGCUCCACGUGCUAGCUCUAAAAAAGGACAAUCCGAACAGUAAAAAAAGGAAAGAGAUGGAGCAGCACGUAAGCCCCCCAUUGAUUUGAGACACAAACAACCUGUUACAACCAACGUGUCAAGCUUUGUCAAAUGCUCAAACACCUUUUCUGAUGGAAGUGUAGUUAAUGCCAUAUUAUAUUUCAAUUUUAAAUUGCUCAGUGAAGUGAGGCCACCAAGGCAAAUAGCUAAAGCUUCAUCUGUAAUACUGCAUGAAGAAAGAGAAAGUUCACAGAGUCUUGACGGUAGAACCAAUGGCAUGUCCAUGGUCCUUCCAUAAAUGAAUCUUAUCCUCUGCUCAUGGCAAAAGAGCCAUGCCUUGAUGAUGUUUUCUUUCAUCCAUACUUUAUCUUCUCUUUCUUCCAGACCACUUUCAAUAAUUUGAAGAUGCUUUGAUAUAUCAUCAUCCAUCAUCAAUGUCAUCAAUUGCUUCAGAGAUGAAUAGUCUUUCGACAGUACUCUCCUAACUUUUCCUGAAUCCACCUCCCACGUCAAUGCAAGUUUAGAUGCCAGGUCGUCUGCCUUCAUUAUUAUAUUUUCCCUCAAGUCAUGCUGUCCUAGCUCAUUGUUGGUGAUAAACAUAAGCAGUGGGCAAUAAUCAAUUGAUAAAUCUGUAAGGCCUACUGGAAG